UUUUUUUUUGUUUUUUUUUUUUUUUUUUUUUUUUGUUUUUUUUUUUGGGUUUCAGGGGGGAAGAAGAUGAAGAUGGGGGAGAAGACAGGAGGAGGAGGAGGAAGAGGAGGGGUGGGGAAGACGAACUGAAGGGCUUUUUUUAUUUUUUUAUUUUUUUUAUUUUUGGGUUGCAGGGGGAAGAAGAUGAGGUUGCGGGGAGAAGAGAGGAGGAAGAAGGGGGAUAAGGUUUUAGCUUUUGAUUUUUUUAAAAAAUCAUUUUAGAAGAUACAGGUUUUUUUUUUAAAUUAAAAAAUUAUUAUUUUUGCUAUGUGGUACACAUUUGGAAGCCACGUGGCACAAAUGUGGCAGCCAUGUCAGCACUUAACGGAUCAAUGGAUGGAAAAUGUAACGGUUGUAUUAUUUUGAAAUAAAAUAGUACGUGAGGUAUGAAAGCGAAAUGUUUUAAAGAUGUUGUAUGGGGUUGUAAUAGACUUUAAACCUGAGAGGUUACUAUGUAAUUUACCCAUAUUUUAAACACAACAUUUAACACAUAUGUCCACUUCCAUCUACCUUUGGAUCAAGUAAUGGCAAGUGAUAAGAACAAAAUCAUAGGGCCCACCAAACUUGACGAAGCUACUUUUUAAAAGCAGAAAUAAGUUGUGUUAAUUCCAUAUAAGUGUAUGCUAUGUGGACAACUAAUUCCAUGUACCUAAUCACGAUAACUGACAAGAACGCCUUUGAAAAAUGACCCUCGUGGAGUUUGAGUGCCAAUUUACAAUACAACGUGAAGUUUGGGAAUUAAUUGAAACUAAAAUUAAUACACGUGGUAAUUGUAUAAAACUAAAAAGCAUUAUGCCGUUCGUGCAAUUUUCUCCUUUAAUUAGAGUGCAAAUUAUUAAUUAACAACCCAAGCAUUGGAAGCAACUUAGAAAAACAACAACAAGGAAAAAAAAAAACCGACUUCUUCUUAAACCCCCCCCCCCUUCUCCCUCUCUCCAAAAUCUCACCUCGAUUUUCUAGAGAGGUUUCCAAAACAAAAAAAAAAAAAAUCAAAUUAAAACGAAACAAACAGAAAGAAAGAAACGCGUUUGGAGUUCAUUUCCGUUAUGCGAAAUCAGAACGGUUUUACGGUUCAUGCAUGUCACCACCAACCCCCCAUCCCCUCCAUCAAACGGUUAAAACCCCACUCAUCAAAACUCUCCUCUCUCUCUCUCUCUCUCCCUCUCUCUCCAAUUCCAUUCCAAAUUUUCAUUCUCUCUCUUGUUUUCUGAUUCUCUAUGUUCUUAUGAUUGCAUGGCGAUGAAGGGAGCGGUGAGCGGUGAGGAUCGCGUGAAGGGGUCGUGGAGCCCGCAGGAGGACGCCACCCUGAUCAAACUGGUGGCCCAGCACGGCCCCCGCAACUGGUCCCUCAUCAGCACUGGCAUUCCCGGCCGCUCCGGCAAGUCCUGCCGCCUCCGUUGGUGCAAUCAGCUCAGCCCCACCGUCCAGCACAAGCCCUUUUCGCCUCAGGACGACUCCGUUAUUAUCCAGGCUCAUGCCCUCCACGGUAAUAAGUGGGCCACCAUCGCCCGCCUCCUCCCCGGCCGCACCGACAAUGCCAUCAAAAAUCACUGGAACUCCACUCUGCGGCGGGGACGCCAACGCGCCGAGUUUUCUUCCACGUCGUCGGGUUCCGACUUGGCCGCCGCGGUCGGGGACGAGCCGGACAUGAAGCGGCAGUGCCUGCGGGCGUCGCCGGAACAUGAGAGUCUGAAAGCAAACGCGGGAGGGGAGGGAGUGAUAGUUGAGACGUCGCUGACGCUGUCGCCGCCCGGUGAGAAGGCGGAAAACGAGGUCGUAUUGAAAAGUGAGGAGGAAGAAGACGGUCACGAAGCGGUGGAUAAUAACGAUGAUGUGGAGAACUGUAGGGUGGAGACGGAGGAGACGAGUUUGCUGAAGAUCAUGCAUCGGAUGAUAGCGCGGGAGGUCAGGAAUUACAUCGACAGCUUACGGGAGAAUGGUGGGCCCACUUUUGGGCUGCAGUCUGCAGCACAACAAAACGACCCGUGACGUGGAUCAUGUGAAGUUUUCAUUUUCCAAUAUUUUAUCCUUUUUCUUUUUCUUUUGGGUUUCUUGUGUUGGGUUGUGAAAUUUCAGUUUCAAAAUCUUGGUCAACCUGCAAACCUCAGCAGACGUUGAUCAUGAUUUAGUUCUUAAUCUUUAGUUUGAAAUGUAAUGCUUUUACUUGCUGUCAUGACUCAUGAGAAAUUACAAGAGAUUAAUAUGGGGUUAAUUAAUUACAACUACACCCCCUAAGGCCCUCAGGUUUUCAACAUAUCCUAAACACUGACGUUUUAAAAUUAUUUCACAGACCCUCUUCCGGCAGGGUUCCAUUAGUUUUAUGCUGACAUCAGCAUAAAAUAAUUUUAAAAUGACAAAAUUAACCUUGUAUACUCUAGUUAGGAACUUGUAGCCAUGCACCCCAAUCACCCAUCUUCUAAAUUGAAUAGACUAUGUCUUCUUUCACCUCUGGAGUCAAUCACCCAAUAUGGGUGAUUGAAUUUGAAUGGUGAGUGAGCUUCAAGUAUUACAGCAAAUUAUAACUACAUCUUCACACUACAUAUUGGGUUCCAAAUUGUCAUCCUCAUCGUUAGUAAAUGAGAACACCUCGUUUUCUCUUACACCAACAUCUCCAGGUACUCGACCCUCGUCACCAUUACUAUCACCAUCUUUACCCUCGUUCUCAUCCUCAUUAGCCUCAAUAUUUUCAACAUACGGAUCAUAUCCUCAUGAAAAUUAUAAAAAUGAACAUUAGGGUUUUUAUACAGAUCAUCUCCCACACCUUCCUUGUGGCCGAUCUCAAAGAAGUACAAGAACUCAUUUAUGGUCAAGCCAAGAUCAAAGAACCUGCUCAAGUUCGAGAACCCCAUCAUCGCACAAACUGCAUUUAGGGAACAUUGAGCAGACAUGCAUUUCAUAGAGCCGAUCACCUCCUGGAAAAGAUAUGGCAUGGGGGGAGGCCCACGCCUCCUUCCCCUUUUUCUUCCGUGCCCCAAGGCAGGCCCAAGCCUCUCGGCUCAGGUCGCGCACGCAAGAAAGCCAGCCUACGCCGGUCUCUUUCCCUCUCUUCUCGCAUGCACGGGCCCUUGCCCAACAACCUUGAAGACCUGGCUCAAGCCGGUCUCCCUGCGCCCCAGCGCGCCGAUCCCCUUAGCCCGAGCCGAGCCGUCUACCUGGCCCACGCCAACCAACCCCUGCCACAAGCCUCUCACCACCUCGGCCCCGACCGAGCCAAUUUCUCAAGUCCCAAGACUCCCAAAAAUUCAGAAGAAGAAAAAUUUCAAAUUUUUCUUACCUUAGUGCGGCUUGGAGAAGAAGAAGAACAACAACAAGAAACGACUCUUCGCAAGGGUAAGAAAAGAAGAACGCUAGGGGAGCGGGAAGAAAAAAAUAUCCUCUAGCUUCUCUUUCUUGGUUGAAUAAUGAUUGUUCUCCAAAUUUAUUUAAUCCCCUACUUAAGGCAUAAUUAAGUAGGUAGUGGGGGCAAUUAUUUUCCUUUUUCUAGAAGAAGUCUAUCUCCAAAUCAAGAAAGAAGAUCAAGUUCAAAUUGGGUAACAACUCUACAAACCCAAGCAACUUGAGAUUACUACACCUACUAGCCUUUCCAUGUGUGUAGCACAGUAGGUGUGGGGGCAUUUGUGGAGCCUAAAAUAAUUCCAAAAAUUCUAGAGGCAACACGUGGACUUUUAUUCAAGAAAGACAAAAUUGCCCUCAAUAAAUGGGUCAAAUUCUUCCUUGAAAGACUCAGCAGCUGAACACAGUUGCCCACAACUCACUUACCCAUAGCAAGGAAUUAAAGAUAAGAAUUAAUUACCCAAAUCUUAUCUCUAAUACAUUCCUAAUUGAAAAUUGACUCCAAUCAAGUAAGUAAUCUUAAUUUAAAUCAAUUAAGGAUUAUUACCUUAUUAUCUCAAGAUAUUAUCUUCUAUUGAAUAUCCUGGGAAUAUUUAGAGAAUAUUUCUCCAUUAAACCCUAUAUGGCCCGCCCUAACCCUAUAAAUACCUCAUAUUCUACCAAUUUGAGGGAGCUUUUGCAACCCUAAAAAGCCUUCAACACUUUACUCUCUCAGAGAAACUAACUUAGGCAUCGAAGAUCUGUUGACCUAACUCCCCCACCUCGUGGGAGCGUGAGGCUUAGGUCUUUGAUCAAAGGUGUUGAUUGUUUUGCAGGUGCAUUUUCGUCAAGAUUGAAGACGGCGGAAAUUUGCAUCCACACACUGUCUUCUUUCACCUCUGGAGUCAAUCACCCAAUAUGGGUGAUUGAAUUUGAAUGGUGAGCGAGCUUUAAGCAUUACAACAAAUUAUAACUACAUUUUCACACUACAUAUUGGGUUCCAAAUCGUCGUCCUCAUCGUUGGUAAAUGAGAACACCUCAUUUUCUCUUACACCAACAUCUCCAGGUACUCAACCCCCGUCACCGCUACUAUCACCAUCUUCAUCCUCGUUCUCAUUCUCAUUAGCCUCAAUAUUUUAAACAUACGGAUCAUAUCCUCAUGAAAAUUAUAAAAAUAAACAUUAGGGAUUUUAUAUGUUAGGAAUGGAGGAAGGUUAGUGAAAUGAUUUUAAAACAUCAGAGGUGGUUGUGAUAUGACGCACCCGAACGGCAGAAAAUGUGAGCUCCAACAUUUUCUUCGUUCAUGGGGAACCUGAUAUUACAUCCAUUUGGCCAGUGCCCCAAGUUCAAACUCACAUCCGACUAAUUCAGAUGAAUUUAGUGUAGAUUAUAUUAUUGCUUGUAAAACGAACUUAUUCGCUACAUUUGGGAAAUGUGACGUAAACUGAUACAACAAAAACAAGCAUCUGCAUACAUACAUACAUACAUACACACACACACAGAUUAACAGCUACAUACAUCGGUUCCAAGAUGUUUUGGAUAAAUGCUUAAACCAAGGUUGAUCUACAUAUAGGAGACAUCGGACGAGAGCAAUGAACCUAACAGAAAUGUUAAAACAAGAUAUGUUUCAACGUGCGUGUUGGCUAACCACAUUUCAUGCACAAAACCACACCACACUUGACACACCGUCACACUCUCGAAACGGAACAACACCGUAUUUUGGUUCCGCAAACAGAAUUCCUGCUUAUGAGCAACAUCGACAUUAAUCAACACAUCCAGAAUCUAAUAACCCCACACAAAAUGAACAUCCAACGCGAUCACACACGUUGGGGAUUACAAAUUUUCGCCAUUGAGCGAGCCUAACCAGCAAUACUGACCAAAUUAAGAUCAAGCAUUACCCAGAACAAUGGAGCCAACCGGCUAGUCAUAACGAAAACUAAUGAAAAGAGCUCGAAUAGUGUAAAAAUGUGAUUUUUAUUAAAGUAAACAGUAGCGGAAGUCUUUCGUUAACUGAUUAAGGUUCUCAGCUCAAUACGCAUAGCUAAGUAUAAUCGGACUAACCUCGCAAUAUUCCAAAUCACCAACGAAAAUAUAAGAUUCAGAACAUCCGCCAUUGCCGUCAAAAUUGAAAAUUGGAAAAUCAGAUAUAUUAAGACUCAUAAUAAGGUUCAUAAUCUGACUGAAUUUUAAGCAAAACUUGUUCAAAGCGGUAACUCGAAGAGUACAAAACGACUACAAACUGACUAAUCGGUAGUGAUUUUACUUGAUUAGAAAACAAAACACGGAGACGGAAGCGAAACGACGUCGAUUGAUGAUCGGUGACAGCGAACGAGCAAACUACUUGGAUCUCUGUCUCAUCUUUCGGCGCUUCCUCUUCAACCUCCUCAUGCGCUUCUUCUUCCACUGCAAUCACCGCCGUAAAAAAUACACAGAGAAAACGAAUCAAUCAACGGACGCAAAGCGAGGAUAAACAGAAAGCGUAGGCGAUCGAGAGAGACUGAGAUUUUACCUUGGCUCUCAUGGCGGCGGCAAAACGAUGUUGGCACCCAAACCCUAGUCUUGAAAGCUGCGGAGGACGGAAGGGGAUGUAGUGGCGUGAGAGGGUUUGGAUUACAGAGUUCUGCGAGUAUUUAUAGUGGAGGGAGAAAACCCUAAUGUGUUGUCGGCUUUCAUAUUUGGGUUGGGCCGGUUCAUAAAAUCAUCAUUGGGUCGGUUGGUUCAAAAUGUUUUAAAAAUCAAGAGGCCCAAUAUUUAUAUUUGGGUGAAUGAGCAAGAUUAGUUGGCCUCACAUAGAAGGAAGGUGAAGAGGUAUCAUUUUUGGAUGACGUGUGCUUACGUGUGUCUUUUAUGUAAGACGAGUGCAUAAUUUGGGUAUCCAAAAAGCAAGAGCGUCUGUAGACGAAACUUUGUUGUACAAAAAAACCCUUCUUAUAAAACUGUCCGUACAAAUUAUGGAACUCAAAUCAUCUCCGGAUCUAAUAAAUCUGAGCCUAAGGAUCAAAUGAUUCGGACUGUAAAAUUUGAUCCAACGGUUAUAAUUAUUAUAACUUUUAAAGGGGUCCUCUGUUUGUAAUCGUUUGAUCAAAUUUCAACAACACGGAUCAUUUAAUCCUUAGACUCAGAUUUUUUAGAUCUGGAGAGGAUUUGAGUUCCAUAAUUUGUACGGACAGUUUUAUAAGAAGGGUUUUUUUGUACAACAAAGUUUCGUCUACAGACGCUCUUGCUUUUUGGAUACCCAAUUUAUUUUCGUACAUUUUUCGGGACAAAUUACAAUUACAUAAUUACAAUUACACACCAAAAUCUAAAAAAAUUCAACAAAACCCUAUGGGCGACAAGAAAGAAGAAAUCAAAGCCAAGUCCCCUUACAAAAUCUGGAGAGAAACAGUCGCAUAAUGGUGUAAUUCCACUAAUUUUCGACCCGGUCUAGGACAGCAAACCCGAACACCUCGAUGAAGAGCCACACGGCAAAAGACGAUCGAGAAGAUGAUGAUGGAGAAUGGGUGGUAGAGGAGGUUGAGGAAGAGCACAAUGAGGUAAAGUUCUUCCGAAGCUACACCAAAUGCUUCAUUAAAUUAGUUAAGUUUAGUCUAGUUUAAGCUAGUCCAACUUAGUCCUUGAAGCUAGUCCAAUCCGAAAUAAUUCAGUGUAACUAACGCACCCUAUGGGUACAAAUAACCAUUGUUUUAUAAUGUAAUCAACCAAAUUCAAACGACAUUAAUUAUAAAUUUGUAAACAAAAUUUUGUAAAUCAUAUGACAUAAAAAGUUGAUGAUUGGAUUAUUACUUAAGUGUUGAUAAUGUGUUAAUUCUUAUUGAUGACACAUCAUUUAGUUUGUAAAUUUUAUCUACAAAUUUAAACUCUCUAGCAUUACCUUUAAUUAUAAGGUAAGUUUUACCUCUUUGUAGACGUCAACUUACAUUUUUUGCUAUCUAUGUUCAAUCUAUCAACGGAUCACUUAAUACUACGAUCUAUUGGUAUUCCCUCUUACUGAUAAAGAAACAUAUUCCAAUAUAUUCACAUUUUCUUUUGCCAAAAAAAACACAAUUAAGUCGUGGGCACACAUCCAUCCAUUCGUAUAGCUAUUGAAUGAUUUGAAUCAUUGAUCGUCAUCUAAUUGUGGGGCAAAUAUUCUUUUAUUCCUCUACUUUUUUACAACUGUUUACAAGAUGGAGAUAAUAAUUAAUUUUCAGAAAAAUAAAAUUAAAAUAAAAAUACUAAGAUUAAGCAGGAUCAGGAAGCAGUGGAAUGAGCUUGGGGCUGAGCGCGACAGAUUGGGCAGCUCGAAUGGGUCGAAAGCCACGUGUCCACACACUCAGAGUGGUAACUAUGGCGGCAGUUCGGCAGAACCUUCACCUUCUCGCCGUCUUCGAACACGCCCAGGCAUAUGCAGCACUCGCCACCGCUGCCGGCUUCCAAAUCCCGGUUCGAUUCCUGGUACAACACAAUCGGCAAGGCGCGGAUGAAGGCGGCGUCAAGGCCCUCGGGCCGAUUCAGCGGCGGCGCGGGGGGCGCGUCGGAGGAGACGUCGUGGAGGUGGAAACGGCAGAGCCAGCGCGCGUAGAGCAGGAACAGUGUGACGAGGAGGACGACGGUGAAGAUUACGACGACGACGAACAGCGUCUUGCCUCGGACGCGGAACUGAUCGUCGUCAAGGACGGUGAAGUGGACGUUUAACGGCUGAUUGUCUUGGGAGGUCAUUGGUGGCAAUUGGGAAGGUCCGGCGGCGUAAUUAUUGGAAGAUUGGAAGUGGGUUUUAGAUUUUGGUGGGUUUAAGUGAGAUUAGAACGUGAUUAGCGAAAGAAGGAUUAGAUUUGUAUAUAUAGUAGAGGUUGGUGAGGCGGCCAUUGUUAGCUUAAAAGAGAGCUGAGUAGCAAUUUAAUAGUGUUACACAGUUCUUGAAUGAUUUUUUAUUUUUUAUUUUUUAUUGGGGAAUAAGAUAUUAUUUGUAGAUAAAGGUAUCAGGCUUGUAGCAUUGGUGGGUACACAUUUGACUUGUAAAUUUGGAUUUUUGUUAUCUUUACCUUAUCCUCACUUCAUUUUUAUUUUUCUUAUUUUUCUGGGCCUUACGAAUUUGCUUCUUAAUGUUGUUUGAGCAGUCGUCUCAAUACAAAAGAGGAAAUUACAGCAGUAAUUUCUUAAUUUUAAAUUAGUUUGAGAAGUCUUUUAACUAAAAAUUUAUAUUUAUUGGUCUUUUAACUUAUCAAAACAUGCAAGUAUGCUCUUUUUUGUUAACUCUGUAAAAAUUUCAGUCAAAAUGAGUAACGUGCCCCACAUAUGAAGCUGAAUCAAUGUGUAAAUACGAGAAAUCAAAUGAGAAAAAUUGUAACUAUACUCCAUCAACUUUAACUCAAUUAAAGAAAUAUGAUUCAUCAACUUAACAACAUUGGAGCAAGGGGUGUGCUAUCCACACACCCUUGUUAAUUUUUAUCCGCUCUUCUUCAAUUCAUCUGAUCCGACGGACGAAAAUUAGAAGGAUGUGUAAAAAGUAAAAUGAGGUGUGUGGAUAUCAAACCCCAUGGAGCAAUGGUCCCUCACUUAACUUUAAUUCGGUUGCAGAAAUAGUCUUUCCACACAAGGUGUAAAUUUUUAGUACUUUAGUACUAUAAAUGAUUAUUUUUCAUAUUAAUAUGAAUCUGGGGUACACCAAUUUAGAUUUGUAAGAAUAAGAGUUUUUCUUUUAAUUUUAGAAAGAAUAAGAUGAAUAAAGAAAACGUAAACUAUAUAAGGGAAUGAGAUAAUAUAAGGCUAAAUUUAAAGGAAAACUAAUGAAAAUGGCUUGAAAACUUUGAGUUUUAAUGAUAAGGAAAAAAUAAAGGGUAAAGUGAAUAGUACCAGGAUUGACUUUUUAGUGUAAAAAUGUGGUUUUUCGUUAAAGUGAACAGUACCGGAUGAUUUUCAUUAAAGUUUCCUAAAUUUAAAGGGGGACCCGAGAAGAAUGCUUUGUUUGCCUUGUAUCUAGGUCGCCUGGGGUGACUUGAGGCUCUUUGCUUGUUCGAUUCAUGAUGGUAUCUCCACGAACAUUAGAGCAUGUACACCGUGAGUGGAUUGCCCAGCGUCCCGCACCCAAAACAGGCCGGCCCAGCCACAUAGGCUAGUGCUAGUGUAUUUUUUUAAGGAUGAACUUACUUUUUUAGGUGUUGCAAAUGUGCAUUGGUUGUACUAAUCCAUCUGAACAUAGAAAAAGGAAAACUAUCUAAUCAACGUAAAAGAUCAGCUGGCUUUUCUCUGUCUUUUAUCUUAUCAAGUAAACUUCAACUUUAUUUAUCAAGUUUUCAAAAAUUAUUUACUACUCUAAGUACAGAAGAUUCACAAAAAAUUGAAAAAUUAUCACAGCUUUAAUAUAUUUUUUGAAAUAAUUGACAGUGCAGUUUCUGUUUAAUAAAGUUCAACAUUAAAAACAAAGAAAAACUAAUGAAAAGGGCUUGAAAACUUUGAGUUUUAAUAAUAAGGACAAAAUAAAAGGUAAAGUGAAUAGUACCAGGAUUGACUUUUUAGUGUAAAAAUGUGGUUUUUCAUUAAAGUGAACAGUACAUGGUGCUUUUCAUUAAAGUUCCCAAAAAAACAAUGGGGGAUUUUGUUCUUUGGAGUCACCUUUACUUUCCACGAGAGGGACUUUUAAAAUCACAAAAUCUACUCAAACAAAUUACUAGUAAAAUACUAUAUGCACACUAUAAUUUUUAUUUAGAAGUGCUUCUAAAAUGAUUGAAAACAUUUUUAAACGAAAGAUUAUUGGAUUCCAUUUUUACACAAAGCACCAGUUAUGUGCUUCUUGCAUGAAGUGUUUAAGUGAUUUUCUAAAAUUCACUUGCAGCUGGUUUCAAAAAACAUUUUAUCCAAAACGCUUUGUAUUACAAACAAUUCCAUAAAGACAAUAAACAAAGAAACAAAGAAUUUUUAAAAUAGAAAUAUUUUAUUUGAAAAUUCCCUUAAACAUAUUGCAUCUAAAGUUAUUUUCCAUAUCUAUCCAUCUGUUUUUGUAGUACAUGCUUAACAAAUUUAACCUAAAUUUUAUGAAACUUCAAAGUCCACACCCAAACAAACUCAGAUCACGACAUAUCAUUAUACAGGAAAUCAUCAGUUCUUCUCUUCUUUUUGGAGAUCCUAAUAGUGACAGUAAUUAAUUGUUACACAAGCAACAUGAAUUGAAGACGAGGGGAUAAUGCAUGGAAAAACAUGUUACCCGAAACCAUACAUGCACAUUUGCAUUGGACCCUUUUAGAUAUUGCAAAUAAAAAUCACAAAUUUAUAGUUUAUCUUUUCACAAUGUUAUAAAUACAAAAGCAAAGUAAUACUUAUCCGCAACGACGAUUUAAAUAAUUUUUUAAGUUUUCAGAGAUAAAUGUACUUUUUGAACACCAAAUUAGUAGGAACCUUGUAAGAAUCACACCAAUGGGGUACUUCCCUAUGCUAAAAAUUAUACAAAUUUAAAGUUAGUGGCUGGGAACUGUUGAAGGUAGAACCGAUUUAUAGCCAUCCAGAUAACGAAGGGCCAGCUUAAUCUUCGAAAGGGCGUUUUACAGGAGGCCGUAGAUUCCUUUCAGCUGUAUAUGUGAUAUACAUGAGCCAUAUUAAACAGUGUGAUGGUCGACUACUGCUUGAGCUUCAGAAAAUAAAUAUCACUUAAUGGAGUUCAUCUCCUUUACUUAUUGUUAAAACUUCAAGCCCAAAACUCACUCAGAUAAAGAACAAUGUCAAAAGUUGUAGUUCGGCCUACCUAGCCCUAAUCUUAUUCUUAAACGUAUGAAUACCAAGAGAGACCAGAAAAUACUUACACAUGAAUAUCCAACUUGGAGCAAUUGUUCAAUGUAGCACUGUGGCCUAUUAAUUAAGUUCAUGAUGUAUAUGUUAACUCAAGGACUCAUAUUCCAACGCCAGAGGUGAUGAGUAUGAGUAUAUUUUUUGUUUUUUCUUUAUACGCAAAGACUUUUAUUCUUAGAUUUCGAGUCACGGCAUUGGAAAUUAAUUUCAUAGGACAAUAUGGCUUAUAUGCAUUAAAAAAUCAUUGAAGUCAAAACUCAAGAUCUUGUUACUAUUAAUUUACUGUGUAUCAUUUUAUUAUGCUGACAUAGGUUUUACCUUCUACUCAAAUCUCAUACAGUAAUUUAAAUUUUGGAUCUCACAUUAACCUGAGACUUAUAUAUAAGUUGGACUCAUAUUUAGACUCAAAUCUGAAAUGUGGACUAAAUAAACAAUACUACGACAAAAUAACAAUAAAAACUAUUUAGACAUGUACACAACACACUCGCUAAUAGAGGUAUGCCCUAUCAUUGUAUGUCGCAUUGGGACGGUGUAACCCGCCUAUAUUAUAAAGCAUAUUAAAUUUAGCUAAUGUGUCCAAAUAGCAUCACUCACAAAUUAAAUACCAAUUCAUGCCUGGAUGGCCCAAAUCUUCUUUUGGCAACCGCAAAGAUCCCUUGGUGUAAGAGACAUAUCAGACUGGAAUUAAUCCCAGGACUUUUCACAACCAGCUUAACCAAAAUAGGUAAUUGAAGUAUAUUUUACGGACAUUUAACAAUACCCUCCUUCAGUGGUUCAUUUACUUUAAAACUAAAGAUUAUCAUAUACAAUCUACAGAUCAUCAAGAGGCAAACUAUAUAUAGUGUAUGUUAUAUGAUCCGGAAAAGCUUAAGCCAGUAUGAACCCAAAAUGUGCUUGAAAGUAGUUUGGCAAACUAGUGAUCCAAAACUCACAAUUCUCAAACAUCCUUUCAUUGAAACCUAUCUCUUAUCUUCUGGUGCUGCCGUCGAUUAUGAAUGAGCUUAACUUUACUAAGUUUCCAACAUAAAUCUUACACAAAAGUUCUUAAUAUACAAGUCAAACCAUAUAAUUAAUUAGAGAAGAGAAUAGUACCCAAGAUCGAUUGCAUAUGAUAUGUGUGUUUUAUUUAUUUAUCAAGGGAUCAAUUAUGAAGCAGGGCUCUUAUUUCUUCUUUUCUUUUUUAUUUUUUUUAUUUUUUUUGGUAUUGCCCCAAAAAGAGGAAGAUUACAGUGGGAUAGCCCUAAUUUAUUUAGGGCAUCACCAGCCAAAAGCUCUACCAUGGAUAGAGGAAGAGAGACAAGAUAGAUGAUUACAGUGAGACAGAAGAUAACUAAUACAUGAGACCUUACCAAGGACAACACUAAUUCCACGCUGCUCCCCUUGCUCCAACUUGUUGAACACUAGAAUAAUUUCAAUUUUCGGUAAUGCAAAUACACACAUAAAACAAUUACCCAAUAUACCAAAUUUUCCUUUCAGAUCAAGCAAUAUUAUAACUAAUUAUAUUAAUUAUUGGUAUGUAUAUAUAUGCUUUAGGUAACUAAGGAAAUUAAGGAUACAAUAUUUCUCAGUUCAGGAAGAAAAAAACGAAGAGAGAGUAAUAGCAUUUCUUCUUUUAUCCCAAAACUACAUCCUAAUGACUAAAAUUGCCUAUACUAAAUCUGAUUACAAAAAUAAAAAAUCAAGUCCUAAUUUCAUGAAAAUUCCCAUGCCGAAACUCCACUAAGCUUUGAGAUCUUUAUGAUACAUAAGCAACCUUACCUCAGAUCGAUCUUUAUGCAACAUAACAAGCUAUCGUCAUUAAUCCAAUUGCCAACCCCUUGUGUUCAUCAGAGCUUCUAUCGAUCGAUCAUAUUGUAACGUCGUAAGCCUUAAUUCGAUACUAAAUGCACUUUUUCACAUCGUAAUCAAUCUUCGGGUAUUUUGGGUUACCACAGUUGGAAAACAAAAAAUAUUCUCCAUAGAGACCAUAAUUACUUCAAAUUAAUCUUGCAUGCAAGCCUAGCCUAUAGAUUAAGCUUGAAUUUUGAAAGGAAUUGAAUAUAUCUGUAUCUCUCUCUCUUGUUCUUCUUCGAAAUAGAGUGACAUGCAGAACUAAAUAAACUGACCUAUAUAUAUAUAGUCAAGAUCUCGAAUUCUUCAUGAAUCCAAUCCCUUAAAAUCCAAGAAGAAAGGAUCGCCGUAGUCCCAAAGGCCCGGCACACACUCUUCCUCGCUCGUCAGCGGCCACAUCAACGGCGACAUGGGUCCCACUGCCUCCACAGGAAUAUCCGAACACCCCGGUGCAACCUCCAUAGGCUGCGUAGACAACCCCGAUCCCACAAGCGAAUUCACAUCCUCGUACGAACAGCACUCCUGAUUAUUGUUAUUCUGGUGGGGUACUUGUCGUUGGUAUUGAUCGUGACUAGGGUUUGGAUGUAGAUACGAGGUUGACGUGUCACAACCGCUGCCGCCGGAUAAUGCGAUGGGGUACUGAUGAUGAAAUUGUUGCACCACAAUUUGUUGCUGCUGAUGUUGCUGUUGUUGUUGGUGCAAAGGAUUAAUGUUGUUUUGAUACUCAUGAUCUUGAUCUAACAUGUGAUGAGGAUGCUGAUUCAUACGUACGGACGAAGUUAGAGCACAACCGGCGACGGCCGCAGCAGCAGCAACGUUAUGGUAGACUCCUAACCCUAAGUCAACACCGUAUGGAACGAACCCCGAAGCCAUGAGCGGGACCGGGUGGGCAGAGGAGGGGUAGGGCAGAGUAAGGCCGAAGCCCGAGGGGCGGGGGAGAAGUGGUCUUAGGGUUUGGGUGGAGGAGGUGGAGGUGGAGGAGGAAGCGGAAGAAGAGGAGCCCCGCGUGGAGUUCUGGGACGAGGAACCGGAGGGCUGGAGGUUAAGCUGGGCUCUGGAACCGUAAAGGAUGAUGGCGGCCCGGUCGUAGGCGCGGGCAGCGUCCUCGGCAGUGGCGAAGGUCCCGAGCCACUUGCGCGUCCGCUUACGCGGCUCACGGAUCUCAGCCACCCAUUUGCCCCAGCUGCGCUGGCGCACGCCGCGGUACCUGAACUUGUUGUUGUCAGGGCCUCCUUUGCCCUUGCACUUUCUGUUGUUGUUGUUGGUUAUUUCUGUUGUGGCGGUGGAAGCGGUGGUAGAGUUGUCCUCAGUGGUUUUGUUGCUGUUGCUGUUGCUGUUGUCUUGGGGAAGGUGAUGAUCUGGUGCUGCUUCAGCUGCCGAAUCGCGGUGUUGGUCUUCUUCCAUAGGGUGAGGUGGCGGCGAUCUUUAAAGGUGGAAAGCUGUGUGUGGGGGUGGGGUGGAAAGAAUCAAUGGUGGAUGGAGACCACCACACACCACCUCGUUCAGUGUUCUCAAUUAGUCGAAAGAAGAGAGGGUUUUUUCUGAUAUUGUGUCUGAUUUCAAUGCCAUUUUUUGUUAAUGGUGGACUAGGGCGGUGGUCUCUCUAUUUAUAUAUAUUUUAUGGAUUUACUUUUCUGUGUUUUACGAGGAAGAGGAGAAAUUUUUAGUUGUGACGGCAACAUAAAUAGUGCAUUACGUGUUUUUAUGUAAAUUGUGAAAAAUUUUAAUUUUUAAAUUAUUAAUCUUUUAACAUACAUAUUUCACUAUUUAUAUAAAGACAUUUUGUGUAAUGAAAAAUCUCUCGAGCAAGAGAGAGAUUGUGAGGUGAGAGUCUGUGAUACAGAGAGAGAGAGAGAAAGAGAGUGAUUGCUGUGCAGUGAAGAAACAAGACCAGGCGCAGUGGCGCACAUUGGUAUGGUAUUUGCAAUCUGCCAUUGCAUUAUUUACAACCUUGUUAAAAUGGUAUAUGAUGUUAUUUCAUUACAUCAAGUUCAUACGGAUAAUUUUAGGUAUAUCUGUUUUUUAGACAAAAUUUGUAAAUUAUUUACAUUUUAUUAACUAAAAAUAAAAACGUUAAUUAAUACAAAAAUAAAAAUUUACUUAUUAAAAUUACAUCAUAUGAUUUGUAAAAUAUAAUUCAAAUAGAUAACCUCUAUAGCAUUACCUCUUCAUAUAUACCUUGGUUUUGAAUGUUUUUGGAUUCCUGAUCUUAAAAUUAUUCGUGACUAAUGUAGUAAAAGAACAUAUUUAAAAUGUACGUUUUGUCUCGGUGUUUUUGUGGUGACUAGUGUAUUUUAAUUUUUUGGUGUCCGUUUCUGUUAGACGAUUCUAACUAGGCGCCGCUUUUUGUUACCAUUUUGACGUUUUAAUAAUAGUUAGUAGGUAAAACAAUACUUAUAAAUUUGAAGUUUAGGUAAAAAAUUUUGGAACUGUUAUUAACAUUUCAAAAAUUAUUAUUUUACACUUAUAAUUGUAUUUUUUUAAGAAUAAAAAAUUUAGAGUAAAAAAAUGAAAAUUUAGAGUGCCAAUAACAAUUAUUUUUUCUUUUUUUUUUCUAUCUUUCUUUUUUUUUUCCUUUUUUCCAACGAUAAAAGAUUGGGAGAUUUGAUUAAAUUCGAAUUGAAACUUUACAUCAAAUGCUAGUGUUAAACAACAUCAAGAUUUUAUUUAGUCCCAGUUAAAGAUAAAAAUUGUGCAAAAAAAAAACCUACAAAUAAAAAAUAAUUCACGUAAGCAAUCUGUUAACUAGAUUAAUUAUUGUUGUUUUGGUAUUUUGCCUUUAAAGUUUAAUAUUAAAAGCCUUGAUUUAAUACGCUUGUUCUUUCAUAAUUUCGAAUUCAAAUUCCAAACUUUAAUGGCUAUAUAAAAGUAUGACUUACAUAAGGCAAAACAAAAAACUCAACUCACUACUACAUUUUGUAAGGAGUAGUAAAUCUAAGGGCUAUACUCUUGACAAGUGUCAUAAGAUUAGACAAGUAGUUAGUAGUUUGUUAAACAGUUAGCUUAUAGUGUAAGCAACAUUAGUUGUAUAUAUGCUAUAAGGAUGAUGUAAAUAGUUAAGUAAAAUAAUAAAAAACAAACAGAUUACUUCUUCUUCAAGUAUUCUCUCUCUCUCUCUUUGUCUCUCUCUCUCUCUAAGUUUGAUAUCUUCUUCUUUUUCUAUAUAUGAUCAAGCUUGGUUAACAUGGUAUCAAUCGCCAUUCCAGCUUCAUCAGUGUUUGUUUCAGUGCAAGUAUAAAGUCUUGGCCGUUCUUCGAUCUUGGAUUCUUUGCUUCUGUUACUGUAUUCCUCUUGAAUUGGAUUCUUGAUUUCUUGAAUUGUAUUCUUUCUGAUUUAGGGUUUCUUUUCUCUAAUUUUGGGAUCGCAGUCUUCGAUUCUAGUUAUGCACGCUAACUGUUUGUGUUUUGUUCUCUAAGAAUCGUCUUCUUGUCGAUCAACAAUGGUGACCGCCACUCAGUUACAGAUAUUGCAGUCUCCUAUUACCUUUCUCAUUUCAUCGGUUUCAACCUCUGUAACCAUUAAAUUGGAUGAUACCAAUUACCUAACUUGGCAUUUCCAAAUGCAACUCUUAUUGGAAGGCCAUGGAAUUAUGGGUUUUGUUGAUGGGUCUACACCAUGUCCUCCUCGGUUUCUUGCUUCUAACUCUGGAGAUUCAGAGUCUUCCUCUAAGCAACCAUCUGAUUUGUCUUUUGUUUAUAAGGAAUCAGAUGACUACUUGGUUUGGACGAUGCAUGAUCGAACAUUGAUGCAACUCAUCACUGCUACUUUAUCUCUAUCUGCGAUUUCUUGUGCAAUUAGCAGUACAAGUGCUCGAGACUUAUGGACUCGACUCAAAGAAUAGUUCUCCACUGUUACUCGGACAAGCAUUUUUCAAAUGAAGUCUGAGUUGCAAACUAUCAAAAAAGGUACUGAUUCUGUCACUGUGUAUCUUCAAAAAAUUAAAGAAGCUAGGGAUUAUCUGUUAGCUGCUGGGGUUUAUUUUGAGGAUGAUGAUAUUGUGAUGGCCUAUCCUCUAAGUACAACACAAUUCGGUAUGUGGUAAGGAGGCGUGAAUCAGUUAUUUCAUUGAAGGAUCUUAGGUCACAGUUGCUUGCAGAAUAAGCCAUGCUUGAGACUCUUAAUACUACUCAUAUGUUCAAUGCAUUAGUGGUUCAAUCUCUAAAACCCUCCACUUUUAAGUCAUAGUCUCAAUCUGGUAGGCCAUAUUAUUCAUAUAACACCAACCUUGGCUACAAAUCUUCCAACAAUAGGAACAAGGGCAUAUAUAAUUAUAAUACCACGUUCAAUAACUCUCAACCAUUCUUCAACAAUGGUAAUUCUGGUUCAGGUAUUCUUGGCUCGGCUCCACAGUUUGGAAUAACUCUUCUUAUUCCUUGUUAAAUUUAUGGAAAGACAAAUCAUUUGGCUGACACAUGUAGGUUUUGGUCUUCUCAAGGGUGUUAGAUUUGUGGCAAGACCAAUCAUAUGGCUAUCACUUGCAAAUUUCGAAAUGUUGCUCAGUCUAAUGGCUGUCAAAUAUGUGGUAACCCAAAUCAUAGUGCUGAUUUCUGCUUUCAGAAAGGUUCUUCCUCUCCAAUGACUGCCAUGUAUUUCAAUCACAACCUUGAUAAUUCAGCUGCACCUUAAUUGCCUUCUGCACCGCCUCAACAAGUUUGGAUCACAGAUACUAGAGCUACAAAUCAUAUGACCAUUAAUUUGUCCAAUAUGUCACUCGCUUCACCAUAUCCCUCUCAUGAAUCUAUUCAAACAGCUAAUGGUGCAGGUUUACCUAUUUCUCAUAUUAGUCAUUCCACUCUUCAUACUCCAUUGCAGUCUUUUCAACAAAAGUCUGUUCUAUUUGUUCCCAAAUUGACACAGAAUUUGUUAUUUGUCCAUCGUAUCUGUUUGGACAAUAAUUGCUGGUUAAUUUUUUAUGCCUUUUGUUUCUGGAUUCAGGACAAAACCACAGGGAGGAUUUUAUACAAAGGGAAGUGUAAAUGGGUUAUAUCCAGUCAUUUCUCCAUCAACUUCUGUUUUAGUAAAGAAGGCUUAUGCAACUGCUUAUCUUGGACAUCAAUUUAUAUCACGGCUUUUGCACCACAAAUUAGGUCAAUAGCUAAUCCCAUAGUCUCUCAAAUCCUUCAAAAGUCAAAUGUUCCUCAUACUUUUGAGUCUUUACCUAGUGUUUGUUCUACAUGUUUAGAGGGCAAGUUUAGUAAACAACCAUUUCUUAUGUCUUCAUCCAAAUAUGUAAAACCUUUUGAGAUUGUACAUAGUGAUGUUUGGGGCUCAGCUCCUUGUAUUUCUGUUGAAGGCUUCAAAUACUAUGUUACUUUUAUAUAUGGGUGUACUAGGUUUUGUUGGAUUUUUCCAAUUUGCAAUAAAAGUGAUGUUGGUACUACCUUUGUCUCUUUUUAUAAUUUCAUUGUCAAUCAAUUCAAUGCUUCUGUUAAAGUGUUGCAAUUUGAUGGUGGGGGUGAAUAUAUAGGCAAAUCCUUUCAAAAAAAUUUGGUGGACAAAGGCAUUAAUCAUCACAUGUCUUGUCCACAUACCUUAGAGCAAAAUGGGCUUGCCGAGAGAAAACAUAGACAUAUUAUAGAGACAUUCAUUACUCUUUUACAGACAGCUUCUUUACCACCUUCUUUUUGGUCAUUUGCUUGUCAAACUUCAGUCUACCUAAUCAAUCGAAUGCCUUCUUCCACUUUGCACAAUAAAUCUCCUUUUGAGGUCUUGUUUAAUUCUAUUCCUGAGAUUCAUCACCUCAUAGUAUUUGGUUGUUCCUGCUACCCUUUACUUAGGCCCUAUACACAUAACAAACUACAACCUAGGACCACCAAGUGCAUCUUCCUAGGGUAUGCUUCCAAGUAUAAGGGUUACGUUUGUUUUGAGGUCAAUACAAAGAGAGUUUAUAUAUCUUGCCAUGUUCUGUUUGAUGAGACCGAGUUCCCAUAUUCUACUUUGGUCUCUAAAUCCUCAUCAAUGUCUACUAUAUUGCCUACUAUGCAAACCUCUAUACCUAUACCAAUCCCAAACCUUAAUAAUGUCACAGUUUAUCCCAGUUUUGAAUAUGUGCCCAUUUCCUUAUCAUUAUCAUUGUCACUAUUACCCAGUACUGAAUUUGUGCCCACUGCGACUAAUUAUGGAGAAUUGAACAACAAUGUUUCUAUACCCCUGAAUGUUUCCAGCUCUAGUUCUUCCAUUGCUCCAUCACCCAUUACUGCCACUGCUCAACAAUCAUCUACUUCACUCUCUAUGGUUCCUGAUUUCCUAGGGGAUCAACUUCAAGUGGUUUUGUCUAUACCACCAUUAAAUAUGCAUCCUAUGUAGACUCGGUCCAAGAGUGGGAUCUCUAAAAAGAUUGCUUUAUUAGCUUCUAUUCAUGAACAUGGUGGUGUUGAUUUAACUAAAGUCGAACCUGCAACAUACAAAUAUGCACUUAAGUCUCCAGUAUGGUUGGCUGCAAUGAAAGAUAGGUUAAGUGCUCUCCAUAGUUAAGGCACUUGGUCUCUUGUCCCUCUUCCUCCUCACAAGAAUUUAGUCGGCUACAAGUGGGUUUUCUAGAUUAAAAAGAAUGCAGAUGGUUAUAUAGGGAGGUAUAAGGCUCGAUUGGUUGCAAAGGGUAAUAAUCAAGAAUAAGGAAUUGACUAUGGUGAGACGUUUAGUCCUGUUGUUAAACCCACUACAGUAAGGUUAGUACUUGCCUUGACUGCUCAAUUUAAUUGGACCCUUCGCCAACUUGAUGUGAAAAAUGUUUUUCUGCAUGUAAAGUAGUUAGUAGUUUGUUAAACAGUUAGCUUAUAGUGUAAACAACAUUAGUUGUAUAUAUGUUAUAAGGAUGAUGUAAACAGUUAAGGAAAAUAAUAAAAAACAAACAAAUUACUUCUUUGUCAAGUAUUCUCUCUCUCUCUCUCUCUCUCUCUCUCUCUCUCUCUCUCUCUCUCUCUCUCUCUCUCUCUCUCUCUCUCUCUCUCUCUCUCUCUCUCUCUCUCUCUCUCUCUUAGUCUGAUAUCUUCUUCUUCUUCUGUAUAUGAUCAAGCUUAGUUAACACAUUUAACAAUUAUUGCGACGAAGCAAAAGCCGUCGUGCAAAGAAGAAAUUUGUUGUGCAAAGAAUUGAACAACGAAAGCUUUGUCGCCAUACUGUUGUCGCACGAAGACUUGAAGUUAGGGUUUGCACAACGAAGAUACUAAAGUUCGUCGUGCAAAGAAUUAUGUGCGACAUAAAUAAUAUUUGUCGCACUAAGUUUUAAGGGACGAAGGCCUUCGUGGCGCAAGAUUUAGAACCACAAAAGCUUGUUCAUCGCACUAAGUUUUAAGGACAAAGGCCUUCGUUGCGCAAGAUUUAGAACCACGAAGGCUUAUCAUCGCCUCGAAUUAAUGGUGAUGAAAAAUAAAGGAGAUUUUUCAAAGUGUCCAAUAUUCAAAUGGUACCCCACAUGUCAUAAUACAAGUGGAAGAAAUGAUAUUCUUUUGUUGUAACCAUGAAUUGCCGUCAUAAUUGUUAUUUCUUUCUUGGUGCUAUAAAGACAAUGAGUUGCCUCUGCUAUAAUUCCUUGCGCCACAUUUUGUUCCUCGAUCACUUCUAAAAGAAGGUUUUUUUUAUUUUUUUUUAUUUUUAACAAUUGAUAUUAUCUGCACUCAAGAUAGGGAGUAAAUUUAGCCUCACAAUAUGCUAGUAAUAAUAUGGUUCAAAUUUGUUUUUAGCGAAAAUUGAAUUAAAAACCUAUCACUUACAAAUGAAAGAUAAUACUAUCAAACUGUAAUACUAAGUGCCGCUUUUAAAAGUAGUUAAAACUAAAACUUAAAAAGAGAUACUUUGAUCCAUGUCCUGAAAUUGCAAUCGGUCUCCAGCAUGCUACUUACAAUUUUACCAACGUCUCAUUAAGUUAACCACGCGUAUUUUCAAGGUGGUCAAAGUCGGCCAUCCCAAUUUGAAAAUUUUGAUUCAAAUUGUUUUGAAUUUCUUCUGCAUGAUUAUCACUCUAUUUUUUUUUUUUUUUUUGUGUUAUUAUGCUUUCAGACCAUCACUAAUGAAGAUGCUACAUUUCAUUUUUAUGGUUGAUGUAACAAAAUAAAUUUUAUAGUCUCUUAUUUAAACGAAAUAUCAAAUUAAAAUACUUUUUAAUAUAUAAUUAAGAGUGUCAGAGUUUUAAUAAUAAAAUAUCCAAUAACGAAGAAAAUUAAAGAAAUUGUAGGCUCAACAUUACAUAUAUAACAAAACCAAAAAUGGGCAAUGCCUACAUCUUUGUCGUCAAAGUGGAAAAUAUCAAGCCAUGUAGGAUUUUGACAUAUCUUUUAAUUUGAACCAAAGUCAUAUUUUUCGGUCAAAAUAGUCCACGUAACAUUGUUUACGUCUCCUUUGAAGAUGCUCUUAUUUACCACAUUGAUGACAUCUUCUUUAGAAACGCUCUUAAUUGUCUUAUUUUUGCAGAUAUUUUAUAUUUAUGAUUUCUCAUUCAUCUUAAAAAAAUUGAAAAUUUGAAACUGUGAUUUUUAUUUUUCUAAAUUGAUUCAAAAUCUUAUAUAGGAUAAAUAGUAGUAUUGCUCAUACCUAGAUACUUAACUACUACUUGCAUGUAUAUUUUCUGCGUCAGAGGAUACAUUCUUAUCAUGAGACCUUGAACGAAAAAUAGAGAAAUUUUAACACGAUUUUUUAAAAGUGGAAUUUUCUAUAAACUCUCAUCAUCUCAUUUUUUUUUAAUUUGACUUUUCGUGCUAAUAUUGUAAAAUAUUAUGCAAAAAUAUAGAUUGUAGAAAAUCUAUAAAAAGUCUUAUUUUUAAAAGAAUCUCCUUAACAACUCUUCGAAAAAUAUCAACAUGUAUAGAACUAGUAGUUGUGAUAAUGUUAAUGAUAGUAUAUACACACACACACGUAGUAUGUUCUAUGGCUUGUAGUUUUGUAUGACAACUAUCAGACAGUCCUGCAAGAAUCUGCUGUUAAUUAAAUAUCAAAAUAAAAUUCAUAUAAAAUUGCAUAUGUUUGUGGUAGUAACGUGUUUUGAUUAUUAUUCUUUUUCUACAAUAUUUUGUGCCUGUAAACAAUCAAUACAAGCAUAAUCCUACCAUACGGUAUUCGACAAAAAUUGUUUUAUAUUAAUCAUUUGAAAAUAUGAAAAAUAGAGGGUUUGUUGGCAAUGAGACUAUCACAUCUUAGCCCUCACCACAUCUUAGACUCAACUUCAUCGUAACACGAUAUUAUCUGUUUUGGGCCUCGACUACGCCUUCACGGUUUUGUUUCUGGGAACUCACACGAUAAAUUCUCAGUGGGUCAUCCAUCAUGGGAUUGCUCUUGCACGAACUCGCUUAACUUCGGAGUUCCGAUGGAACCCGAAGCCAAUAAGCUCCUAAAAGGCGUCAUGCUAGAUAGAGAUGAGAAUAAACAUAUAAGGCUUAGAGGAUACACUCCCCUGAGUGAUGUGGGAUGUUACAGAAACAAACUUAGAUAUUAGACUAGUCAAAAGAACGAUUCUUACCAACUCAAUCAACAUUCGUUGAUAAUAGUUCUAAAACUUUCAUUAAGUAAUAUGUGCAUGCCAAUUACAAACCAAACCUAAACAAACAGCAGUGUCGAUAAGCAAAUAUAAUAAGGCCUAAACCCAUUAUUGUUCGAUUGUAAUUUGGAAUUGAAACAAACCGCAGCGAUACACAACUUAUGGCUCGUUUGAAUGUUUUUUUAAAAUGAUUGAAAGCGCUUUUAGAAAAAAACAAUUUGGGUUCCAAAAGCACUUGAGGUGCUUUCUGUAAGAAGUACUUUAAAUGUUUUUUUAGGUUUACUUACAUUUUUAUUAAGGAUUGGUUCUAAAAAUAUUUUCACUAAAAACGUUUUCAAUUAUUUUAUAAGUACAUUCAAAUAAGCUCUUAGUUCGAACCGAACGAACUCAAACGCGUCCAUCCCUGCUGCGGUAUCUUGGCUUGCAAUAAUUGUAAGACUAAUAAGUUAACUUUUUUCGGAAUAAGAGAGUGUGAAGCGUCCAUUCCUGCUGCAGUGUAUUGGCUUGCAAUAAUUGUAAUAUCAAUAAGUUAACUGUUUUUCGGAAUAAGAGAGCGUGAAUAGAGAAAUUUUUAAUUGUGACAAAAAUACAAAUGAAAUACUAUGUAUUUUAAUAAAAAUGAUGAAAAUUUUUACUUUUUAAAUUAUUAACUUUAUAUAACACACAUAUCCUACUGAAAAACCUCUAUGUGAAGGAACUUGUCUGUGAAUACUCGAUGUGGAAAAUGACGAUGAUGACGUGGAAGGCGGAUUUGCAUGCCGGAGUGACGUGUCUGAAGACCAGAGGAUGUGCAGCAAAUAUUAGGAGCAGAAAGCAUGUGGUGGCCAGCCCACCGCAUUGGAACUCGCAGAGGCAGCCGCAGCAGCAACUAAACAUUAAAACCAGUUGAACUUAGAGAGAGAUUUUUCAAUAUGAUUGGAAUACAUGAUAGUAUAUUAUGUGUUAUUAUAUCAAUAAUAAGAUAUAUGUGAUAAAAAAUUAAUAACUUAAAAAAUAUAAUUUUUCAUCACUUAUAUAAAAACACAUGAUGUACCAUCUGUAUUUCAGAAUAAAAUUUUUCUCCCCAAAUAGAUAUGGAGGGACAAUUUCUGUCUUCUGAUACGAUGCCCUAGCCCUGUUGCAAAAACAAAUAAAACUAAUAUAGUUUCCAAAAAAUAAAACUAAUAUAUAAAUAUAUUUACAUAAAAGAUUAGGCGACUUUGUGCCCUUAGCUUGUUCUCCACUCAGUCUGGACAACUCUUGGAAUAUUUGAUCAGCAUUUUGCUUGUUGUAAGCAUGGAGGGGAGCUGUUCCAAUCUGAGCCACGCCUCUCCUUCGAUACAAUUUCUUUUCAACAAAUUAUCCUUUUCUUGUUGUACGACAAAUAUAUAUGUACAAAUGAGGUAAUCGAUGUGAGUUCAUAGCAGCGAUUUCGAUCGUAGUCUAUGUUAUUUUGUCAACAAAAGGUUUAUUGAAGAAAGAAAAUUUACAAAGAAUCGAGGUGAAUUAGUGACAUUGAAAUUUAUUGAUCAAAAAGACAAAAAAAAAGAAGAAGAUAGACACUGAACUUUGUACUUUUCUUUGAUCGUACGCAUUGUAAAGGCAUCUGAAUAUAUGAACCAAUUCAACACAAAUCCCAGGCCCUGUAUAGUACUGACAUGAUCUAAAAGGCAUCGAUCCAAUCAGGAAAAAAACAGAAGCAUUUUCUAUGCAGUGUUCUCAUUGUUUAUAUAGAUACGGUAUCGUUUCUUUAUAAAAUAUAUGACGUAUCGAGGCAAUUAAAAACCUUUUGCUUGUUUCAGUUUCACUUUUUGCAUUUGUAGAGAGAAUGUCCGGAAUGCAAAGGGUUUUUGCCCGUUGGGGGAGCUUGAUAGGGUUUCCCCUCUUCAAAGUGUUAAAUGCUAAGCCUUCUAUUUAUACUAUCCCACCAGAGAUGCUUUCUCUGCAUGUUUAUUUACAAGAAAUGUAAUAAUAAACUUUCUCCGAUUCUUGACUAAAACAUAAGUAAUAGAAUAUAUAUAGAGAGAAUCACGGUAAUAAGAGGAAUAGCUAUUCCUGACAAAUGUUGAGGUUUAGUAUGAUUCACGAAUAUCAUCACCUAUAUUGUCUCAACUUAAUCAUCUUUUGUUAGGUUUUGAGUUUUAUUACAAAAGAUUUCAGUGAUAUAAAAGGUAGAAACUCUCAUAUAUUAAUCAUCGCUCGGAAUCAACAUGUGACUGUGGAACAUAACGGUACAAUAAUAUAAAAAGUCAUGCUUGAUUUCAAUACUUCAAAUAGAUGGGUUUCCACGUAUAUACACAAGGGUGAAGUGUCGAUUUAGUCUUUGAACUAUCACUUCAGUGAAAAUUAGGUCCCUGAAUUAUUUUUUGGUAAAAUAAGUCCCUAUAUUGAUUACAAAUUGCUAAUUUCAUCUCUACUAUUAUAUUCAAAGCUAUUUUAUCCAAUUUUUCGUCAACUUAAGUCACUUGACACACUUUAGAGUGUAAUACCAUUAUUUUCUUGUCUAUCAGCCCUUAACAUUUCAUAUUGGUUGCGAAUUUAAUGUCUAAUUUACCCUCGAAAGUUAACUCACACUAUUUCUCUAGGAAAAACUAUCAAUUUAUCCUUCAAAGUUAACUUCAUACACUAUUUCUUUAUGAAAAACUAUCAAUUUAUCCUUCAAAGUUAACUCCAUACACUAUUUCUUUAUGAAAAUCUACCAAUCUACCCUCCAAUGUGUAUCACAUGCAAGUAACAUGAUUUAAAUUGACGAAAAAUUGAAUAUAGUAGCUUUGAAUAUAACAUUAGGAAUGUAAUUGGUAGAUUUUUAUAAUUCAGGGACUAAUGUUUCUAAAAAAAUAAUAAUUUAGGGACCUAAUUUUCACUAAGAUGAUAAUUCAAAGACUAAAUUGAUUGUUCACCCUAUACACAAAUAUCUAAUGCCCAACGCAUGGGCUCUCAAAAUGAACCACUGAAAUUAAGAUAAAAUAAAGGACAAGGAAACCUAGUCGAUCCAGAUGUUUGAUCAACCACAUGAAGCUAUAUUUGAAGAUCCUCAUCCUAGUGAAACCUUGUCAAUUUGAAAAGUCAAUCCUACGCCGUGGGAAUGGUGCAUCAAGUAAAUAAAAAUCUAGAUAAGCACGAAGCUCGCAUGAGCAGUGAGUAGGUAAUUAUGGUUCACAAUGUACACUAGGUGUCACAUCCCGAUCCAGGACGGACCAUUUUCCGGACCCGUUCCACCACCGUAGCAAGAUAUUGUCUGUUUUAGGCCCCGAUCACGACCUCACGGUUUUGUUUCUGGGAACUUACAAGCAACUUCCUAGUGGGUCACCCAUCCUGAGAGUGCUCUGGCAUCCUUCUCACUUAACUUCAGAGUUCUUACAGAACUCGAAGCCAGUGAGCUCCCAAAAGGUCUCGUGCUAGGUAGGGAUGUGAAUGUACAUUUAAGGAUCACUUCCCUAUACGAUGUGGGAUGUUACACUAGGGUUGGAUAUGAAUGAGUACUAAUUCACAAAAUCUAACCACAAUAGUGUUUCUCAAUGCCAUCUUAUCCUCAAUUGCCACUAUGCACUGUUACACAUGUCACGUUGCUAUGUUAUCAAUGUUCACCUUCAUAUAUAAAAUUAAGCUAUAGGCUAGGGUUGUACUUUUGCGCCGAAGCCUACACUUCAUGCGGUCCCAUAAUUUCUUAUAUAACCAACUGGGAGGAAAGCAUAAAGUCCCACAACCACUCAACGGAAAUCGUCAAGAAUCGUCACUCUAUUGAACCUGACUAGAAUUUAGAGUUCAAAACCUCUCAAUGGAAUUCAUAGGAUGUAGGAUCAGACCAGCUCAACUGAAUCAUAGAAGAACUAGGACCCCAAACCAACUCAAUGGAAUCCAUAGGUUGUUGGGUUCCCAACAACUCAACGAAAUCAUAAAGGAGGUAGGAUUCCAAACCAACUUAAUGAAAUCCAUAUGACGUAGGAUUCCAGACCAACUCAACGGAACCAUAAAGAAGUAUGAUUCCAGACCAUUCAUUGGAAUCUAACUAUCGCAAUAGCAAUCACACAUUAUCGACGAUGUCAUCUCUAACUCAUUAUAGGUGGAAAUGGUAAAUUCAAUAGGGCACACGUAUAGGCACAUUUUCACUGCGGUAUUUUACGAAGGGAUAUUUUAAAAAAUACUCACCUCGGGUCCAAAGCAAUCACAAAUCGGAAGGGCAUUUAACCGAAGAAGUUAGAUGACUGCCAACACCUAUCAAAGUAUAUAACUAAUUCUACCAUUGAUACAACGCGUUCACCAAUUCGAAUCUCAAAGAACAAAUAUAUAAAUUGGAUUUUGAGCAUCCAUUUUAACGUAUUGCCAAAAACUAUGUCACCAUGUCAUGCGCCGCUGCCACGCGUCGAAGUAGGCGAUGGGCCUGCCAAAACCACCGCCAGAAACCAGCCAACAAAUAUCCCACAAUCCUAAGGGUGAUUCCAAAAGAUGGGCGGAUUUUUAAUGUUUAGUAAUGAAAAAUACACUUUAACUAACUAACUAUACACUAAAAAAUUAAUGAAAAAUAACAUAAAAUUACAUAAAUACGAAAUAUGAAAAUUGAAUAGAGAUAUUCAAGAAAAAGAUUUCACGGUAAUUGUAUAUUAAUUUGUCAUAUGAUUGAAGUGAGAUCUUAUUUUUCAACACAUUCCCUCACGAGUGGCCCUACAUGGGUCACAAGGGAAACCAAUUUUCACAUCUGUAACUGGUCACAUCACUACCAGAGCUAACUCAAAUUUUCAAGAGCCCGGUAAUCAUUCAAGGACUAGAGCUAAAGCAAAUUUUCGUUGGUCCAAUCAGUCAAUAACCUUAAACUGGAGCUAGUGCACAUUUUUGAAAAGCCCAUUUUAAGGAGAUAAAUUUGAGCCUAGUAAAUCGGGCCCAAAAUGUGUCAAAAGAAUAACCUGCUUUGAUACCAUGAUAAACUUUUUAGGAUCAGUGUGGUCCACCACCAACAUUUUAGAUAUUAUCUCAACUUAACCACCUAUUGCAAGGUGUUGGGUUUUAUCACAAACGCCUUGGUGAUAUUAGGGGUAGGAAUUGUAUAUUAUUUUGUCAUUUGAGCGAUAUGGAACCUUAUUCUCCAACAAUUGUCAUACUCAUUUGUCCAAUUCAUAGCUUGCCCUAUUUGAAGAAGUAAACUUGUAUAGAUUGUUGGAGCAAAUUCCUCCCGACCAGCGUGAAAGUACCCAAAUGAGUAUUUAGAACUCAGUAAAUGUCACAAAUGUUGAUUACAGAGAAUAAUGGGAGAGAAUGGGAUUAUAUACCAGUUUACAAUUAAUCAUGCUCAUCUCCUAAGCUAUGCUUAACAAACACAUACUAACAUAAUACACACGUGGCAUAUAAACAUAUAUGCCAAAUAAUUAGAACCAUCAACCUCCCAUCUGGAGCUAAAAAAAACUCACAUCUGAUCACACAGAGACAUAAAAAGGCAUCAACUCCCAUACUCUUAAGACUGUGACAAAGUUCAAAUAUGGGCUUUAUUGCUAAUGAGAAUUCUAGAGAGCUGAGUUCAUGCAAGGACAAUGCAUUAGGCCUGGACUAAUUUAGAAGGAUUUGAGAUCAGAAUUCAAAGUCAAACAAAAGCCCAAAUAGGCUAAAGCUGCCGGCAACUGAAUUCUAUUUGUACGCUUGAAAAAGGUCAUAACACAGCCACUCCUUCUGAGAUAAGAUAUUGUGUUUGGUAGGUUACUGUGUUUGCUCCUCCUCAUCCAACUUUGAAUCGCAUAGAGGUUAAAUUAUCACUAUGCUUCUCUUCUCAACAUCGUUUUGCCUUCCGGUAUUUGCAAAAACAUCUAAACAGUGUGCCUGACAAAUUAUUUAGGUGCCAGAUUGACGAACAAACACAAACAAUUACAGGUAUGUUUGAUUACUAUUUAGUUUUUUAUUUUUAUUUUUUGUGUUAGUGACAUGGGAAAAAUAAUUGGAAAAAAAAAAGAGGGAUGAAGAAGAGUGAAUGAAGGAUACCUUCACGCUGUAAUCAACAUUUGUAACAUUUACUGAAUACAGGUAAGAUAUGUAUUGGAAGACACAAAAAAUGAGAGUAUGAUGCUUGCAUUUUCUCCUUGGGGGAAUUACCUCAUUCCUCCACUUACAAAUAAUAUAUCUUCACCGUUAAAUCUCUUAAUCUUCAUUUGAAAAUCAUCCCAACAAUAAGUCAUUCAAAUCGGAAAUCGUUUAGUCAUCCAAAUGUAUCAAACAAAUCAACGGUUCAUCAUGAAUAUGUUACUUGGUAUUUACACCAUUGAUUUUUUUUGAUACAUUGGGAUUACUAAAACGGUCUUUGAUUCGAAUGAAUUUCAUAUGGAUAAAAUUCAUAUGCCGAUUACGAGAUUGAGCAAUCUCAAUUAUGAAACUUUAAAUAGUAAACAUACGUUAUUUGAAAGUGAAGAAAUGAGCUAAUUCCCCAGGUGGAAUACAACUAUUAUCCAAAAUGAAACUAAAAAUCUAUGUCAAACUCUUUUCACUUUAAAAAAUUUGUAUUUAUUCCUUUCAUCUUUACUUAAUGUUUUAUAUAUAUAUUCUUCUCGCGUAUCACAACCAUUAAAAUAAAGUGAAAAUAAUUAUCAAACAGAUGUUGAGCUAUGAGCUAUGUGCUAUAAGUUUAUACAAUCAUCUUAAUGAGUAAUCUUCCAUUUGAAUAUAUUGUUUAACGAACAUCCAUUUGAAUAUGUUGUUCAACAUGUUCGUUAAUACCUUUUGCAUAGACAUGAAUUGAAUCCAACGGUUCUCAUCGCACAGUACAAUUUACCAAUUUGAUCGCACGCAUCUUGGACGACGACAUGAGAAAUUUAGAACAGUAAACCCUAAACCAUCGCGCUCUCUCUCUCUCUCUCUCUCUCUCUCUCUCCAAUUAUACAAGUCAGAAAAUACUAUACAAAGUCAACGGCAAGAGCAAAAGAGAGAGGGAAUUCUUUUCUACUGGUAUUACUUAUAAGUUAUAACUUAUAAGUAAGGACUCUUGACCAACAUCUCGUAGUUGUCAACUGCACUUGUGGGGACCGCCACCAUCACCUUAACAGAUUCCCCCUGUUCAUCAUCACCAUCGCCAGAACGUCCAGCUGGCAAAAACAAGCAGUACCUAUCGCUGCAUACGGGCCCCACGUGAACCGGCUUCCCCAUCCCGAAGUCAACCCUCUCCAGCCCCAGCCUUGACCACUGCGACACGAUCAGCACCCCCACAGAGUCCGGACAGGCCCUCCCCUCCCCGCUCACCAACUCCACCACCCUCCGCACGUGCUCCUCCUCUACCCUCUCCUUUGCGCGCUUCACCAGCUCAGCCGCGUGCCACAGACCCUUCUCCUCCAGCUCCCUCGCGCUGCAUUGCGCGCACCCCAGCACGAACGCGUUCCCGUAAUACCCACCGGGUAGACUCGGCCUGACUCGGUCACGUACGUUCACGCUGAAUAAAAUCUUUAGGGUUUGGUUUGGUGGUAGGUUCAAUGCUCUUGCCCAACUGCGCCACACGUGGGCGGAGAGGACCUCGAACGACGUGUACGCUGAUAACGAGGUACUGGGUCGACUCGUCGACACAGCGAGUUUCUUCAGCUCAAUUAAAUGUUUUUUAUGGAAAGUGAUCGAGGUGGGGGCGAGUCGUUCGUUGGCGAACCGAGUCACGAAGCCGGAAACGUCCGGGACCUUGCUGAACUCGGGGUGACUCGCCGCCUUGAUUAUGCGAUGAUGACAUGGAUUUAAUGCACGAUUUACGGGUUGUGGGUCCAGAAGGUGGCGAUCCCAUACAGGCUUGGGUUUGAACUCGCUAGUGAACCCACGCUUUCCGGCUGCCAGCCCGGCAAACGAAUUGAGAAAUUCGGCGCUUCCGAUCCCGUCGCAGACGCAGUGGUUGAAUCCCACGCCAAGUGCCGCCGCUCCAUCUUUCAGCCACGUCAGUUGGACAACGAGCGGCGGAGCCCCUUUAAAUACGUCAGCCACUUGGAGCGACAAUAGCUUCCUCCACUCGGUGACGUAGCGCGGAGCCCGCUCAAAAUUAGAGACCGCAACAUUGUCGGAGACAGCUUCAAUGAACACUGCGCCCUGAGCCCGACAUACCACCUCGAGGCUGAAGCCAUCGGGCUUGGGGCGCACUCUGCCUGCUAGCGGAUAGUAAGGCACCAAAGCCUGAGCUAGUGCAGCCUUGACACGCGACGCAGUCGAGGCCUGAUUCAGUUCCGGGCAAGGAGUGUAGACCAAGAGGUACUCGAUGGUGAAGCGUAGGAAGAGCUGCGAAUCGACGGCGGAUAGGUUGAGAAUGCAAGGCGGGGUGGGCGCGGAGGGCGUGACCACCACGGCCUCCUUUACACGGACAGAGCUUCCCAUAUCCUCUACUUUAUAAUGAUCAAAUAAAUGAAGAAUUUAAUUAAACCUUGAGUUUUGUGUAUUUUGGGCAAUGUGGGGGGGGGGGGGGGGUAGGGUUUUUGAGUUUGGUUUUUUUUCAGCUGAGCAAUGGAUGAAUAUAUAAGAGAGAAAGGAAUUUGUCGUGUUUAAGAGGGGUGUAGUAAAGUUCAGAUUUGAAGGAUUUUAAAGACUAUAGAAUCAGAGUGUAGUUAAUUUAGGAUUUUUAAAAAGGACUUUAAGGGGGCAUUUGUUGCGCUGGACUAUCUCGGAUUGGACUAGCUUUAAGGACUAAGUUGGACUGACUUAGACUAGACUAAGCUGGACUAACUUAGUGAAACGUUUGGUGCAGUGUUGGACUAAGAAGCUGGAUAAUAACAAAUUCUAAUAUUAUAUUAUUUAAUAUAUAAAUUAUUAAUAUUUUAUUAUGAUCUAGGUGACCGGAGAUGACGAGGAGUCUAUCGAGAGUGGUUGUUGAGCAUGACGAGGACGAGAGAGGAUAGUCUUAGCUACUCCCAUGGUUAUUGGGGGGUCUCGCUAAGACCACUUAGUGAAGGGUUUUGUCCAUGCUAGUUCCCUUUAGUCUCAUUAAUGUUAGUCCCAGCAUGGAACAAACACAGUAUUGGACUAACAGCUAGUCCAGUCCAGUCUAAUCUCACUUAAUAAGGGCAAACAAACGCCCCUAAAGGAUUUUGAAAUUAUGAGGUACUGAAAGUAGAAUUUAAUAGAAUUAAAAAAAAAUGUAUUGAGCUCAGAUAUAGUCAAUUAAGAUUUUUAAAAAGUCUAUACAAAUCUAUAUGUAUUCAAAAUGUCAUUAAUCUUGAAGAAUUUCAUUAAGGGUUUGUUUGAAAGUAGUACUUUUAAAAUGACUGAAAGUGAUUUUGGUGAAAUUGAUUUUGGGUUAUCGGAAGCAUUUUAAGUGCUUUUUAGAAGAAGCAUCAGAUAUGUGAUUCUUAUAAGAUGUACCUAAAAAGAUUUUUUGGAAUUCACUUGAAUUUUUACCAAAGAUUGGUUUAAACAAUAUCUUUACCAAAAACGUUUCAAGCCAUUUUAAAAAAGCUUGCAAAUGAAGAUUUUGUAGAAUUUAAAAAUAAAUUUUAUGCAUUACGAAUUUCAUCUCCACCACUAGAAUUUCUUUUCAAGUUCCUCUGCCGCUCUCUAUCACCACUAACAUGUUAUCUGGAAAAUACACCUUACCCCUUCUCCAGACCCAAUGGGACUAGUACGAAAUCUCUCUGAUAUUCUCUCGCUGCGUGUGUGUAUAUGUAUAUACUUGUAUCUAAAACCAAAGAUUCUCUUUGUAUCUCAAAACCCGUGUCAAAGAAGAACACACUUUGCUCUACUGGCUUCUUCUUCACCAACUCUACCUUCGGAUGUGACAUGUUCCCAGAUUCUGACCCGAAUAUCCCCGGAAACCGUAGGCAGUUGCAGACUUGUCUCGAAUGAAUGGAGCAACGCCAAGAAGUUACAUUGCUAAGCCACUGUUCUUCCUUGUAAAAUUACAUGCUAAGCCGUUGUUCUUCCUUCUCUCUCUCAAGCUAAUUUUACUGCUGAUGGAAUCCAAUCCUUGACAAACAACCUUUGUUACACACAAGGUCUAAAAUAUCGAUAUUAUCCCGAUAUUUCCAUUGAAAUUUAUGUGUUUUUGGACUACUGAUAUUUCUGAUAUCAUCGAUAUUUUAAACCUUGAUAGGAACUCUAUGUGGUACUAAGUCACUCAUGUAUCUUACCAUGCAAUGUAUAAAGUGUAAAAUAUUAUACUAAUUCAUUAUAUAUAAAUGAUUAUGGUGUAUUUAAACUUUUUUCAUUAAUUACUACAUAUUUUCUACAAUCAUAAUGUUUGCCAGCUCGUUAUAUAAUCAACUUAAAUCAGUUAAAUCCAUUAUGCAAUGCAUUUCCUUCCAAUUUUUUGUGAUAAACUAUUAGAUAAUUGACUAAAUAAACAUCCUGCAAAGUUUCAAUAAAAAUUUCUUAGUUUUUCUUACAAUUUCCGUGAUUUUUAUUCAAUUUUUAUGGAUAUCGAUAAUAUCCCGAUAUUUCCAUCGAAAUUUUCGUGUUUUUGAACCAUCGAUAUUUCUAAUAUCAUUGAUAUUUUAAACCUUAGUUACACAUAUGCAAGGAAUCCAUAGAGAUCUACAUUAGAAACGAAUAUAAAUUUGUUAAAAUUCAUAUAAAAUUAUCAAGUUUAUAAAUAUUAUCGAGAAUCUUUCACUCGGAAAAGUCAAUACAUUAAAAUCUUCUAAAAUUCAAAUUAACCGCGCCCCUUUAACAAAUCCAAGGCCAUGUGUGUAUGUUUUGCUGAUUUGGUAACUGUGAAAGAUUUGUACAAGAUUCUCUGUGUGUUACUUUAUGGAAAAAAUUAGUAUAAAAACAAAAAACUAUUGUCAAUUAUUGCCUUCCCUUACUGAUAGGUCUCUCUCCUACCGGUAGACUGAUGAAAAUAUAUACAAAGAACAUUUUCAACUAAUCACUUAAUCAAAUAUUUAAUUAGUAUAUUCACUUUGUCCGGUGAUAUUAAUUAUUGAGAAACAUUUAUAGUAUAAUAAGUAACAUCAUUUAUACUAAUUUUUUUUUAACAAAUGAUAAGAUAAUUUAUACAAAAUCUUUUUAAACUACGAAGAGGGGAAUUCAAAUGUAGAUCCUCAAAUUCAAGCCGAAUCCUUUUAACCAAUUAAACUAAAUCUCUUGACAUUAUAAGUGCUUUAUUGGAAAAUGCACUUUUAAGAAGCUUAUUUGCGAAAAAUCCCCAUUUAAAAUAAUAAAUUUGAAUUUAGUAUUACUAGAUUAGUUGGAGUAAUAUACAUAAAAUCCUAACUAAAAUCUUAACUAUAGUUCGGUUUAGAUGAAUUGUGUGCACCCUUAGAAAUGUAAUAGUUUGUGUAAUGUGUUGAUUAUUCGCUUAAUAAUACUUUACUACUCAAAAGAUGAGUAGGGAUUCCUCCUCAAAAUUGUCAUUGCCGAUUUACAGAAUUUUAUUUUUAUGAUCCGAACCAUUCUUAUUAUAAAUUAGUAUUAUUAAAAAUAGAUGCACAUAAAUACAUAAUUGGUAAAAGCAUUACAAGUCAUCUAUGUAUUUAUUACAAUAGAUUGAGUAAACGGCUUUAGGUUUAAUUCAAAUUUUGUAGAGAUGAUUUUUACAGAGUAAUUUUCAAUGUCAACUGUUCUUAUCAUAAGUACAAAGUUUUAUAAUUCGAACACUAAAUUUUUUGAAUAGAAUAUCUUACUCAUUCUUGAGUAGCCAACAUUAUUCUUAUUCGUUAUAUGUAUGUUUUAAUUUAGUUACAACAAGUAGGUGUUUUAUAUAAUUUUGUGGCAGGUGUAGGGAACUGAUGGACGUGGAGACUGAUACCUGUCUACUACUUGUCUGCGGUCUCUUAUGCAACAAGAUAUUGGCACAAUCAUAACAACAUCACGUAAAACCUGCUUUGUAUGGCUGGAUGUCAAGAUAAAAAACUGGCCUUUUGGGGACGUUUUGCUUUUGGAGUAGGGUCUAUAAUUAAAAGGCAAUUUUUAGUAUUAUUUAUCUCACUUUCUUAUAAUUUUAGGACGGGAAAUGUUAUUCUCAAAUUUAUUUUUAUUUUUCACAUAUUUUUUUUAAUUUUUGAUUGUUGAAUUACAUAAUUCGAAGAAGAUCAUGAUAAAAAAUUACAAAGUGUGCAAAAAAAUAAGUGUAUAAAUAACACUUUCUUUUAGAAUAUCCAUCAUCCACUGCCACUAUCCCACUCCCACAUCACACAUAGAAAAACAAAAGACAAAAACCAUGUGAAAUAGUUAGAGGAUUGUAAUCGAAGAUAGAUUAGUCUGGUUUUAUUUUAAGGAAAACUAAUGAAAAGAGCUUGAAAACUUUGAGUUUUAAUGAUAAGGACAAAAUAAAGGGUAAAGUGAAUAGUACCAGAUUUGACUUUUUAGUGUAAAAAUGUGGUUUUUCGUUAAAGUGAACAGUACCGUGGGCUUUUCGUUAAAACUUCCUUUAUUUUAAUUUUAUAUGUUAUAAUAUGAGUGCAUUAUUUGUUGAUUAAUUAUAACACAUGUUAUGCACAUAUUCUUUGUUCAAUAUAUAAUUAGUGUUUUCGUAGAGCGUAGGGAAGCUGGUGAACGAGAAAGGGUAGGGGAAGAAAGGAGAAGAGUACGACAGGAGAAGAAAUGUGAAACUUUAACGUUUGCUAAGUCUUAAGGUUUUUCCUUUGUCUUUUUUUUUUGUCUUCUCAAUGUUAUUUGGUUUUUUAGUUCUUUUUAAUUGAAUAAAAAUUCAUAUAGUUUUAAAUGAUAUGAUUGUCCACCUAAAAUGUCACUUAAGAUAGUUUGACAUUAUAGUACGAAUAUAAGGUAAAAGUAACGUUUUCCUAUUUUAAAACUGAGAUUUAAGUACUAUUAAAUUAAAUGUAGUCUAAACAUUAAUUUAGGAGGAGGCGAAUCAGUAGGAAGAAUUGUGCCUAUCACUGUAUCACAUAUAAUUGACUCUUUUUACCAGAUGCUGACUAUUUGAUCAGACACAUUGCCUAUUGUCUAAGCCCCAUGUUCGAUGGAUCGGAUUGAAAAUACAUGUUUUCAAUUUCCAUAAAAAAAAAUUUCGGAAAUGCAUAUCAGUUUUAAUUUCGGUAUUUCAUACAUUCAUACCGAAUUCGGUAUUAUCAUAAUCGAAUUAUUUUGAAAUUUUAAAAUUAUUGGAGUUGUAUGUGUUGACUGAUAUACACAUAAGCAACAUACCACAUUAGCAAGGUUGUUAUCCACAUCAGCUAAUCUGUCAGUUAGACAGUUAGGGUUGUAGGAAGCUAUAAGGUGGUUAUUAGUUUGUUAGAAACUUACCAAGAAAGAAAAGAGCAUGUAUAAAUAGAGAGCCUCUCUCUCAGACUUGUAUCGAAUUCAUUCUGCAAUAUAAAAAUCCUUAUUCAUUCUCUCUCUCGCUCUUUGUCUCUCUCUCUCUCUCUCUCUCUCUCUCUCUACUUCUUUACAACUUGAUAUUACUUUGCUCUUCUUCUUCGAUUCAUAGUGUAGUGUUAAAAUGUGUACUUCAUGCAUUUCAAGUAAAAUGUGUAGGCAACAUUUUCCUGUAAAACAAAGUAGUGCUACUUUUAUGUUUGAAAUAGUACAUUCAGAUGUAUGGGGCCUUCUCCAAAAGUAUCAAUUGAAGGAUAUAGAUAUUACAUCAGUUUUAUUCAUGAGUAUUUAAGGUUCUUGUGGAUAUUUCCCUUAGUCAAUAAAUCUGAAGCAGUUUCUGCAUUUAUAAAGUUUCAUGCUUUUGUAUCCAAUCAAUUCAACACUGAUAUUAAAUGUUUGCAAACUGAUGGAGGAGGAGAGUAUAUGAAUAAAGUGUUUGUUACAUUUCUAGAAUCAAAAGGGAUUGUUCAUAGAAUAUCAUGUCCAUACACUCCUCAACAGAAUAACAUUUCUGAGAGGAAACACAGACAUUUGGUAGAAAUAGCAUUGACUUUAAUGUCUGAAGCAAAUAUGUCUCCAUAUUUAUGGUAUCAUGCUUGUUUAUAUGCAGCGUUUUUAAUCAAUAGAAUGCCAAGCAAAGUGUUACAAAUGAAGUCUCCAUAUCAAAUGUUGUUUGACAAGGUUCCUGAUAUUCAAAGCUUAAAAGUAUUUGGAACUGCAGUAUAUCUAUUUCUUAGGCCUUAUAAUGCCAAUAAGCUACAUGCAAGGUUUGUUCAAUGUGUUUUCCUUGGUUAUGCUCUAGGGUAUAAGGGGGUUGUAUGCUACAAUGUUGAAACAAGGAAAAUGAUUUUAUAAAGGCAUGUAAUUCAGGAUGAAUUAGUAUUUCCAUAUAAAAUCUUGCACAAUACUAAGUUAAGUGAAAGUUCAAAGACUUCGUGUACUACUCAAAGGCCUAUUGUAGUUCAGGUUCCUAUUGAGAAUGUUAUAACAUGUCAGAAUAUUCAUAGGGAAAAUAAUGGUGAGGCUAUACAUGAUGUGCCACUCUAUAUAUCAAAUCAUAGUGUUCAUUCUGCUGAAAGAUCAAGUUCAUUGAAUGCAGCAUUAGUUUUUGAAUCCAUAUCACUGUCACAGGGUAUCUCUUCAACUCCAGAUUCCUAUCCCAUCACUCUUAGCUCUAUUGGUGUACCACAAAUGUUGCCUGUCCACAAUGACACACAGCUUGAGGUAAUUUUACCUUUCGCAUCUCAUAUAUCAUCUAAUCUUGGUGAAUUAAGUAAUGCUUCUAUUCAUCCACAAAUGAGUUAUAAGGGAUAUUUAGCUACAUUGUCUGAACUUCAAUCACUUCAAUUAGCUGAAGACACUUACUUUGGUGGAGGUUUUUCCUUUUUGGUUGUUAAUAGUGAUGCUGCUGAACCAUCAACAUUUAGAAAAGCUGCUACAAUACCACAGUGGCAAAGUGCAAUGCAAGAAGAGUAUAACUCUCUUAGGGCUCAAGGAACUUGGGAAUUAGUAUCACCACCUAGUGACAUGUCUAUUAUUAACAGCAAAUGGGUAUACAAAAUAAAAAAGAAUCCAGAUGUCACAGUUUCAAGGUACAAAGCACGGUUGGUGGCACAAGGUUUUUCCCAGAAGUAAGGUGUUGAUUAUUUAGAAACCUUUAGUCCAGUUGUGAGACAUACCACAGUUCGAAUUGUCCUACCAUUGGCUACCAUUAACCAUUGGGAUUUAAGACAGCUUGAUAUAAAAAAUGCAUUCUUGCAUGGUGAAUUGCAAGAAGAUAUAUACAUGAAACAACCUUAGGGAUUUGUGGAUGUAACUAAGCCAACACAUGUCUGCAAACUGAUUAAAUCUCUCUAUGUGCUUAAACAGGCUCCAAGAGCUUGGAACUUUAAGUUUACAAGCUAUCUACCUGAAUAGGAUUUAAAUCUUCAACAUCUUUAUUUGUCAAAAAGUGUGAAAAUGACAUGGUCAUACUACUUCUCUAUGUAGAUAACAUUAUCAUUAUUAGUUCCAAUUCUAGUAAAGUUCAAAGGAUAAUCACAGAACUGUCUGAGGUGUUUGAGCUUAAAGAUAUGGGCAUAUUGACAUAUUUUCUUGGUUUGCAAAUCAAUUAUAAAUCCAAUGGAGAUAUUUGUGUUAAUCAGUCUAAGUAUGUCAAAGAUCUUCUUCACAAAGCUGGUAUGGACUCCUGUAAACCAACAUCAACACCAUGCAAAACUCAUAAUCCUUUAAUUCUCAAAGAAGGAGAUCCAUUAUCAGAUCCCACUUUAUAUAGAUGUAUUGUUGGAUCACUGCAAUAUCUAACCUUUAAAAGGCCAGAUAUUGCAUAUGCAGUAAACACUGUAUGUCAAUUCAUGGCUAAACCAAUUGAGGUUCAUUUUGGGGUAGUUAAAAGGAUAUUAAGGUUUUAAAAGGAACUAUGCAUCAUGGAAUCACAUUCUCAGCUAAUACAGAAGUGGGGAUUAAUGCAUUCAGUGAUGCAGACUUAAAUAAUAGAAGGUCUGUCACUGGAUAUGUAAUCUAUAUUGGAUGCAAUCCAGUUUCUUAGCAAUCAAAGAAACAAGACUCUGUGUCAAGAAGUUCCACAUAAACUGAAUAUAAGGCCUUAGCUCAUACAGCUGCUGAUAUAGCAUUGAUCAGAAGUGUGCUAAAAGAUAUGGCUAUAGUAUUGAAUUCUUCCCCUGUGAUCUAUUGUGACAACAAAUCGGCCAUUGCUAUAAGUGCAAAUCCAGUGUUUCACUCCACGAUUUGUCAACGAUUUGUCAGUUAGAUAGUUAGGGUUAUAAGAAGCUAUAAGGUGGUUAUUAGUUUGUUAGAAACUUACCAAGAAAGAAAAGAGCAUGUAUAAAUAGAGAGCCUCUCUCUCAGACUUGUAUUGAAUUCAUUCUGCAAUAUACAAAUCCUUAUUCAUUCUCUCUCUCUCUCUCUCUCUCUCUCUCUCUCUCUCUCUCUCUCUCUCUCUCUCUCUCUCUCUCUCUCUCUCUCUCUCUCUCUCUCUCUCUCUCUCUCUACUUCUUUAUAACUUGAUAGUACUUUGCUCUUCUUCUUCGAUUCAUAGUGUAGUGUUAAUAGUAUGACUUCAUUAAUACCAAGGUAAAAAUAAUGUCAUUUCCAUGGCUCUCUCUCCAAUAUAUAAAUUUUUUUUAUAGUUCUCAAACUCUCACAUUUGUAUGUAAUAUAUUCAAGAGAGUUGUAAUUGAAAAAAAUAUUUACAUAUUUGAGUAUAUUGUAUUACAAACCCAAAGUCCAUAAGUACAUAUUAAGUGUAUGUAAUAGAGUAAUGAAAGUUUCGGAAUUUCAGAUCAGAUUUGAAAUAUUAAGUACAUUCCAAUUUCUAUCCAUUUUCUUCAGAUUGUUUUCUUUUUGGAUUUCAGAAUUUCGAUUUUGAAUUUGAAUCAGAUGGAAUAUUUUAGAUUGUUUCGCCUCAAAAUCAGUUGGAAUCGAAUAUUCCUAUCCAAGUUGCACCCGCAAUGCCUAUAGAAAAUUGCAAUUUUUUUUAUUGUUACAAAUGAGUGUUGAGAAACUUUUUUUUUGUUAUGGAAGUAGUGUUUCGAACCGCACUUCUUUCCUUUAUAAACUAUUUGAUUUAAUUGGAGUACUUAGUACUACGGUCUGGUGGUAUUCUGCUUCACUUAGAAGUGAGAGAUUUUAGGUUCGAAUCUCGUGGAUGACAAAUUUGAUACCAAAUUAAGUUACCCAUUAUGUAGCAUAACCAAUUUAAAAAAAAAAAAUUGGAGUAACUAUUCUAUGGAAAACAAAUUGAAACGAAAAUGUGCCUUAAAUUAUUCUCUUAAAAAGCUAAACGAAGCUCCCCCACCCGAAAAAUUUCUCCACUGGCCAGAGCCUAGAAUCAUAGUGCAUGGACGAUCUUAAUUAGAUUCAAUUCAAAUAUAUCUAUGGUUUUUUUGGUAGUGCUAUUCACAUACCAAUUUUUAUCUCUUACAUAUUCUUGUUAAUAAUAUUCAUUGACAGUCUUCAAUUCAUUCGAUUCGACGAUCGAAAAUGAAAAGGGGUGUGUGAGAGACAAAAAUUAGUGUGUGGAUAGCACCACCUUUUCUUUGUUGAGUGCAUUUUUCUUACCCUCUAAAGUGAGAGUGAUACUCAUUCUUUUAUUGAUUAUCGUUACGUUAGUUUAAAUUUCAAAAUUUAUGUCUUAAAUCAAUUAAACAAUAACUUAACGAGGUCAAUGAGGAAGUGAGCACCACCCCACUUGAAGGAGGAGCAAAGUUGCCCUCUUUUCUGUGUUAUAUCUCUUCUGACAUUGGCUUUGCUUUAGAGGAUGUUCUCUGGUGUGAUGAACCUUAAAGAAAGCACCCUAAUACCUAGGACGUUCCUUUAUAAAUUCCUCCCUCAGAUACGGACUACAUGAAAAAAAAAGGUUGAUGAAAAAAAAGGUUGAUGAAGUUAGCUGUAGAUUUGGUAUUGAUGCCAACGCAUGCAUCUUAUGUGGAGGGUGCCCUUGGCUUUGUGCUCGUAUUCGACUCUUCCUGCGAUUGACCUCUCUUUUGGUUUACAUUGUUCAUGCAGAAUAUUUACUUGCUAGGAUAUGCAUAUAAAGCUGGAGACGAAGUUUAACUAUUCUCCCCCUUUAUAAAUAGUCGAUAGUCUCCCCUAUACAUAGGGCUUAACUCAUCAAAUAUUGAACAUGUGACUUUGUACUUUGUUAUAUAUUUAAAAGCGAUUUAAUAAUUGCCGAUUUUAGUUAUAAUAAAAAUACGUCAAAAUACAAUAAUCUCAAUUCAGUUGACAAAAAAAAAAAAAAAAAAAAAAAAAAAAUGCACCCAUCACGUGGACACACGUAUUUUACUUUUACAAUAUUAUAAAUUAGUACGAGCAGUGUGCCUAUCCAAUAUGCGAAAGAUGCCUUAGAUGUCCACAGAAAGUCAUAUAUAUUAAAAUAAUACUAAAUUUCAAGGACUUGGAUUGUCUGCCCUCCCAUUUUGGUGCCCUUCCUGUGCCCUCCUGUUUUGUGUGGUCACGGUUAAGCCACGUCAAUAUUUUAUAUUAUUUUUUUAUAAAAAUAAUAAAACAAAAAGAAAUAUUAAUAUAAAAUAUUGACGUAGCUCAACCAUGACCACACAAACAGGAGGGCACACGGAGGGCACUGAAAUAAGAGGGCAGACAAUCCAAGUCCAAAUUUCAAAGUCUAGGAAACUAAGGAGAGGUAAUGCAUGCCUAUCCCAUUAUUUAUUGGGAACUUUAACGAAAAGCACCUGGUACUGUUCACUUUAACGAAAAACAUAUUUUUACACUAAAAAGUCAAUCAUGGUACUAUUCACUUUACCUUUUAUUUUGUCCUUAUCAUUAAAACUCAAAGUUUUCAAGCUAGUUUCAUUAGUUUUCCUUUAUUUAUUAGGAUUCCAUAUCUACAGUUUGAUCAUGAAGAGAUAGGAAGAUCGGAUUUUCUUAUUUAAACAAAUCCAUAAUUUAUUUCUGGAUUGUUUUAGUUAACUCAAUCUCAUAAACAAUUGGUGGAAAUUCAUUUAGCCAUGUGGUCCAUUUAAUCUUGUCGAACAAAGGCAUGCAAUAUUAUCCCUAACAAUGUGAUUUUCACGGUAUUGUUUAAGAGUUGUAUUAUUGUUUGUCACCGGCCCUCUGGCUUUCUUUUUUGCCUGGUUCUAUAAAUAAUAUUUCCCAUAUCGAUCCUUUGACUUUAAUUAUAAAAAAAAAAAAAUUAACAUCAAAAUAAGUCCCCCGCUACCAACUUCUAUGUGGCCCUUAAAUAGUACUUAAGGGUACUGGAUCUAUCUAUAAUAAUUAUAUGUGGCAUUGAGAUCUUGCUUACAUAAAAGAAAGGAGAGGAUCGUAUGGAUAAUGAUUCUUAAACAUCAUAAAAAAAAUUAUUUUCAUAAAGCACGUAUGAGAUUGUAUAUAUGUUUCCAUUUUUAUAAGAUCAAGUUUGCAAUUAGAAGUGAUUCGUGAUAGUUAAUCUUGUUUUGUUGCAAUUGCAUAACUACUAGUGCACGUUUUCAUAGAUAGACAAAUCGUCAUAGGUUUGAUUUUCACACGCUCUCUUUUAUCUUCUUGUAUUCUCCUUCGUGUUUUAAACCCAAAAAUUAGAUAAAUUAAUAAUAAAUAACCAACAUAAGUAAACAUAAAAGUGCAUGAGAACAAAAAAUGGGUGAGACUCAUUCGGGGGAAUUGGCCAAAUCACUUUUUGUUAACCUUUCCUGGUUGGAUUAUAUGUUUUGGCCUGACUUUUUGGUAACUUAGGUCAUCUCCAACCGAAGGUUCUAGAGGGUCAGAAGGCCGAAAAUAGCUCAAAAACCGUCUCCAAUCGAGAGUUAGGAACAGAGGGCUCGUGGGCCCCACGAAAUUUGAAAGGGCCAAAGGGCCAAUUGGCUGGCCUAAUACAGCUAGCCAGCUAGCCCCGGGUUAGGCCAGAAAUUCUCGCAUUCUUGUCGGAUAUUGUAAUACCCUGAAAAAUUUAAACAUAUGAAUAUGUGGAGAAAAUAAAAAAUAAAUUGAUUUAUGGUUAUGAAAAAUUUAAUUGAGAACUUUAAAAGUUUUGGUUCUCGAGAUUAUUAUAAAUUACGCUAUAAAAUUUAUUGAUGUGUGUAAAAAGAUGAAAAUGGCUCUCGUUGACUAAACGUAAUUAUACGAGGAUGUAUUUUACCCUCACAUAUUUUAUUGUAUUUCUUGGCAUAUUUGGAUUGAGCUCGAUCUUACGAGCACAUAGGUGAACACUGUUCGUCAAAUGGAAUUAUAACGAAUAAAAUAGAAUCGAAUGAAAGUAGGGGCAAAAUAUUCAUUUUGCCAUGGUGUCAGAAAGGUUCUAGAUUUUGUUUUUUUGAUGGAAAUAUGCUAAAAAAAAUAAAAAUGAAAGAACAAGGAGAAAGAUGGGGGGAGGAAAAAGGGUUGCCAAUUGGGGAGAAUGAGGAGGUAGAGAGACCAUUGAGAUGAAAGGAGAGGAAAGGAGGGAGGUGUAAAGCACCCAAACCGAGCCCUUGCAACCCAUACCCAACCCGUGUAGACCUCGAACCCGACCCUUAUUACCCAUUUUCGGUGUAUUUUCGUCAGUUUUCCGACGAUCCAAAGCACCCAAACACGCGGGAAACACUCUAAGACCUUCUCUCUUUCCAUUACACCUUAAGUUCGAUGGACUUUAGCCUUAAAAAUAGGGAAACCUGCAUGGUGGGUACGGCGGGUUCGUGUGUAAAUUCCUCAAAUCCUUAAAUGUUUUCCUCCGAUUAACACCACCAUUAGACUUCCCUUGAGGCCUAGAACAAAGCCCACACAUUGGUUUGGGGCGUCGGAGUUGUUUUGGAAUUGAAUCAAGAACACCCAAUUCGAGGGUUUCCGGCAGGUUUGAGUGAAAUUAGAGCUUUUCCCAACCAAAUUGGACUUGGCCACAUGUAUAAAGUUUGCUUUACUCUUUGAGAUCUUCAUUUCUGUAUUUGUUUUAGAAUUUUUAGAAAUAGUUGAAUUUUCCAGCGGGUCAGGCGGCUGACCGCCACCCGCGGCGGCGCACAGCCCGGGGAGUCGACAUUGUGUUUUUGUACGAAUUUCGUUAUUCUAAUUAUGUUUUGGCAUUUAAUCUACGUGUUUUGAAUCUUAACACGAAUGUUGUAUAUUUUGGGUUAAUUAAAUAGUUUUGGAAUUAGUUGGAAAUUGGUUUGUGAACUACGAAAGACUUAAUCCCUGUUUAGGUUAUGUAGGUAGUCUAACGAGAAGUUAGAUGCAGCCUUAAAUAAUCAAGAUUAAUCUUAAGUUGAAAUUUGUAUAUGAAGAGUGUUUGUACCAUACUUAGGGCCUCUGUAUUUAGACUUCGUAUAAAUACUCGGGGGACUUAAAUGUAAUUAUGUAAUAAAUGAAAGGGCAAAUAUGUAAUAAGUGAGGAGCCCUUAUUCUAUAAAAGGGACUCCUCACCCUCACAAUAGGGGAAGCUCUGGGAUUUAGAGCAAAGCCUCACUCUUCUAUUCAGAUGCUCUCUUCCUCACAAUCCUCUCACAAAUAGAGAAAUACAAUAUCAGUGUGGACGUAGCCCAAACACUGGGGUGAACCACGAUACAUUUUGUGUUCUUUACUUUCUUGUAGAUUCACGGUCAUUUACGUUGUUCCAAGACCCCUCCACUUUUGUGCAUCAACAUUUGGCAGCGCAGGGAGAUGCGAACACCUGUCCCUGAUCCUCCAUAGCAGAAUUAGCUUGAUUCUUGGGUUUUCUGCGUCUCAUCUUCUUCUUCAAUUCCAAACCCCAAAACCCUGUCAAGCUAAUCUACUGCACCAGCACAAUUCACGAAAUGGAGAAGGCGCUCGCCGAGCUCAAGCUCCUCCAUAAUUACCAGGUCAAGCAUCUGGGUUUGCAAGAUCUUGGCAGCCAGGUUCUCGUCAAGAAAGCACUUGUGUGUUAUUUCGACCGUGUUGGCGACGAUCCGAAGGUGAAAGAAGAUGCAAAGCCUAGAUCCAACGUGAAGGACGAAUCCUAGGCUAUCUGCUCAGAGGCAGAUUAGAAUUCCCGCCUGAUCUCACCAUCGAGACUUGGGCCACCAUAAGGCUCUCGAACGGCUCAAGAUCGAGUAGGCUGGCCUAUCUGUUGCUGGGUCGGCUGAAUCCGACUGAAAUCCAGUGAAAGGUUUCCACUGAGAGCCAUUUGCUAGUGACGACCACACCACUCCUAACGUUGGCCGGUGCGCUAGAAGCUGGACUCGAAAUGCCUCCUUACAAGGAGCAGAAGCUGAACUCGAAGAGCAGAGAGCUGCUGACGUGGGCUCUGGUCAAGGUGAGUCAGCUUGGUGACCGUGUGAUUGCCUUCCAUGUGCUCGUCUAUGAUAGUUUCUGCAACUUGAAGCAGGUGGAUCUCAAGCUCAAAAUCUGCAGAGGAACAUUAAUCAAGAAAAUAUUAGUUCGGGAAGCGAAUUGGUAUACUGCAAGUAAGAGAAUGCUCUCAAGCAAAUUACGGUAACCCCCAAGGAGCAGGAGCAUGACAUAACUGAUGGAGCCCACCGGCUGUUCUCAUGCAAGGAAGGAGCAAUCACAACCAUGUGAAGUCAUUUUCUGAGAAAGCAAAAGCGAAGUAGAAAAGAAAAGAGAAAAUAAGAAACAGAAACAAAAGCGAAAGCAAAGCAUAAAAAACCGAGAAAAAGAAGAAACCAAAAGAGAGGCUUUCCUCUGCGAGAGCACAUGGCGACACUGCAAAAGCAAGGAAUAAACACCCACACUGCAAAAGCAAGGAAUAAACACCCCACCAGAAUGAUGUGAUUUACUUUCCUUAUUUUUGAAUGAUGUAAUUUAUUUUUCGUAUCUUUCGGAGAUAUAUGUAUAACCCCAUCUAGGGGUAAUAAAAAAUAAAAACGGCAAGGCCAAAAUAUAAUGGGCUGGAAUGUUAUAUGGAGGGCGAAUGCCUAUAUGCCCAAAAGAGCCAGACCCUCUAUUAUCACCAACCAGGUGAUCAAAAGUACGUCCAGUACUACAAAAAAUUAUUCGGCAACAUGCCGUUAUUAUCACCAACCAGGUGAUCAAAAGUACGCCCAGUACUCCAAAAUUAUUCGGCAGCCUGCCGCUAUUAUCACCAACCAUAUGAUCAAAAGUACGCCCAGUACUACAAAAAAUUAUUCGGCAGCCUGCCACUAUUAUCACCAACCAGGUGAUCAAAAGUACGCCCAGUACUACAAAAAAUUAUUCGGCAGCCUGCCGCUAUUAUCACCCACUAGGUGAUCAAAAGUACAUCCAAUACUCCAAAAUUAUACAUGAGCAUCACUUAUGUCAAUCAUAUAUAAAUAUUCAUGAGCAUCACUCCUAUCAAUCAUACAUAAACAUUCAUAACCAUUAUUCAUGUCAACAUUCAUGAGCAUCACUCAUGUCAACAUUCAUGAGCAUCACUCAUGUCAACAUCCAUGAGCAUCACUCAUGUCAAUCAACAUAAACAUUCAUGAGCAUCACUCAUGUCAAUUAGCUUCGAAAGUUUCAUUUACAGAGUUCUAGCUUCAAAAGCUCCAGCUUCAAAAGCUUCAUUUACAAAAGCUCCAGCUUCAAAGCCUCACUUGCAAAGCUUCACCUACAAAGCUUCAGUGCAGGGUAUACAAAUACCACAUCCGAACAACCGCCACUUUGGCCCAUACAUGGAUUCAAUUUGAAGUCUCCAGCCAACAGACUCUAUUGGCUGAAGACUUGGGGGACUACAUUAUGUACCAUAUAUUGGGCCUCAACUGUGCCUCAUGAAAAAUACUUAGGGGACUCUAACCCAUUAUUUAUGUAUUGAUGAGCGAGCUUUUAUUCUAUAAAAGGGACUCCAUCACUUUCAUUAGAGAGCACCCAUUAUUUAUGUACUAAGGAGCGAGCCCUUAUUUUAUAAAACGGACUCCCUUACCUUCAUUAGAAAGCAUCGCCGCCAGUUGAGCAACCCCAUCGCCGCGAGCAUCACUCCUAACCCAUUAGUCAUGUACUGAGGAACGAUCCCUUAUUUUAUAAAAGGGACUUUCUCACAUUCAUUAGAGAGCAUCGCAGCCAGCUGAGCAACUGCCUCGCUGCAAUCAUCAACCCUAGCCCAUCACUUAUGUAUUGAGGAGCGAGCCCUUAUUCUAUAAAAGGGACUCCCUCACCUUCAACGCCACAAGCCGAGCCAACCAAGGCAACAUAAGCCACAAACCGAGCAAUCUUGCAACAUGUGAUACUUCUAGUUGAACAUCAUUUUAGAUUAGCAACGUUUCAUAUCGAGUAUCAGUUCUAGACGACAUUUAGUUACUUCGGCACACACAUGGACUGAAUUUCAAGUCUCCAGCCAAAAGACUCUCUUGACUGAAGACUUGGGGGACUACUGUUUGUACCAUACUUAGGGCCUCCAUAUUUAGACCUCGUAUAAAUACUCGGGGGACUCAAAUAUAAUUAUGUAAUAAAUGAAGGAGCAAAAAUGUAAUAAGUGAAGAGCCCUUAUUCUAUAAAAGGGACUCAUCACCCUCACAAUAGGGAAAGCUCUGGGAUUCAGAGCAAAGCCUCACUCUCCUAUUCAGAGGCUCUCUCUCCCUCACAAACAGAGAAAUACAAUAUCAGUGUGGACGCAGCCCCAACAUUGGGGUGAACCACGAUACAUCUUGUGUUCUUUACUUUCUUGCAGAUUCACGGUCGGAUUUACGUUGUUCCAAGACCCCUCCGGUUUUGUGCAUCAACAAAGAGUAAUUGGGUGAUUAAUUUAUAACAUAUAUCUUAUGUUCUUGGUAAAUGAGUUACGUCAUAGAUUUUGUGAGUAACUCAUAAUUCGAAAAUCAAGUAUUAAGUUUUGUUAAGAAGUUGAGUUAAUAGAAGAAAUUUGGAGAUUUAGUGAAAAAUCUAAGCAUAUGCUUUGGCAAUUAAAAUAUGAUUAUGGUUUAUAAGGAAGUAAAGAAAUUAAAUAAAGCAUCAUGAUUGAGAAUUUAGCUAAGUAAAGCGAAGUUUAGUUUGGGCCAUAAAAUUAAACGAGGUUAAAUAGUUGAAAAUUUCAAUUGAGUUGAGAAUUAUUCUUAGACUGGAGAAAAAAAUUAAUCUAAGAGAGGUAAAGGGUAAGGAAUCCAACAUAAAAUUGUUAUGUUUUGAUAAGAGAAUUAAGGUUAUAGAACUUGUGGAAUUAAGGAACUUUAUUAUAUGGCAGUGAAUAUUGGCGGCUAAAUAAACAAGAGUUUUAUUUUGGGCCUAUCAACAAACUUAUUUCCCGAAAAUAAAUAUUUCGGGGCUGUGGUGUUACAGAUAUAAUCGACAAGAAUUGACGUCAGCUAGUCGUUAUUUUUGAAUUUUUUUUUACUGUUUUAUUUAUUUAUUUAUUUUUAUACAUUUCUUUUCCUAUAACUUCUAUUUUUUUCUAUAACUUCCUAUAACUUCUAUUUUACAAAAUUUGUUUUAUAUUUUUUUCCUAUAACUUCCAUUUUACAAAAUUUGUUUCAUAUUUUUUUUAAUUCUAUUUUUUUUCCUAUAACUUCUAUUUUACAAAAUUUGUUUCAUAUAUUUUUUAAAUUCUAUUUUUUCCUAUAACUUCCUAAGCCAUUAUACAACAUUAAAUUAAAUUAAGUAACAUUAAACAAUAUGAAACAACAUUAAAUAACAUUAACCAACAUAAAAAUUAACCAACAAAAAACUUAAAAGCCUACUCCAUGCUAUUUUUUGCCCAAAGAUAUGCAACAAGAUCCUGUUGUAGGUAUGGUACUUGUUUGUGGCACGGGAACAUAUCAUUCUAUAGCGUUUCAUGUACUUAUUUAUAGAGAUACUACCAGUUCUUGGAAUGAAAAGCAAAUUAUGUCCAUCAUAUAUUUUUGCACAAGCCCUUCUUGACCUAUUUGGAUCUUCUUGGUUAUCAUCGGACUCUCCAUCAAUAUUCCCAUCUCGCUCAUCCUCCACUAUCAUAUUAUGUAAUAUGAUGCAAGACAUCAUGAUGGAGUCCAAAUUUUCUCGACUCCACCCUCUUGCCAGUUCUCUGAUGAUCUUCUACCGUGCUUGUAGAAUACUAGAAGCUUCUCAACAUCUUGCCGGUAUGCCUCUUGGUGUAAGGUAAACAAAUUUUUCGCGUCAUUCCUAGGGUUUGGAAUUGCUUGGACAAGUGUCACCCACUUUGGGUAGAUACCAUCUGCCAAGUAAUACCCCAUAUUGUAUUGACGACCGUUGAUGUAAUAGUCAAGUUGAGGUGCUUUACCUUUCGUCAGGUGAUUGAAGAGGGGUGAACGCCCAAGAACUGUAAUGUCAUUUUGGGAUACAGGGACCUCAAAGAAAGCAUGCCAGAUCCAUGUGUCAUAUGAGGCAACAGCCUCUAGCACAACAGUUGGUUUUCUCGACUUUCCGUAUAAGCCUCAUUUCCAUCCAGUGGGACAGUUCUUCCAAUCCUAAUGCAUGCAGUCUAAUGACCUUAUCAUGCCCGGAAACCCACGGUAUUCAGCUUUGCGAAUAAGCCGAUUCAAAUCUUCUUAAUUUGGCUCGUUGAGGUACUCAUCUUUGUAAACCUGAACAAUUGUGUCACAGAAUUGUUCAAGAGUAUCAAGGCAUGUAGACUCACACAUACCAUGGGUUUCAUCCAUCGAAUCAACUAGGGAGCCAUAGGCCAUCAUUCAUAGUGCAAUAGUAACCUUUUGAUGAGGUGAAAAACCAUGGCGGCCUGCUCUGUCCCGUUUCUGUUGAAAGUAUGGAUUGACCUGUUGGACAUCAUGAAGUAAACGCUCGAAGACAUAACGUCUCAUCCGGAAGUGACGUCUGAAAUCCUAUUCAGUGUAUACCGAGUUGGGGUAAGUAGUUGUUCAUCAGAUUGGCAUGCGUCAUUGCUCUGUUUCGUGGUUUGUAAGAGCAACCAGCAACAGAGCCACCCCAAUGAGGUUGUUCCUUAGUUGGCUGACACACUAUGGCCGCAGCCAUGGCUACUGCUCUGUUUUGUUUGUUACGCCUUACUUGAACUUCUUCAUCAGACUCCUUAUAUUCUCGUCUCAUUUGUGCCCAUUUUUCUUCCAAUUUGGAAUUGGAUGAGGACCCCCAGUUGGAAUCCGAAUAGGAUCCAAAGUUGGAAUUCAUUGCAAACUUGAAUUGAAAGAGAUUGAAUUGAAAAAGAUUGAAUUGAACUAGAUUGAAUUCAAAGUUGUGUGAAUUAUAGCCCAAUAUCCACCAUAUUUCUAGCAAAAAAAAUUCAAAUCCAACGGCUAGCUGACGUCACUUAGCCGUUGGAUUUGAAUUUAAGUUGUAGUUUUUAAAUAAUAAAUUAUUUUUGGUCCUAUGGCCCUUUCGUCCUCGGUUGGAGACGGUUUUUUGUGACAGGGUUAAAACGAGCCUAAGGUCAUCUCCAACCAAAGGUGGGCCAAAAUGCUUGUUUUAGUCCUCCGGCCUUCCAAGAAAUUAAUAAUUUAAUAAACAGUGCAGGACUAUAUUUCUUAUUAUCUCCAACCGAGGGGCUAAAGGGCCAUAGGCCAAACAUAGCCCUGUGAAAAAAAAAUCAUCUCCAACCGAGGGUCAAAGGGCCAUACAUAAUUUAUUAUUUUAAUUGAAUUACUAUGGUUACUUAAAUUAAAUUACCUCAAUAAUUUUAUGUUAUGGAUUGUCAAUAAUUUUCAUGUUGUUAAAUGUUUUUAAAAAUGUUGUUUAAGUUUUAUGUUGUUAAUUUUUUUUAUGUUGUUUAAUGUUAUUGAAUGUUGUUUAAUAUUAUUUAAUGUUGUUUCAUGGUACUUAAUGUUAUUUAAUGUUGUUUAAUAUUGUUUCAUGUUACUUAAUGUUAUUUAAUGUUGUUUAAUGACUUAAGAAGUUAUAAGGAAAAAAAAAUUUGUAAAAAAAAUAAAAAAAAAUAAAAUAUGACUUUAGCAUGUGGCCCCGCUGGCUGAGUUAGGCCAGCCGGUUGGCCCUUUGAUCAUUUUUUGUCCAGUGGGACUUACGAGCCAUUUGGCCUGGCCCUUGGUUGGAGACAAUUUUCGGGCUAUUUUCGAUCUUUGACCCUCUGAACUCUUCAGUUGGAGAUGGUCCAAACUUCUAAUUUCUCCGAUGGUAAGAAACAAAAAGUAUCGGGUCAGCUGUAACAUUGGUAGGUGGCUGGGUGUACAGUGGGUACAAGAAGUCAUGCAUGGCUUGGCUGUGCUUGAUAUGUUAAUGACCAUCGAAUCGUGACCUACCACCAACCUACUAAUUUCUUCCUGAAAGAUGCUCUGUGAGCUCCGUGCACUCUCUCAGACUGAAAGAGAUGGGAGGGAGAGAGAGAGAGAGGAAUACGAACACCUUCAAUUUAACUUUUAUUUAACUUAUUAGGUAAAAUGUACGAGUAUGGAGACCUAGCUAGUAGAGAAGAAUUCUCAAAGCUACAAUAACAGUUUUACAAUUGAAGACGAUUAGAUUCUUAUUUGAAUGAGCGGUUCAAAUUUGUAGUACCGCUACAUAUACCCGAAUCAUUUCCAGUCAUUUAAUGGUCAAGGACGGAGUUAGGAUUUUUUUCUUGGGUCGGCUAGUUGAAGAUAGUACCAUAAAAUCAUGUGUUUAUUUUUUUGCUUAUAUAAAAUAUAUAAUAAUCAAUAUAAAAGAAUAACAAUAUAAUAUAAACUAUUCUCAAAAUCAUAACCCUAACCGAUAAAUUCAAGGACCAUAUAAAUAAUUAACCUACUAAUUAAAUUAAGAAUAAGUAAAUAAAGAGAUUAAGAACGUACCAAAUGUUACAUUCAUUGAAAAAUUGCAACGGAAAGUCAGGAAUUGCGGAGAUAGGGAUUUAAUUGUGCAUUUAAAGAACUUAUUAAUCUUUUAUUGGGUAAGAAGCAAAGAGGCUAAAUUACAUAGGGUAAAUCAUCUUUUUCUUUAAAGAAUAGAAUAAAGGGGGACUGGAGAUAGAACUAUGUUAUAAUUUUUGCAUAAAACUAUUAUUUACUACGUCUUCUCUACUAAAUAUACAUUAAAUAAUAAUAUGUAUUGAAAUUGAGUAGGCUAUAAGCAUGAGUUUACAAAAGAAUAGAUCUGUUCACAAACCCAUUUUUACUUCCAACACAGCCUUAUUAAUAUUUUGUCAGUAAUCAUUUUCAAUUCAUUCGAUCUGAACAACCAACAAUUAAGAGAGGUGUGUAAGAAAUAAAAAUGAGUGCAUGGAUAACACUACCCUUACAAAAAACCUCCCUGAGCUACAACCUACCUUAGCCUUGUGGGUGGCUACGCCAUUGUUAAUGGUUAAUUACUCUUGCAUUAUUGAACGGGCUGAGUUUCAUGCUUUUAUUCUCUUCUAAGACAGUGAGACAUACUAGCUAGGAGGCUCAAGAAUAACACAAAAAAGUGAAAAGGUUAAGUCAGAAAAAUAGACCAAACUUUGUCCCUACGGGAAACAAAAAGAUGAUGCAUAUAUAUCUGAUAUCCUCAUAUCCUUCUGCAGAAAAAGGGAAAAGUUUUAGACCGAGAUAAGAACUCCAACGCAAGAGAUCAAAUUCUCUACUUUUUCUUUAGCUUCAAAGGAUCUGCAUGCUUUUCACGCGCAUGCAUGCAGCAAUGUCGUCUCCAAGAAUUUCCUAGGCAUGCUUUAUCCACCUGGUUUGUGAUUUACCCUUCACUUCCUUUCAAAAGAAAAGCCAGACCAAGACAAUCUCGCUGCUUAAAGGCGAUUUUAUUAGCUAGCUAGCUUAUCCUAAGAUUCUUUUUUAAGGGUUUCGUCGUGAUACGGAAUGUUUGUUCUGUUUUAAUAUUAACUUGCGAUUAAGGGCAGGCUAUCAUCUUCCGCAGUACCCUAAGAACUACGACUGGAAAAUUGGAAAUAUCUGUUGGGUCGGCAUCCUCAUAGAUUAGUCGGCAUUGGCGGCAAAAUCUUUGUCUGUAGGCGGUGGGAUACGGUACUCUUUUGAAGUCAGUGCUUUGGUGGACUUCUGUUUUGGCACGGAAAAUUGUUCAAACAGUUUAAUAUUGAAAAUCUUAGAUAUCUGUCACCACUGAAAAAGUUCAAUCACGACAUUUUUUCUGGAUUUCGUAUGACAAUAUUGAUCUGAGUGGUUUUAGAUCGCACACAUUAAUUGUAUGUUUGAUACCGACGAGCAUUUUUGUUUUGGGAAUUUGACAAAGUCAGAUUGUCCAAGUGCGCCAUUUCAAACCAUUGAAUGCGAGUUUCAGAAUCUCUGGUACAAAAAAAAAUCAACUAUUUAUCAUCAACAGUAGUUCACAUGAACUAAUUUCAUGACAUUGAAAAAUCGUGAAUGUUGUGGUGAUCAACGAUGAAAAAAAUGCAAAUCACAAAUAAAAUUACUAAUUCAAUGUGUGUUCAAUGUAGACAUAGAUGUAGCCACAUUAACUAGAGCAUAUAUGCCCCUUUAUGCACCCGAGUUUCAAUCACAUAAACUCAAGCAAUACUAUUUGCUUAAUAUUAAUAUGCACAUUAAGCUGAAUUAAUUAAGAUCAUUCAUAACUUAUUCAGGCAAAACCACUUUGUUUAGAGCAAAUGUGCUUCGUAUACACCGGACUUUGAAUUCUCUCAUCGAAGUUUAGAUUAGUUAAAAGUACAAUAUCGUGUUCAUCAAAGAAAAAACAUUCAAUAUGUAUUUUGGUACAAAAUAUGUAUUACUUGGGCCAUAAAGACUCCUUUUAUUCAAUCCAAUGUGCAAUAUCAAGCUUACAACCCAAUCCAGAAAAAACCAACCCAACCUAAAGUCCAGUCCAAUAGAAUUCAGCCCAAGCCCAUUUCAAAAUGAACACCUACCCAUUUCUCAACUGGGGUUUUUGAACUUGUGAUCUUCUUCAUUAACCAGCUUAAACCCUAACCCCUCCAAACCGGCCACCAUGUCGCUCCUCCGUCGAAUCCCCCAUAAACCCCAAAAUUCCCGAUCUGUCCUCACCUACGCCACCCGUUUCUUCUCGACCCAAAACCCUACCCUCACCCCUUUCCCUGACGUCCCCACCACCGCCUACUACGACAACCUGGUCAUCGCCGCUGGCCACUCCAGAGACUUCGACAACCUCCACUACCUCCUCAACAAGCGCGUCAAGGACCACUGCUUCAACACCACCAACACCUUCAGGUUCCUCACCAACACGGACUCCUCCCUCUCCGUACUCGACGACCUCACCAAAACCCUAGCGCGUCUCGACCGGGGGUUCACCCGCAAGAGCGCGUACGACUCGCUCAUCGCGCGUCUCUGUAAGAUCGAGAGGGUCGAUGAGGCGCUGCGCGUGGUGGAUUUUAUGGCGCGUGGCGACUACGGCCUCAACGCCUGCACCUUUCACCCGAUCCUCAACGUGGUUACCCGGAAGAAGAGAAUGGACGACGCGUGGGGCGUGGUGGAUCUGAUGAGGAGAGUCGGAGCCCCGCCGGAUGUCCCGGCGUUUAAUUAUCUGCUGAUGGCGUACUGUUUCUCCGGAGAUUUGGAAGCGACAGCCGGAGUGCUGACGAGAAUGGAAGCAGAGGGGAUGAGGGCGGACACGCGCACGUACGACGCGCUGGUUCUUGGCGCGUGUAAGGCAGGGAAGGUGGAGGGGGCUCUGGUGCUGAUAAGGAGGAUGGUGGACGAUGAGGUGCCGGCGCUGCUGUCGACACACGUGUACGUCAUUGAUUCGCUGCUGGGAAAGGGGUUUUACUCGCAGGCGGUAAAGUUUGUGAGGAGUUUUAGCGGGAGGGACACGUGGCUGGACACGGAGAGUUUUGGGAGCUUGGCCAAGAAGCUGAUUAAGUUGAGGAGGCUUAAGGAGGCUAAACUGGUUUUUGAGGAAAUGAAUGCGAGGGGUUUAGUGAUUGGUGAUAAAUUGAAGGAUUCUUAUGAGAAGAUUAAGAAUUAUGAUUAAAAUUUGAUUGGGUUAUCCAUACCAUUUUGGGUCCACCACUUAUUGAGUAGUUAUCCCUUUGAUUCUUUGGUUGUAUAUAAAUUACUUGAAAUAUUGAAAGGUAGUUUGAAGUGCUUAAAUAAUAAACCAGAUUACGUAUCUUGUUUUAACGUGUUUGUGUCGUAUUAUUUUCUUGUCGUGUGAGAUUAUAAAUAACUCAAUGGCUCAUCCGCUUAUCGUUUCCAGAUAUAAAAAACUCAAACUCAUUCGCAAAAUCUUAACUGUAUUCUACCGAUAUCUCUAAGUAUUUUGUCAAUUGAAAAAGAGUAAAUUGUAGCAAUGGUCCAUUAACUUUAAUCAAAUUGAAAAAUAGUAUUUUGUCUAUUAUCAUUAGUCCAUCAACUCAUCAAAAUGUGUAGCUACGAUCAUUUUCGUCAACUUCGUCAGAAUUUUAUCAAAAUAAGUUAUUUUGGAAGGACCAUUGCUACAAUUAGGAUCUCUCAACUCAUCAAAACGUGUAGCUAUGGUCAUUUUCAUCAACUUCAUCAUAAUUUUGUCAAAAUAAUUAUGUUAGAAUGAUCAUUGCUACAAUUGGGUCAAAUGUAAGGGACCAUUGCUCAAAUUGGGUUAAAGUUGGGGACCAAUGGUAAUGAAUUUUUUGUUGAAGGAUCAUAGCUGCACAUUUUGAUGAGUUAAGAGACCAAUGGUAAUGAAUUUUUAGUUGAGGGACCAUUACUCAAACUGAGUUAAAGUUAAAAAAUCAUUAUUACAAUUUACUCAUUGAAAAAUAUAUAGCAUUAACAAUAAAUAUAACAUUAAUAAAAAACACUAAUUAGACAUGUUAUCGUUAAUUUUCGUGCUUUGUUCAUAUCGUGUUAUCAUGUGUAUUUGUUUUUUUUAUUUUUUCCAAAUCGUGUAUUAUUUUGGAAGGGUAAAUGUGGUAAGUGCAUUUGUAAAUAGGUUUUGUUUGCCAAAUUUCUCAUCAUUAUUCUUAAUUAAUUUUCACAAGCACUUAAAGAGGUUUUAGUAGUCCGGCCAACGCCAAUAGGGCAGCUGACGUCAGUGCCGGCGGAUUGCACGCCCAGAUUCCCAUGUGCUUCUCACUCCGAUCUUUUCCUUCAUCUGUCGAUCAUUAGUCAUUACCCUCACCGACAACUCCCACUCCCAAUCUCUCUCUCGACCACCUCGGCACCCAAACCCGUAUCUGUCCAUGGACCGCCCGACCCGUACCCACGCCCCGGCAGGCCGCGACGAUUGUUGGAGUGAGGACGCCACGUUGGCACUAACAACGGCCUGGGGCGACCGCUACCUCCAUUUAAACCGCGGCAUCCUCCGUCAGAAAGACUGGAAGGAGGUGGCCGACGCCGUUAACUCCCAUCAGAACGGCGGCGCCAAGCCGUUCAAGACGGACGUCCAGUGCAAGAACCGCAUCGACACGUUGAAGAAAAAGUACAAGCUGGAAAAGUCGAAGCCCGGCCCGUCCACGUGGCCCUUCUACCGCCGCCUCCACUCCAUAAUCUGCUCAACCCCCUCAAACACCGCCGGUGCGACCAAACCAAACCCCCCAAUCCUCGCUCUCACUGCCAAAUCCCCCGACCCGAAUACGAAUCCCCUCGGAGGGUCCACCGACAGCUCAAUUCGCCGCGACGACGGCGGUGAUGAGGCGGCGGUGUUUUCGGGUGGGGCGGCGUGCAGGGAAUUGGCUAGGGCAAUUUCGAAGUUUGGGGAAAUGUACGAGAGGAUUGAGAAUUCGAAGCGGAAGCAGAUGAUGGAGCUGGAGAAACAGAGGAUGGAGUUCGAGAAGGAGCUCGCGUUGCAGAGGUUGAAUAUGUUCAUGGAUGUUCAGGUGGAGCUGGGGAAGAAGAUGAAGCGCCCCAAGUACUCGCAUUCUUCAGGUGCCGCCAUUGUUCAGAACUUCAACUUCAAUUUGAAUUUGUUUAUGGGUUUUAUUUGAUCAUUAAGAGUUAUUGCAAUGUGAUCGAUUUCAGGGUCGGUUGAUUAUUAAUUUUUUUUUUUUGGACACAUGAUGGUGUUAGUCGGUUAAAUUGUUAGUUGUUAGAGAGAGGUAAAUUGGCGAAGAUCAAAUUUGCACUAGGGUGGAUAACCAUUUCGUUUUUCUGUUUCUUCUAUUUGUGUUCUUAUGACAUUUUGUGUUUCAAUAGGGAAGAAAUCAUAGAAGUUUUAAAUGCACGACGCAUGAGAAGGAUUUGCAUGUAACUGAGACGUCAAGGCGACGGUGUCUCAUUCUAAUUACAUUAUUGUAACUGAAUAGUUGUUUUGCUUCGUAAUUAUUGUACAUUAUGUUUCCGAUAUCUGUAGUGUAAUAUUGUGUGUCAAUAAUCACAUAAUUCCUACUUCCCAAUUGUUCAUUUUUAUGAGAAAUUAAGUCCACACAUUUCAAAUUACCAACAAAGAGAGAGAGAGAGAGAGAGCACGAAUUCAGAGUAUAUAUGACGAAUAGCUAAAAUCACUAGUUUGUCCAUGCUGGCUGAUCAAUUCAGAUGCGUUCUGGCUGAAAUUGUUACCGUUUAAUCCACUCCAAGCCGGAAAUCCAGAGAAAGUACCCUCAUCUAACAUGGGACAACAAGAACAUGACGACGACGAUGAGGGCGAAUUCUUCGGAGCAUAGCAAACGAGACGAGCUCGAGCAAUGGCCAGAUCAUGCUGUAACUGAAUCAUCUUCCUUUCCAACAUAGAUAUGGCGCCAAUGCAGCCGUAAACAGGGUCUCUCAGCCUUGCUUCGGCCUCAUAAGCCAGCGAAUUCACCGUGUCCGCGCGCUGAUCCUCGGGGACUUCGGUUAGGAUCUUGCUCACAUUGCUUGCUCCGAACACUUUGUGAACUUGGGCGAAUUUUUUGGGCUCGUCGGAGCGGAAAUAGGGUGCGAAAAUGCAGGUGGGAGUGCAUCUUCUCUUGAGUGACUUGCAAGCUGCGCAAGAUGAGCUUGAACGGGGUUCAUGACUUCCCUUCAUGGCUAAUUAGAAAAUAAAAUUUAAUUUCUCUAAUGAGUAAUUUCCUUUCCAUCACAUGCAUAUAUAUAUAGCCUUGUGCAUAUAUAACAAAAUUUGAAAUGGUUAUUGCGGUUAUGGAAUGAUCAAUUAAAAGUACUGUCAUGUUAUUGAUACAUUUUCGACAAUAUCAAUGUGUGUUCGUGCUUUAUAAAAAAAAACAUCGUGCACAAAGAAUGUUUGUUUUUAUGAUAUUCAAAAUCCAAAUCAUGCUUUAGUUGGAUUGAGUGUCAUGCAAGUUGCAAGUUUCUAAAUUUACCUUUUACAUUUUUUUUUGGCUAAAAGUUUACCAUUUCAGGGUUAGGAUAUACCAUAAGUCUUUUUAAGAACUUACAAAUUAAGUCUUAAUCUUUUUUUUUUUUUUUUAAAAACUAAUGAAAAUGGCUUGAAAACUUUGAGUUUUAACGAUAAGGACAAAAUAAAAGGUAAAGUGAAUAGUACCAUAAUUGAUUUUUUAGUGUAAAAAUAUGGUUUUUCGUUAAAGUGAACAAUACCGGAAACUUUUUGUUAAAAUUCCAUAUUUUUUUUUGUUUUGACAGAUCGCCUACCAAGAGGUAUUGUCAACAGUGAAAUUCGAAUCUAGGCAUUGAUUUAACCAAAAAAAAAUCAUUACCAACUCAAUCAAACCCGUUGACUAUUUACCUUUUACAUUUUCAUGAUUCAACAUUUAUUCAUUUUUUAAAUCAAAUUAUGUAUUUUAACUUUUAGAAAAAGAAAAAAAAACCCUACAAAAAGUUGCUCAGUUUCCCUUUUGUGUACCGUUUUAGGUUCCACCCGCAUUUCGUCACUCUUUCUCGGAUAUUUUUGACCAAGUGAGGAAUAUAAUGUCACUUCAAACGUUGUGGUGGUCGAGUAAGAGUGGAAAUGCAAUAAAAACGACAACAAUAGUCCAUAGUGCUACUCCCUUCAAGAACCCACUCCCACAUGAUGCAUGUCGUUUUCCCAAACACACACAAAGACAACUGCACGAUGGAAUGUGUCUUCACGCGUUAAUUUUGGUUCUAAACUCAACCCAACUAUUGCUCAACACGCUCGCGAAUGACGCGUGGGGCCAAAUGUGCAUAGAGAAAGGAAUAUGGACCGACCCAAAAUUGAAUGAUUGGGAUGGGAGAGAUUUUGUAUUUUGAAACACAUCAAGGGUUCCACUUUGAAAAGAAAGAGAGAUUCCUCUUUGAGUUUGAGGAACAUAGAAUUGUGUUAAGUCACGUCCGCAGAUGCCUACACACACUAUGAACAAAUUUCAUUUUUAUUUUUUUAUUGUGAUGUGUGAUUAGUUUUUAAAAUUCUAAAAAAAAAAAAAAUAUCUGUUAUGAAAGUUGGGACAGUGAUGAGCCGUUGUUUUUUAAAUUUUAAAACUAGCAUAUGGGCACACAUAAAAUGUGUAAGAAAUUUUUUUAUUUUUGUUUUUGAAAUAGAAAGAGAGAGGAAGGGAGUGAUAGAUAAUGUGCGAGUGAUAGAUAAUGUGGAAGUGAGAAGUUUUUUUUUUAAUUUUUAUUUUUUAAUUAGAGAUAUGUUAGGAUUACAUGUAGGUGAUAUUUUGAAAAAAAAAACAAAAACAAAAUUUGGUUGUGUGAAAUUACAUUUCUGCCUCAUAUUUCUUAUUCAUAUUCUGUUUUAAUUAGAUAGUUAAAUUGGUAAUUUCAUAUGGUUUUGGUUGAUAAUGAGUGUUUUAUUAAUUAGUGGAGAUAGGGGAUGCUAUACUACUUGCAGCAGCGGAGCCACUAAAGGACAAGGGUAGUCAUGGGCCUAUCCUGCAAUUUUUUUUCCCUUUUCUAUGUAUAAAAUAUAACAUAACCUCAUUUAUUUCUGGUAAGUUUAGUUGCAAUCUUGAAAUUCAUGGAUUUGAGAUUCUCUUAUUCUAGUUAUAAUGAUGUAGCUUCUUCAACUUGUUAAUUACUUCACGUUCAUCUUUGGACGGAGGAGAUUAAUUUAGGUCAAAGUUUUUUACCGCGGUAAUUGAAUCUAAUUGUCAGGAUUUAUCACUUACUCUAAGAAUGUUGGCUGAUAUUUUUCUUUGUUGGCUUGAACUUCUAGUCCAUCUGCUCUUACAUAUUAGUUGGAUUAUGUGACUAUAUGGUUGAUGCGGUAUGAUAUUUUUCUGAGUUGAGAUAAAUAAAUCGAAAUACAACCAAUCUAUCUCGUAUUUUAGCCAUUAAAAAAUAAAGUUUCAUAUUUGUGAAAGGCCCCCCGUGAUGUAAGAUAUUGGCUCCACCACUGACUACUUGCCUGUGAGGUUGCUGUUAAAAACAAAUUUAUGUUUACAUAAUUACUAAAUUGUCUAUAUUUUUUAUUUUUGUUCAACUUUAGUGAGAAGGUUAAAAUAGUAGUUUCGGGGAAUUUUGACUGACAACCAUAUUCUAUUAAAAAGUAGUGUAGAUAAUAAAUGAGCGAGGGAGGGAGUUUGAGUAAGUGGGCUUCUGAGAAGGGAGACUACCACGGCAGGCCCAAUAAUGUGUAGGCUGCACGACGACUUGGACGUUAACUUAGCAGUACUAAAACACUUAUGCAGUUGCACCAUAUGAUGUUAAGAAAUACGAUUAUUAUUACAUUACUAGUAACUAAAAGAUAAUAAAAUAUGAGUGGUGUUAUUUACACAUCUAUUUUUUUCACUUCUCACAUAUUUUUUUUAAUUUUCGAUCAUUGAAUCGAUAUAUUAAAGAAGAUCAAUUGAUAAAAAUAAAUAAAGGUGUAUUGAAAAUAAGUAAAACUAAUGAAAAUGGCUUGAAAACUUUGAGUUUUAACGAAAAAUACAAAAUAAAGGGUAAAAUGAAUAGUAUUAUGUUUGACUUUUUAGUGUAAAAAUAUGAUUUUUCGUUAAAGUGAAUAGUACCGCGAGUUUUUCGUUAAAACUCUCUUGAAAAUAAGAUGGGGUUUCAUUCUUUUGUUGUUUAGCAAGAAAGGCAGUGGAUUUAUAGUCUAACUGUAUUAUUAUUAUUAUUAUUAAUUAUGGGGAUGACCGGUACUAUGUACAAGAAGUCGACUAAAAGCACAUAAUCCAAACAAAAAGGUUGAUUCAGUGGGUAGCCAACAGCCAAGUCAAACAAGCUCUCACACAAAGAAAUCUAUCUAAACCAAAAAUAUUAAAACUAUUUCCAGUUUAAUGAUAAUUCUCUUUUGUUUUUAUUAGCCCAUUACUUCGAAAUAUUUGUCAUUUAUUUAUUAUAAAAAUUACCAUUUGAAAAUUCGUUCUCUCUAUCUUCAUUUAAAUAUCAUAUUUGUAAAAAAAUCAUUCAAUCUAAUAAUCGUUUAGUCAUCCAUACGUGUUAAACCAAUCAACAGUUUUGAUAACAAGUAGCAUCCUUGUGAUGAACCGUCCAUUAGUUGUAUGCAUAUUGAUGACUAAAAGAUAUACAAAUUGAAUAAUUUUUUCAAAAUAUGAUACUUAAAUGAUAAUAAAGAGAAUUAAUGUUCUGAUUAUGAUAUUCGGAUGGUAAUAGUUCGUCAAUUAUAAGUGGGGAUAAGUAUGUUCCCUAUCGGAGGGACGCAAAUAUUAUCCUACUAUUGUUGACCUUCAUUACCAUGGAUUUUCUUUAUCAAAAAAUAUAUAUACAAAAAAAAUAAAAAAUUGCCACCAUCUUCUUCAUCAUAUAUACUAACAACAUUCGUGUAAUGAAUCAGAUGAAAACAGAACGACUUAACUCCAAAGGAUGGUAGACUUGGUUCAUAGUGUAAUAAAUAUAAAUCUUGAUGGCAGACUUUGUUUAGGCCUAGACCAACGUGUGAAACUUAUGGGCAAAGCACGGUCCCAUCACCAAUAUCAAUGAUAUUAUCUCAACUUAAUCACCUAUCAUUAGGUCUUAGGUUUUGUCACAAAAGACUUCAGUAAUAUUAAGGGUAAAAACACUCAUAUUAAUUGUAUACUAUUUUUUCAUAUUACCGAUGUUGGAUCCUAUUCUCAAACACAGUAAACAAUGAACAAUCUAGUGUUUUUUGUUUGAGAGUAAGUAUUGACCAUUGCUUGAAACUUAGAGGUAAUUAAGUGCGUACGAAUACGAUGGAGGAGCAAACAAACUGCAAAAAUAAGAGAAAAGUGGAGAUAUUAUAAAUUCUACAUAUAAAAUCGACCCGAGCUAUGCAUUUAUGUAAAAUAGUCACGAUAUAUGCACUUUUAUUUUCUCUUUCAUACGUUCAUAAAAUGUGUAUUUUUUACUGCAUUUAGAGUGUCAAUGACAACUCCCUAUUAUUAAGAUGAAUAAGUUCAUCUACCACCGUACUAUUUCAUGAUAUUAACAGUUAUUAAGAAAUUAAGGAUAACUAAUAGGGUUUAGGGUUUUUAUGUUAGGUUUUCUAACUCUCUACUCAAUUAACUAAGCUGAAUUUAACUUAAGAGUUUUUCUUUUGUGCAAUAUAACAAUACAUGAGAUUUUAACCUAUAUCCUAGUGUAUGUGUACAUAAACUUUUGUUCAACUCUUUGACAAUAUGAAAAACCAAAAACUUUACCCUCCUUUAUCUAAGGGAUGGAAAGGCAGAGACCUUUAGUGUUCCUUCAGUCAAGAAUUUGGGCCUCAGAAUCACUAACCAAUACGUAUUACUUAUCUUCAGAACAAUAACGCGAGAUUAAUUGAAACCACAACCAGUGAUGGAAUUGCGAAACUUAACCAACUCAGUUGAGAGCUCCGUGACCCGGAGUGAAUUCUAGGGAAGGGCAGAACCUCGCCAUGCUGUAGGAAGGUGGCUAUAGUGUUUCCUUUUCAAUCAUCUUUCUCGUUUUUUUUUUUUUUUUUGUUCACCUAACUUUUUCUUUUCUUUCUUAUAUUUUUCCCUCUUAAAUUUGACCUCCAAAACCACAAGUCACAUCCUUUGUGCUUUUCAACUGUGGGCAAAAUCUUUUCAUGUGAUAUAUGCAAAUUUGUAAUUAAUAGGCACGUAAUUUGCAUACGUCGUAAGUUGUAAUAUGUGUAACUACAUGUGUCUGUCUUUAGUUAUAUUUAGACAGUUUUAUAAAAGAAAUAGAUAAAAAAAAAAAUCUUUACGUUCUUUCUCUAAUAUUGUAUUGAGGUCGAAGUAUUACCAACUGCAAUCGAAAUAUCAACAAUGUCAUUAAUGCUAAUGAAUAUAUUCACACUUUUAAAUAUUGUAGUUAAAUAAAUAUAAUAAGAAACGACUAUAAAACUUUUGUAGUUGAACAACCGUAGUUAAAAUACAUAUACAAAGGCGGAGCUAGAAUUUUUCAAAGCGAUUAUGUCACAUCCCCGCCUGGGAGGGACCACUUCCCGGGCUUGCUCCAUCACCGUAGCACAAUAUUGUCCGCUUUGGACUUACCAUUCCCUCACGGUUUUGUUUUUGGGAACUCACGAACAACUUCCCAGUGGGUCACCCAUCCUGGAAGUGCUCUGGCCUCCUUCUCGCUUAACUUCGGAGAUCCUACGGAACCCGAAGCCAGUGAGCUUCCAAAAAGCCUAGUGCUAGGUAGGGAUGUGAAUAUACAUUUAAGGAUCACUCCCCUGAGCGAUGUGAGAUGUUACAAUCCACUCUCCUUAGGGGCCCGACGUCCUCGUCGGCACACUUCUGGCCAGGGAUUGGCUCUGAUACCAUUUGUCACAUCUCGGCCCGGGAGAGACCACUUCCCGGGCUUGCUUCAUCACCGUAGCACAAUAUUGUCCGUUUUUGGCUUAUCAUUCCCUCACGGUUUUGUUUUUGGAAACUCACGAGCAACUUCCCAGUGGGUCACCCAUCCUGGGAGUGCUCUGGCCUCUUUCUCGCUUAACUUCGGAGUUCCUACGGAAUCCGAAGCCAGUGAGCUCCCAAAAGGUCUCGUGCUAGGUAGAGAUGUGAAUAUACAUUUAAGGAUCACUCCCCUUGACGAUGUGAGAUGUUACAGAUUAGGCUAAUAUUACUCGAGCAAAAAAGAAGGGAAAAUGAAAAGCGAAGACAACCAAUCAUUUGAUCAAAAACCACCUUUGGAGCCUAAGCACAACUCCUCCAUUACAUGUAGACACACUCUAAUAAAACCAAAUUCUACCGUUAUUAGUAAGGUCAUCUGUAUUACAGAGUGAGUCAACUCUACGUGUUCAAAGAGCAUUACUCAAUAAAUAAUUAUAGCACUAGUAGUCAGAUCAAAUUUUCUUCCCAAAAGUCUAUAUUUUUUGUAUGUGCGCGCCAAACACUCAACGUUUCCUAAUAAGAUAUUCCAUAUAUGGACAUGAGAAACCUGCAACUUGCAGGUGCAAGGUAUUGUAGUAGGCCACCGAAUUCAAGUUUGAAAUGGCUUCAAUAUCCAUUCAACGUAUCCAAACCAUUUUUUAAUGCAAAUUUGGCGGGGGAAAUAUAAAAAAGAAGUGGAAAGCGAUCCUCUCUCCGGAUCCCUUCUGCCAAAUCCACUAAUACCACAAAUCCGGACCUUUGAAAUUUGAUCAAACGGCUACAAACAGGAGUAUUCUUUAAAAGUUAUAAUAACUUUAUCCGUUGGAUCAAAUUUCAAAGAUCCGGAUUUAUGACCUUGGUAGACUUGGUGGAAGCGAUUGGGAGAGGAUCCCUUUCCAAAAGAAGUAACCCUAGGAGGCCGACGUGCCUCCAAGUGGCAGCAACCCAUCAGUCCCUCCCUCACCCCUUCUGUCCUUCACUUGCCAUCACCUUUUCUUUUGUCCUCUAAUGUCAACUUUCCAAACAGAAACAGUCAAGAGUCCAUGCAAUUACAUUAUUCGUUUCUUUCUUUACCCAUCACUUUAAUUUUUAACACAAGAAAUUGAGAAUAAUAUGUUGAUUUUUUGUUUUUUUGUUUCGAGAAAUUAGAAACGUUCUUCUUGUCAAGAUUUCAACGAAAAGGGUAUCGAAAGAGUUUCGUUUGCUCUCUCUGGUCUGAACUUGAAUCCUAAACCCUAAACUGCAAAGGCAGAACCGAGCAUUUUCGCUCGUUGAUCCAUUUUCGAACGUCAAUCGCAGAAAAUUUUGGUACGAGAAUUGGCAUAAGCAUAGUGACAUAUGAAAUGGAAGCAGCUCUUGUUCCUCCUCUAAUGGUUUCCACAGGAUUUUUGCCAACUGGGUCGUUGUUACAGUCGUUGGUUCACAUAUGCAACGAAGUUUGCUCCAUGGAAAAGCUUCCGGUUCUACAGGGCCGGAACAUCUCCACCAUGAUAAGGAGGAUCAAGCUUCUCGCUUCUCUGUUCGAAGAGAUACAAGAGUCCGACGGGCCGCUUCCUCCCUCUUCAAUCCUAUGCCUCACGGAGCUUUUCUCCGUGAUUCGAAGAGCCAAGUUUCUGAUCCAAGAUUGUAAAGACGGGAGCUCUCUGUGGGGGCUUAUGCAGACGGAGUUGGUUUCGAAUCAGUUUUACGUGCUGGUCAAGGAGUUGGGGAGGGCGCAUGAUAUUUUGCCUCUGAGUUUGCUUAACGUGACGGCAGAUAUCAAAGAGCAGAUCGAGCUCCUCCACCGGCAAGCGAAAAGAACGGAGCUUUUUAUCGAUCUCAAAGAGCUGCAGAGAAGAGAAGAGCUUUUGGUUUUGAUGGGAAGCAAUAGUGAGAAGAACAGGAAGAACAAAGGGUUCAUAGAUUUGGUCAAAGUGAGAGAUGUUCUGAGCAGCAUUGGCCUGAGAAACGCCGUGGAUUACGAAGAAGAAACUUCAAAGCUCGAGGCAGAAGCUCACAAGCAAGCAGGGAGUGGAGGGCUGAUUGUGGUGUCCAACAUAAACAAUCUUAUUUCCCUUGUGUCGUACUGCAAAACCAUCAUUUUUAUAGAUGGUGAAAUCGAAAAACCGUGUAAAGAGGAUAUGAAACUGCACUGUCUCCCCUCGGGUAGAUUUUAUGAUCACUCUUCAUCUUCUCAGUCGUUGAUCCCCAAUGUUCCGGAUGAAUUUCGCUGCCCGAUUUCAUUGGACUUGAUUAGAGACCCUGUUAUUGUAGCAUCCGGGCACACUUAUGAUCGAAAUUCGAUUGCACAAUGGAUAAAUUCGGGGCACCAGACAUGUCCCAAAAGCGGGCAGAAGCUGAUUCACAUGGCGCUUAUUCCCAACUACGCACUCAGGAGUCUAAUGCAACAAUGGUGUGAGGAGAACAACGUUCCCACAACUGAAUCCUCGCAGUCUUCUUCCUCCGAUUUGGCGAGGAGCAGCAGCAAAAGGGAGUUGUACGAAAAUGCUGUCGAUCACAUUUCUGUCGUGAAAGCUGCUGCUGAUGCUGUGAAAUUGACAGCUGAGUUUCUGGUGGGAAAACUAGCAACUGGCUCCCCAGAUAUCCAAAGGCAAGCGGCCUAUGAGCUCCGAUUACUUGCCAAAACCGGCAUGGAUAAUAGAAGGAUAAUAGCAGAGGCCGGAGCUAUUCCAUUUCUAGUGACGUUGCUGAGAUCCCAUGAACCGAGAAUUCAGGAAAACGCUGUCACAGCGUUGCUCAACCUCUCCAUCUACAACAACAACAAGAUUCUGAUCAUGGCGGCUGGAGCAAUUGACGAAAUAGUAAACGUCUUGGAAUCGGGGAACACAAUGGAAGCAAGAGAGAAUGCAGCAGCAGCAAUUUUCAGCUUGUCGAUGAUAGAUGACUGCAAGAUAACGAUUGGAAAGCGCCCUAGAGCCAUUCCGGCAUUGGUGGGGCUUUUGAAAGAAGGCACUCCGGCUGGUAAAAAAGAUGCUGCCGUAGCACUCUUCAAUCUUGCACUCUACAAUGCCAACAAGGUGAGCAUUGUGUUCGCCGGGGCGGUUCCUCUGCUCAUCGAGCUGUUGAUGGACGACAAGGCGGGAAUUACAGAUGAUGCCUUGGCACUGCUUGCUCAGAUUUUGGGUUGCUCUGAAGGACUGCAGGAGAUUGGGAAGAGCAGGAUAUUAGUGCCUAUUCUUAUCGAUCUCUUAAGAUUUGGUUCACCGAAAGGGAAGGAAAACGCGAUCACUCUUCUGUUGGGGCUGUGCAAAGAUGGAGGAGAGGAGGUCGCAAGACGGCUGUUGAUGAACCCGCGGAGCAUUCCUUCACUCCAAAGCUUGGCUGCAGACGGUUCCUUGAAAGCUCGAAGAAAAGCUGACGCAGUGCUUCGAUUACUGAACAGGUGCUGCUUCCAAUCUCACGACCAGAUUGGAUGACAGUGUUGAAAGAGUGUUUUGUUAGAUACAGUUCCAAGUGUAUAUUUGUGCAAAUCAAGCACAGAAAUGAAAGUGUUGAUUAAUUACUGCAAAUCUUCUUCAGCUGCAGAUUCAACUUUCAAGAACUGCGCUACUCUUUUGUUAAAGAUUCGCGUCGAAUAAUUUGGCAUACCGGUUAUGUUUCUUGCCGGAUCUACUCUCGAAAUUUCACAGUUGGUGCUCGAACAAAAUGAUACACACUAUACAUUUAUUGAAAACGAAAUAAUCGGAUACAUUUCAUUGCUUCAUUUUUACAUCAGUUUCUCCAGGAGGAAACAACCUUUCCCCCUCACCGAUAAUGAAAGAAACAAUGGAUACAAUGAGCUGCCGGAGUGAACCCUAAAGAGGAAAAAGAAGAAACAAUUCCGAAGACGAAAAUGGUUUAACUGUGUUAAACCAAUCAGAGCUGAAUGCUGAUAUUAUGAGGGUGAGUUCCACAUCCACCGGUGAACCACGAUUCACCUAUGGUGAGGAUGAGUAUUUUGUAUUGUGCUUUACAACUCUACCAAUUCCAACUGAAUAUGUGUGCCCUUUAACCUGUAUUCCCAAUGCCAGCUUCCACCAUCCAUCAUGUUCUGUUCAAUAGGUUCAAGUCGGGAGUCGAAACCUGUAAAAUCAAUUAAACGAUGGAUGAAUUGGUGAGUGAUUGCCUAGCACAUAUUUAUGUAUGUGACAAUGAAUUCAGGUCUGCGUGCGUGUAAGAGAGAAGGGGGUCAUUUCUAACCAUCAACGUUAGGCUCAACUACCUCUCCCUAAAUUUUCUUUUUUUUUUUCAAAUCAGAAAGGAAAAGGCCGACAACUAUCCUCCCCCCUUCCUUGGAUUGCAAAGGAUAUGGUUCGUAUUGGACUAAGAGAGCUCUUCAGUUCAGUUUGGUAUUUUGCGUAGCAGGAUAUCAAAGUACCAUUCACAUGCUCACAUUCCCAAGUAUAAUGAGUAAUGUGUUAUGCUGAUUAUCUGGAAGAGUGCUUUUAAGAAAAGUCAUUCUAGUCGGGGUUAGAUAUCUGCAGUUAACGGAAAAAAACUAACCAACUAAGCUAUCAAAGCCUCUUAAUCUUAUGUACCUGAUUCUCCAGCUGUGAUCUUCAUUCAGUAGCCAUUUGGAACUUCAAAUGUGUGAUUUCCCUGCAUCCGGUUGUAAGCAGCAAAUAAGCUUCCUAAAUUUACUUGUAAGAUAAAUGCAUACCAGCUACCAGCUGGAAAGGUGAACUCCGAACAAUUAGAUGUUAAUAUUAAAAAUCUCUUGAAAAGCCUUUGAAAUUCAACGAUUUCUGAACAGUUUUGUCUACCCUCCAUGCAUAUCUAUACUAAUUGGUUGUCAAUCUAACCUGUAAGGUAACAUCAGUUGCCCCAAAUUCAGCAUUUCCAUGUAGCACGACCUUACAUGCCUCAAUGCGUUUAACAUCAUGCUUCCAGUACACAUUGUCUUCAAAAUUCCAGUCAAUUCCAUCAUUUAGCACCUUUACAUUCUGUAAUUUACAUCUUCCACACCUAUGGGAUGGACAGACUGUAAGUAUAAGUCCAAUUGUAAAAUGGACUCAUCGUUUCUGAAGAGACUUAAAAAAUAAAAAGUAGUAGAAAUUAAAGCAAAAAUCUACCUGUGCCCGUAUUGUAAAAUGGGUUCGCCGCUUUGAUCAAUCCUAGUUGAGCCCAUAACGUUGGCAGCCUCUACAAUCAGGCUUCCAUCAAGCUGAAAUGUAGGAAGCAGUGAUUAGCAAAGGAAACAAAAACUUCAUAAUCCUUAAUUUAAUAUGUGAAAAGUAUGAACCUGAACAUUCCUCCACAGGAACUCUGCAACCUCUACUUGUAACUCAGAGCCCUCGGAUAUUGAGCCUCCAUAGAACUAAUAGACAAAGACAAUUUUCUGCUUAACUAUUGAGUUCUUCAAUAUUUGAAUGAAGAAAGUAAAUAAAAUAUACACAGCAAAGUAAAGGGAGAAAAUGCGCUGAACCUUAAAAUCGUGCAUUAGCUCACAUUGACUUACUUUUUGUCUGGUGACCUCCCAAAGUGGGCCAAGAGCAGGGUGCAGAAGAAUAAGAAAUGGUGGUCCAGAACUUUGAUAUUUUUCAUUACUUUCAAUCUGCAGCAUAUCAGAAGUAGAAUACCAUAACUGAGCAUAAAAAAGAAAUUCAUAAAAAACAAAAAACUCUAUGGCUUGCUACAAGGAUUAAAUGAAUUUGCAUUGAGAAAAUACUUGGGAGCUGUUUGGUAUCCUUCUUGGAUCCAAAUUUUUUUGUUUUUUGAAACUAAUGAGGACUAAGUAACGUAGCUACAUUCAUCAUUUUUUAAAACUUAUACAAUUGUUUUCAAAUUGAAUACCAAACAACCCCUUAGCAUCUAGUGAUAGCUCACACCAUGUGGAAGUAAUUAACAUUAUUACAAAAGAAUUAAGGGGAUGUACCUCAGGAAGUUCAAUAUCACAUUGUGAAAGAAGAUCAUGGGCAUUCCGUAGGAUAUCCAACAGUGGACCAUCAGGAGUCUGCACAUGAAUUCAACCUAAACAUAUUAAACUUAGGGAGAAAAUUACGUCUAUACUGUGCCAAAACUUAAUUCAGUCCAAGCUCUACUUCUAAAUUGGAGACAGAGAACACAUACAUACUUGGUGCAAAGAUUUCUCUGCAUGUCUUCUUUUUCUCUUAGCAGAUGAUGUGACCCUUCUUCGUUCAUUAUAAACAAUGAAUGUAUCAAGCUUAUCUGCCAACAGUUAUAGCCACUAAAGUUAUUGAUAAGCAUAAAACAUAACGGGAAUUGGUAUGCAUCAAUGAUCCACCAUAUAGACAGAAAUAAUACCUUCAAUACCCUUAUAAUAUCGAGAUGGACAUGUAUUAAGAAAGCUGUCAGCAAUAUUUUGCAUUGUGCAUUCAAGCCUUCCACCAGAGACACUGUGACAAAUGAAAAGUGAUCAGAGACUGGCUAAUAAUCAUUCAUGUGUACAAGUUCUGACUCUUCUUAUGGUGCACACUGUAAUGGUUAGCAUACCAUGCAGAGUUACUAAUAUUCAUUGGUGAAAGAAGGUAAUUUGAGGUUAUCUUUGCAUAUCUACUAUCAAGUAUUACUGAUGCAGACAAAAUAGUCAAUUGUGAAAACAGCACUUUAAAGUUUUAAGAAAGUACCUGUGUUGUUUACCAAAUUGGUCUAUAAAUGUUAUAGGCUUUUUAACAUUCAGCACCAUGCCUGGUAAGCUGUUUCCACUAUUACUUGAUCCGACCGACUCUGCUGAAGGCAAAUCUACAUACAAGAUGUUUGUAUUGGCAGGGAACUCUGCUUGCAACCUUGAACAUAGAAUGGUUAAUUACUGCAUAAUGAAAUUCAGUAAUAAGAAAUCAUAUUGAAUUUUCCACUCUGCUUCAUUCCUAACAUGCCAAACUUCACACUUAAAAAAGCAUAUUCAACAAGAUGGGAAAUUAGCAUAAAGAUGAUCACUGAAUAACAACAAUGGAAAUAUGUAACGGAAAAAAAAAACUAUUGUAUAAGCUAAUAUUCUAGUAAGCAUGCUGUUCACAUGCCAACAAGCAUGGGGAUAUCAAAACACAUAAAUCAUAUACAUUAGACUAGAGAUUUGGAUUCAUAGAAUUGUAUACCUAUUUCGAGAAUGAGGUCCGUCUACUAUCUCAAACUUGUCAAACUCUGUAUUCGAUGCAUGGUAAACCAUAUGCCCACCUUCCAUCAAGAAUUUUUUUCUCAGUAAGGACAUUAAUUCCUUCUGUAGCCCCCAAGUUCCUCUUACAGGAUGCAAACCCCAGUUUCUGUAGCAAGUAAAGGCAAGUAGUAAAAACAGUAAAUGAGAAGAACUUCCAAGUCUCUAAGGACUCUCUAGUAACAUAGGUACUGUUUACUGUAAACUCAAACAAACUCCGUAGUCCAUAGCAAUGGAAAUUAGAUAAGGAGUAGAGUGUUUGACCUAAACUAGGAACUUCCUGCUCUUUUGCAACUAAGGAUUAACUAUUUAGCAGGUUCCAGGAAAGAGGGGGAUCUAAAAUCACUUUUUCACAAGUGUACCUUGCCAUGAUGUAAACCAAUCCCUGCCAGUGCCAAGAGAGUCAAAUCCGUAGCCGCCACAACAUUGCUGGAAAGCCACCAUAUAUAGGUCAAUACAGAGUUUGGCAUCCAAAUUAACAAAAUUUUCCAACAGAAGAAGAAUAAGGGACUUAUGUUAUUAAAUAUACUACUAUGGCUCACCCAACUUGUCGUACAGUUGCACCCUUCCGUCCAUGAUCAUAAAACCAUUUGAAAAUGCCUUUAUCAUAAGCAAGUUUCCAUAUUACACCAUGACCACGGGGCUUGCAUACGGGUGCAAACGGUUUUGUGAUUAUCCAUUGCCCAUUUUCUGCACCAACAGCUGGGACAAGGGGCCGGAAAUUCACAAGCAAUUAUCUCAGCAAUGACAUUCAUUGCUCAAACCAGAUAGACUAUUACACUGUAGACAACCAAUAACAGAAAAUAAUCUCGUAGUUUCGCACAUUAAACCUGUUCAAAAAGUUGGAAACCUGAUCGACCUCUUCUAAACCAUUCAAGUUUUUCACAAAGAGAAGUUAUGUGUUCAUGGUUGUUCUUUGCAGCGCUUGUCAUAAUUGCAACAGGGGUGAUGCAUUGUUUCCGGUACAUCUUAAAGUACAAGAACUCUCUAGCCUUGCAAUUCAAACACACAAAAUGUAAGAUGCAUAUAACUCCACCAUCUACAAAAUAAUUUUAAUGUUAACUCAUUCUUGUCAAGUGCUAAGCUUGACAAACAGAGAACUUGUACCUGAAGAUCUCUUAUAAGACCUUCCAAUAAAGUCUGUCCACAAUAUGGAAGCAUUGCGGCAGGGAGACAUUCACCUGUGUUGGGAUCAACCAAACCAAGCCUGUCCGCAGAACCUCCCAAAGGAUAAAUUUCACCUAGGUCUGGCAAACCCUAAAAUGAAUAAGAUCAUUUAGUUCAAGUGAAACCAAUUUUAUGUCAUUCACGUCAAAUGAGCAACAUACCCCGGCACCAACCUGAAUUCCCCAUAAAGCAGCUUGAGAUGCAUAUUCUGCAUUUUGAGAAAGAUCAAUUUCACCGGGAGCAUGAAUUUCCAAAAACUGGCAUUCCAUUUUCUCUUGUAUGCUCUUGGCCCAAUUUGUAGUCUGCAUUUCGACUCUCGAUUGAGCUAGAAUCUCCAAUACUGUCAUCUGGUAUCUGCACCAAAUAUGUAAUUAGAUUCAUUUCGAUUCUCAAUUUAAAAGGGCCCAACGUGCUUCCAGCCACCAAAAGCACUUCUCGCUAUGUUUGGUAUAUAAACUUAAAAUUGCUUCUCGGUCAUAGAAGCACUUUCUGAACAAGAAUUCUCACCUGCUUUUCCAGUAAGCACUUGAAUUUUAAUACUCCUAGAAAGCUCAAUAGUAUAGUUAAAGUUUAAAAAUUGACAAUAAAAUUCAGAAGGGAAUAGUUAACUGACCCAAUAAUUCCUCCAAUGCAGUUAUAGAACUGUUCAAUUUCUCCCAAAUUCUUCAAGAGCUUCUUCAAGUCCUUCAAAUCUUCAUCAUUCAAAGGCAAAGCUCCAUUCUUCAUCCCCGAACCCUCGCCAUUCACAUCCAAUUUCUCAAUCAUUGCAACGAGCGCGUAAAGCGCGCUCUUCACCGAGCUCCGGGCCGACUCCACCUCGCCGCCGUCGAACCCGAACCCCCAACCGAGCACGUGCUCUUGCCCCGCUGCAACCAAGCAUUUAAACAAGAACAGCUCUUCAGAGCUCAAAUUGAGUGAAGCUAAAGCCGCGGAGAAGCCGCCGCUGCCGGAAUUGAAGAAUCGCUUCACUCUGGAAUCGCCGUCGAUCACUCUAAGCUUGGCGCGGAGGGAAUCGCAGUCGGCGAGCCUGGAACGGAGCGAUUUGAGGCGCGAGAGCUCCCGGUGGAAGUCGAAGUCGGGAGCUCACGGCGCGUACUCUACCGGAACGGUGGUGACACGCGUGAUGUGGCACGACGGCGAGCUCGACGAUAAAGAAGAGGAGGAGGAGAGAGUGUGGGAGAGUGAGGGUUUGGCGAGGCGGAGAGAGGUGAGGGAGUGGAAGUGAGAGCGGGGAGUAACGGAGGUGAAGAGCAAGUAUGUGUUGUUUCGGUUGAGAAUUGGGGUUGUGCGCGCCAUUUUUCACACAGAGAGAAAGCCAGAGCGACUGAGAGAAUUUGAAGAAGAAGGAGGGGAGAGGGAGAGAGAGAGAGAGAGAGAGAGAAGAGGAGAGAGAAAAUGGAGGGAAGGGUAAGGAGUAGAUGCUGAAAGAAUAUACGGGGAGGUUGACAGGGAGCGCGAGAGAGGUUCCAAAACCGUCCAACGGUGGAGGAGGAGGAGGAGGAGGAGGAGGAGGAGGAUGGCGUGGCCUAAAUAUCGAGGCACCUCAGACGCUGUGGAUCUCAGUCUUUUUCUUUUAAGUUUUCAUUUUAUUUCUAUUGAAUUUUUGAAUUUUUAAAUAAAACUGAUUUUUGUCCUUUGCGUGGCGUCAUAUAGGACUUACUAAUUCGGAGUCUAAAUAAAUAAAAUUAGGAUAAAUUACACAAAAUUACCUUAAUUAUUGGACUAGUCACAAUUUCAUACCUUAUCUUUAAAAAAUGUUAAUGUCAUACCUCAUUUUAUGAAUUUGUUACAAUUUCAUAUAUUCCGUCAGUUUGUCUGUCAAUUAUUCCCCUAAAUAGUGACAUAACUUGAGACAAACCCAUUUUCAAUUUCAACUAGAUUAAAAAAUUAACUAAAUAUUAAAAAUUAAAAAAUUAAAAAAUUAAAAAACCAUACCCACACACACCCAAAUCCCCUUCCUUCCCCCUCACUUCUAUGCAACUCCCGCCCUCUCUUCCUCCAUCUCCACCUCUCUCCCAUGGCGCUCCUCCCCCUCCCCCUCCCCCUCCCCCUCCUACACACCCAUCACCCUCUCUACCCAGUUUUCACUUCAAUCUCACUUCACUCUUGCACCUCCACUGCCUCACUGAAAAGGAAAAUGUUGGCAGCUAAAACCCUAAUAAACCUAUCGCCAUCACUCAAGCUCCCAAACAACCUCUCUUUUUGCCACAAAUCCCCAUUUUCUUUCUCGAUCCGCAACAUUCUCCCCCAAUCCCCGUUGUCUCCUGAUCCCACCCCGGGACAACUCCGAGUUGACAUCCUCGCCGAGUCUCUCCCCUUCAUCCAGAAAUUCCAAGGCAAGACCAUUGUUGUCAAGUAUGGUAGCGCCACCAUGAAAUCCGAGUCCCUCCAGGCCUCCGUCGUCAACGACCUCAUCCUCUUCUCCUACGUCUACCUCAUGCCUAUCCUCGUCCACAUCGGCGGCCCCAAGAUCAACCUAUUUGCUCCAGCCGAAGGGGGGAAGCGGCGCGAUUGAAGAAUGUGAAGGAGUGGGAAGAGAAGCUAGAAGUGGAGGAGACGAAGGCGGGUGGGAUCUAGGUUGGGUGGUUCUGGUUUUGAGUUGGGGGAAGACGGGAAGAAAGGUGAGGGGGAAAAAGGUGGGUCCCACAUGCAAAAAAAAAAGAGUUUUAACAAAAACACUCAUGGUGCAGUUCACUUUUAACGAAAAAUCACAUUUUUACCUUUAACUGGCACUAUUCACUAUACCUUUAAAAAUGGCUUUUCUUUAAAAGAGAAGUUUUUUUGGACUUUUCGUUAGUUUUCCUAAAAAAAAAGAUUUUAUUUUUUUAGUUUUUAACAUUUAAUUAAUUUUUAAUAUUUUAAUAGAGAGUGGGCUCCGUCUCAAGCCAUAUCAUUAUUUAACAGAAGAAUUGACAAAUAAACUGACUGAAUGUAUGAAAUUGUAACAAAUUUGUAAGAUGAAGUAUGACAUUGACAUUUUUUAAAGAUGGGGUAUGAAAUUGUGACUAGCCCAAUAGUUAAGGUAGUCUUAUGUAACUUACCCAUAAAAUUAUUAUCUUCCGUCUACAAAUCUUCCCUUCUUCUUAGUUCUUUACUCUCUCUUACAAUAGAGAGAUUUUUCUAUGUGCUCAAAAUACAAGUCAGGAGACUCGGAAACACAUAUUAUUAAUCAAUUUGAGGAAAAUUUGAUAAAGAAAGUUUUCUUCUAAUUAUAUAAUAAGAUAUGCCGUACUAUCUCGUAUUUCGAGCAAAUUGAAAAAUCUAACCCAAAAAUGAGCAAAGGAUGAAGAGAUGAAAGUUGACUGAAAAGACUAAUUUGGAAAACUAUUCCGUCCAAAGAAUAGUACUUUCACCUUUCAGCUUCUUCCGGUUAAUAUGAGAUGUUAAAAACCGAUUUAGAUAAAACUUAUUUUUAUUUUCCCAUUUUAACAAUUUUUAAACACUAAAAAAAAUAUUUAUUUCCAGUUUUAACGUUUAAAUUCUUUUAAUCUUUACGCUAUAGACUGAUCCGACGGUCGAUAAUUAAAAUUUGGUUUAAUAUGGAAGUACUAGCAUAGACUUUUCCAUUUUUGUAAAAAUUCUAAUUAGUGCAUGUGUUAUGUUAGGGUUUGCCAGCUCCUUUUACACUCUAGCUAAUUAAGGUUAAAUUUUUUUUAAUCAAAUCCAAACUCAAUCAUCUCAAACUCUAUAUAAAUUAAUACAUUUGGAAUCCAUUUUUAACAGAUUUCGUAAUUAAUUGCGUCUUCAUUUUUCCAAGAAAUUAAACACAUUAAUCAUGGAGCAAAAAACCACCGUCCUCUUUUUACUCUUAUUCUCUUUGGCCUCCUUUCUAUCUCUACUAAUCCCAACCACCGCAUCUCCGCCUGUAUCCGCCGUUUUCGCCUUAGGCGAUUCAACGUUGGAUUCGGGCAACAACAACCGCCUCCCAUUCACCCUUUUCAAAAGUGACCACCGUCCGUACGGCCGGGACUUGCCAAACCACGUCCCGACGGGAAGGUUUUCCAAUGGAAAACUAUCAACGGACUUCAUGGUCUCCAAACUUGGCCUCAAGGACUUGUUGACCGCUUACCGUGACCGGAGACUGACUGACCGUGACUUGCUCACCGGUGUCAGUUUCGCGUCAGGUGGUAGCGGUUUGGAUGAUCUGACCUUGGCCGUGUCGAAGGCUACGAGUUUGUCGAGGCAGUUGGAGGACUUUGAUGAAGCGUUGAGGAGGAUGAGGAGAACUGUUGGGGAGAAGAAUUGUAGUGAGAUUGUCAACAACGCUGUGUUUGUGAUUAGUGUUGGGACUAAUGACAUGGUGUUUAACCUCUACGAUGUACCUGUUACACGGAGGAAAAUUGAGUUUUCACCUUCAGGGUACCAGGAUUUUCUUCUCAAAAGACUCGGGUCGUUCAUUCAGGUAUAUAAUUAAGUAACCCUUAAUCAAGUGACCUGGUGAAUUAGUAAUAUUAACUAGCGGUGUUACAAUCAAAUCCUAGGUUUUUUGCUGUAAUUUUAGCCAUGCAUGAUUAUGAUGGUUAAUUGAGUCUAUGAUUCUAAUGUUUUGUGUGCAUGCAUGAUUAUUCGUGCAAGUCCUUUCCCUAAAAAAAAUUAAAAUUUAAUUAAACUUAAUUGAUAGUAACUAAGAUCAACUUAGAUCUACCAACAUGGUAUUUAAUUUUGGUAUGUACAACCAAUUAACAACUAGCUACUUAUGUUUGGCCUACAUUAAUCGAUUGUCAUUACUAAAGGGGAACAUCUAAGGGGUUGUCUAAUUAAGGUAGGGUUUACUGUUAUAAUUUUGCAUGUUGAUGUUAUAACUUAUAAUUUAGAUAAAUUAAUAACACUACCUUCGACAUGCUAUGCUUAUAAUGUUAUUCAUGAUAUGCAUGGCAGAACCUACAUAAGAGGGGAGCGAGGAGAUUCCAGGUGGCGGGUCUUCCGCCAAUUGGAUGUCUGCCAAUGCAGCUGACCAUUGGCAGCAUCUUCAAUGGGCUUCGGCGUGUGUGCGUGGAGCAGCAAAACAAGGACUCUCAGGCUUACAACACCAACCUCCAAGGCCUCAUCCAAAGAUUGCAAGCCUCCCUCCCCGGUUCCAGGCUCGCCUACUUCGACACCUACCAUCCCAUCUUGGACAUGUUCAAUAACCCAUCUAAAUAUGGUAAGUACAUGGUUUUGAAUAUUGUCACGCUUCUUAUCAUUUUAUUUUUACAUACCUAAUAUACAUAUAUAUAUAUAUAUAUGUUUUCUUUGAUUUUCUGUGCUUAAUUUUUUAUUGAUUUCAUUUUGUUUUAAUACUUGAUAUAUGUGUGUAGGGUUUGUGCAAACACAUGCAGGAUGCUGUGGAACAGGGAUGGUAGAGUUGGGUCCAAUGUGCGGGAAGCUUUCACUGACGUGUCCAGACCCUUCUAAAUUUUUGUUCUGGGAUGCCAUGCAUCCUUCCCAAGCAGCAUACAAAGUUCUUGCUGACAUAUCAGAGAAGACGGUCUUGCCGUACCUUACUGCUUGACUGGAUAUGGAUUGAUCAAUUUUUUUUCUUUUUUCUCGUAAUUAGUAACUUGGACAAGGUAAAUACGGCAGGAUAUAUAUCGCACAAUCAGUUCGAUCCAAGAAUGCAUUCUUUUCCUUUUUUUCAAGUUUUGAAAUAAUAUAAAUUUGGUUAGCUUUUACUUUUUUUUGGGGGAAAUAAUCCUUGGUUACUUUUGAAGCAUGUAAUCAUAUAAGGAUUGUGUUAAAGAAAAAAUGUUGCUCAAUAAUUUGCCUUCAAUAUAUUGUUGUAUAAAAAAAUGAAACAUGUACUCAAGAUGCAACAUAAGUUCUAAAGCAAAACCUAGCAUCAGAUAGUCUGCAGAAAAUAAUACUAAUAUAGAUCAGGAGCAUAUUUACUUACAUUGGGUUUACAACGUAGGGCUCGUUGAAAGUGUUUUAACAUGACCGAAAGUGCUUUCGAUAAAAAUGUUUUUGCAAUCAAUCCUUAGUGAAGACACAAGUGAAUCAUAGAAAAGCACUUCAAAUGCUUUUAGAACCCAAAACUAUUUUCUUUAAGUCAUUUUAAAAGUAUUUCCAAACGAUCCCGUAAUCAUACAUGUUGAGAAUUUCAAUACAUUUGACAUCAAAUGUGGCUAACUGUAGCCUACAAAAUAGGAGACAUAUAGUAAUUCCUUUUUGUGUUUUGGCUAAACGAAAGACAAUUCAUGUGAUCUAAAACGAAAUUUCAUGAGGAAAAUUAAUGUUAAUAUUAUUUGCAGGAACAUAUGGUUUCAGAGAUAACAUAUAAAAGUUAAUAAAUUUUGGAUUUCCAAGAAAUAUUGUUCUUAAUCAAGCACCAAGAUUUUGGUUUUUUAUUGACCUAAAAACUAAUAAAACAAAGAGACCAAGAAAUAGGAACCUAAAAACUCUCAAAACAAUGUACAUAUAUGACCACCAAACUGUGCAUAUUUGGUAAUGCCAAAAAACACAUUCGUCUGUUUAUACCUCGUUAUUCCCCAGUUUUUGAAUCAUUUGCUAAUAAUAUUGCUAUCUAUAUAUCAUGGAUCGAUACAAGACAUUACAUAUACAACAAAAUCAAAUGAUCGAACAACGAAAGAGUUGACAUCAUUACCUUUUUUUGUGACGGUAGAAUAUGACAGUGGUCAAGUUCAAAAUUCAUUAAUUUGUUUGAAUUUAAUUUUGGAAAGUACCUCAAGAUCUCACUUAGAAUAAUAUUGUCUCAUUCAUAGAGUGAGGUCCAGAGUACUUGCCAUGUUCUUCCCGUGCUUGCUGUCACCGUAACCAGUAGUACCUUCUAAUUUCUUCACGCCAAGUUUCGAAGAUGACGACGAGGACAAAGAGAGAGAUAAACUACAACCCAUGUGUAGUUUUUGAUGAUUAUCACCACCACACUGUAAACCUUUUCCGAAUCCAUGACCAUGUUUUGGUGGAACUUUUAGUGACAGAUUUAAAUCCAAGUCACUGUUGUCUGUGUCGAAAGCCAUUCUUUUCAGCAUGUUUUGCCCUUGAUGAUCUCGAAUCGCUGCACUCCAACUAUGAUGAUCUUGGCAUGGCCUGUGGAUCACAGUUUGACAUGACUCAUCCCGAGUAAUUUGAUGCCUUCUCCAAGUGAUUUGUCCAGGGUUGGGAGAUGGAAGAUUUGUAUGUAACUGAUUUGCUGAAGUAGUCCUAAUAUUGUUAUUGUUGCUUCCAAGUAUUCUUUCAGCAACUGAACCAUAAAGUUCAAUAUUUCUGGUAUUAUGAUCAAGUAGUGCAGUAGUCCUACUUGAACGGUAUGGGCCGUAUAUCUGGUGGUGGUGGUGGCGGCCUUGCCACGAGGAAUGAUCUGUAGCACCAUAUCUAAUACAAAAAUGAAGAUUGAAAUGGUUACUAUCAGGAUUCAAUGAAAAAUGAAAGACUAAAAAACACUUUAUUUAUAAAUUGUUCAAAAUUAAACAGUAAAAUUAAGAGAACUAUUUCAUACCUUAAUCCGGAAGAAGGCCAUUUUUUUAAGCUUUGUAGCAUGGAGAGUUGAGUAAGGUUGUAAAGUUGGUUAUCUCCACCUUCCAUAAAAAAUCCUGCAUGAUCUGUCAAAACUGUCACAUAAUAAGAAAGCAAGAUCUCUCAAGAGAUUGUAAAUAUGUAAACCCUAACUUUCGUAUUAGUUUUUGGAAGAGUAGGUGAGCCUGUGUGCAAUUUGUUAACUUGUUCACCUUGAUUGGGGUCUUCCAUCUUCUUGCUCCUAUGCAUCUGAUGAUUAGAAUCAAAACCAGAAAAUGUAGAAAAAUACUAAUCAGAUAUAUAUGAACCCUUAAUUUAUAUUUAUUCAUAGUACUGAUUCUUAUAGAUAGUACACUUAGUAGAGAAAAUAUACAAAAGAUCAUGAAAUCGAUCUGGAUCAAAUCAAUUACUUGAAGAUGGCUCUUGACAUGAGCUAUACUAAGACCCUUAACAUUCAUCAAUUGAAGAACCAACUUAGGAGUUGCUCCUGCACCAUUAAAACACAAUUAUUAAUACUUCAUUAAUUAGGAAACAGGAACUGACGGGGAAGCUAGGCUAAUCUCAUAAAUUAAUCACAAAACCUAGCUUUGAUCAUAUGCACUAAACUUACUUUCUUGUCCACCUAAUCUUUCAACUGCAUGAACAAAGCGAAGAUGGAGAUCAGGUGUCCAUCGAAGCCGCGAUGUCUUGGAACGAACAUACUGCCUUACAGAUCCAGAAGCUCCCUUCUUUUCAUGGUUUUCGUCAAUGGUGCUAUUGCUGGAGCUGACACCGUUAUUGCUCAGCUGAAGGCCAUCUUCAUCCACCUCAUCCUCUUCACCCUCAUCGUCUUCAUGAUCGUAUUCCUUCUUGCUGGUAGAAGGGCUUGAUUUAGAAACUUCUUCCAUACUGGUGCUUUCACUCUUCAUCCCUAAUCUCUUUAUGUUUUGCUUCCCAAUAAUAUGGUAUUGAUGGGCAAGUGAUGGCCAGAUCUUGAAUUCAUCAUAUUUCUCUUUAACCAUGAAGUGAUCUUUGAUGUUUGGGGAGAUCCAUUCUUUGCAUACAAGCUAGCUAUAGGCAGUUGAGCUAGCACUUACAAGAAUGGAGAAAUUGGAGAUGGAAAUUUUAUAUGUCCUGGCUAGCUAUAGCUAGCUAUGACAAAUACAUGAUAUUAUUAAUAAAGUAUUUAAACGUCUCACUCUCUCUCUCUCUCUCUCUCUCUCUCUAUCUCUCUCUUCUUCUCUCUAUAUACAUUAUACAAUAUUAUAUGAGCCUUGCAUAUAUGAUGCAAAUUUUGUCCAAGCUUUCAUGUACGUAUAUAUAUAGAUACAUGAGAGCUUUAUCAAUACUUUAAAACACUCAUACUGCACUUUGAAUAUGUAAAAAUACAAGGAAGAAAAUAUACAUAAAAUGGGAUGAUAAUGACUUUUUUAAGAGUGCUAAUAACAUGUUUCUACACACACAUAUAGGGUUAGGAUUUAGAGACACACGCUUUUGACACAUGUUUUUGUGGAGUCUACUCCGUAAUAUAUAUCAACAAUCCAACCGUCUAUCUUAACGAUUUUGGAUUUCUCUAAUUUUUUGCAAGGAAAAUCUAUGAAUGAUGCACUAAAACAUAGAUAGUUUGAAUCGUUGAAAUACAUUAUGAAGUUGGCCCUACAAAAUGAAUUUCAAAAUAUAUAUUAAAAGCGUGUAUUUUGGAAUCAUAUAUUACUUUCUGAAUCAUAUAUAACUCAUAUAUACAUACAUACACACACACACACACACACAAUAUAUAGUACAUGGAUACUUCAAAUUAUUUACCCAAAUGGUUACAUGCUUAUUGGUAUAGUAGAACUCAUUACCUACCAAACUCCAUGGGAGUUUGUUAAUAAUCGAAAUGAGAAUAAUAAUUUAUUUAAUAUAUGUGCAAACUGACACACCCCGACCCAGAAAUCAGGGCGUGCUGGCCGUCACGUGAGCGUGACGUAACCAUAAGUGCAAGCAGAAACGAUAAGGUAAGAAAUACGAACAAAUAAAAGCCAACUAAAAGCAAUAACUUCCAACGAUAAUGCAAGAGUGUUAAACACACAUAAAUAGAGCAUAGAAGCCUAGGUGUAGUCAAGUAGGACUAUAAUUAAGUUACAACACCCGCAGGUGAGUCCUACAUUUAGGUAGUCUGUCAGAACGCCGUGAAAUUCCUCGUGAGCCACCAACGCUGCUAUCUACAACCUAGACGGGCACAAAACUGAAAACGUGAGUGGGCGAAAAUAAAGCUUUUCAAAACAACUCAUUUAUCAACAAUUAUAUCCCCUCGCUGUAAAACCUGUAUACUUCCCCGGAAAAUAGUAUAUAAACAUAUAUAUAUCAUCAAAAGCUCAAAUCACAAUCCUUCAACGUUUUUCAGAAAGAAUAUGCCAUACCAUGCCAUAUGCCAAAAUAUAAUAUGAAUGCAUCAAUAUAAUUAAGGUGAAAUAAUAAAUCAACCGGAGACCUUACAGUGGUCCUGUACGGCUGAUUCUAUAGCUCAAUAUCUCAUCCAGCCGGAGUCACCAACUGUGACCUAUACGGCACUACACUGCACAUAAGUCGGAACUACUUAUAGUAGUCUGUACGACUAAGAUGGUGAAAUAAUACGCUCUAGUGCUUCUCUCAUCAAUCAUCUGUGCACAUAAUCUAAAGUCACCUACCAGUCGGAACCCCUCUAAUGGUCUGUACGACUGGCAUGUCGGAACCACUUCUAGUGGUCUGUACGACUAGCAUCUACUUGGAUCCAAGGUGAGCGUGUGAUGCAGGGUGAAUAACAUAAGCACUAACACCAGGGGUGCAGGUUAUGAGCUCUCAACACAAUUCACAUCAUUAAUAAAUCACAUGAACAACAUAAAACUCACCUGAUACUCACCUGUGCGUCCAUAGCACCAUGUCACAUAUAUGCAUCAUAUACCAAUCAUAUAAUUCAUAUAAUUUCUAUGCAUGGCAUUCCAAAACUCAUUUCAUAACGCAUUUCAUUUAAAUUCGAUUUCUGGGCAAAAUCAAUAGUAUAUAGGUAUAUAUAGAAAACAAUGCCCACUCAUUGGUAAGUCGAUGGGUCGUAACCCCCGUGACGUCCCUGGAUGCGCUCGUCCUCGAGAUAGGUGUCACCUAUAUGCGAAACAACUAUAAAAACGUUAAUUUCAUACACAUAACCAACAAUUCGAAAUAACUUCUCAUACGGUGCUCAAUUUAGGUAUAUGAAUAUACCACAUCGACCUAUUCGACGUCAUGGACGUUGAGAAAUUUUUAGAAAAAUUUUUGGGCUUGCCACGCACCCCCACGCGCCAGGAAGGGCACGGGUUCACGCUCCCCCCACGCGCGUCUCCUACCUUGGGCUCGCCGGACUGGUUUUUUCAGUGGCCGGAAUCUGGGAAAUUUUCAAACACCUUGUUCUCAUUCGUUUCUCAACCAUUUUUCACGCAUUUUAUAUCAAAAUGAAGCCCUAAACAUGUAUAAUCACGCUACACUACUUUAAGGCUCUAAAAAUCAUGAAAUCUCACCAGAGAAUUUCCAAGAAAACCGGCCAACUUCGAACUCGACGAUGCCGACGUCCAAAACCUUCCAACUAGGUACUCCGAGCUUGCUUAGGACCUCACUAAGUUCACUAUAAGCUUGGAUUGUCCUAAAAAUCAACCAACACAAAGUUCAUGAAUAGUGCCAAACUCGGACCUCGAUUUUUCAGCGUGAAAACGAAGGAUUUCUUACCUGAAAAUGGUAUCUUUGAGUUCGUAGAGUCCUCACGAGCACGAUGGUGCCUUCAAAAUCCUCGAUCCACGAAGUUUCAGGGUUUUAUGAUGUUGGUCCGUACGUUCGAGAGGGAGAGAGAGAGAGAGACUGAACGGAGAGGAGAGAGAAAAGGCACGGGGAGGAAAUUGGAGUGUCCCGUGGAUGUGUGUGGUCCAUCCAAACAAAACCAACUUCAAUCCCUAACCACACAAAUUUACAAACCAAUUUUUAUCAAACCUUAAAUAUAUUUCCAAGAUUUUAGGAGAGUAUAUGUUUAAACCAGUUUAUAUGUCCCAUACACAUACCUUAGUACCCGCUAAGGGUAAUCCUGUCAUUUCACGUCCUCGAUAAAUAAAAUCCCGGGACGGGUUGUGACACAAACUAUACCCAAAAAGAAGGAAAAAAAGACGGGGAUUUCCUUUAUAUACAGCCAUACAGGUUACAUAAAGUUGUCAUUUCCAAAUCUAGUUCCUAUGUGCUUAGUACUUUAUACUAAUCAUAAGAUAUACUCUUUUUUUUUUGUUAAUAAAUAAUAACAUUUGUAGAUUUUUGCUAUAAGUUAUAGUUCAUCUUCGUCUUAGUGUAAUUUGUGUUACGAAUUAUAUGAUUAGCAUCUCUUUUUUUAUUUGGCCAAAGGAUCAACUGUAACAUUUUGGAUUCAGAUUAAUAUAUUGAUGUCUCCUGUUAACGUUGUCAUGUCGAUUAAGAGCUAAAGACCACAUGGAAACUGGUAGUCAACUUUGAGUUAAGAAAGAAACAGUGGUUUGCACGCGACCUGUGAAGCUAUAAGAAUCCUGUGCUUGUACCUGGCUUUAUCAAAAUAAAAAAGAAGUUUAGGUCGUCUGCUCAUGACAUGUGUUUAGAAGAAAGGAAUUAAGAUUCUUUCCCCAUUUCUGUGUUUGGGGCUGAUGGACAGAAAAUCCGGAUCACUCAUUUUAAAUCAUGUGGUCUUUAAUUAGCCUAUUUUAUUGGCUCACCUCAUACAAACUAAGGAUCCAAAUCCUCUUUCUCUCUCUUCAACAAUCCGGAUCUAUAUCAUUGAGCUCCGAGCACAGAGAUUCAUGAGAGGAUUUCGACUUUGAAGAAAGAAUAUCCUAUCUUUCAUUUACAUGCAUUAACCGAUUAACACAUAUUAUUAUUAUGAGUAUAUUUUGCACUCUUAAAUUUGGAUGUAGUUACAACUUCAUACAUCGUCUUUAAACCUUUGCAAUAUCAUACCCAUAAGUUCCUUAUAAAUAAGGCCGGGCAUGCAUGACAAAUAUUGACCUCAAAAUAUUUGAACUGAAACUGUUAAUGCACAAAACCGGAGGUCUUGGAACAACGUAAAUUCGACUGUGAAUCUACAAGUAAUGUAAAUGACACAAGAUGUAUCGUGGUUCACCCCAAGGUUUGGGCUACGUCCACACUGAUUAUGUAUUUAUUUGAGGGAGAGAGAGCUCUGAGAGUGAGAGCUUUGAGAUGGGAGAGGAGCCUUAGGAAUUGGCCUCCCUUAAUUGUGAGGGUGAGGGGUACUUUUAUAGAAUAAGGACUCCUCACUUAUUACAUAUUUGCCCCUUCUUUUUUUACAUAAUUACAUUUAAGUCCCUCGAGUAUUUAUAUGAGGUCUAAAUACAAAGCCCUAAAUAUGGUAUAAACAGUAGUCCCCCAAGUCUUCAAUCAAGAGAGUCUUUUGGCUGAAGACUUGAAAUUCAGUCCAUGUGUGAGCCGAAGUAACUAGAUGUUGUCUUGAUCUGAUGCUCGAUAUGAGGCGGUGCUCAACCUGAAAUGAUGCUCAACUAGAAGUAGCACACGCUGCGAGGCUGCUAUGCUCGUGGCUUAUGUUGCCUUGGUUGGUUCGACUUGUGGCGUUGAAGGUGAGAGAGUCCAUUUUAUAGAAUAAGGGCUCGCUCCUCAAUACAUAAAUGGUGGGCUAGGGGAUGCUCGCGGCGAGGCGGUUGCUCAGCAGGCGGCGAUGCUCUCUAAUGGUGGUGAGGGAGUCCCUUUUAUAGAAUAAGGGCUCGCUCCUCAAUACAUAAGUGAUGGGUUAGGAGUGAUGCUUGUGGCGAGGCUGUUGAUCAGCUGGCGGCGUUACUCUUUAAUGAAGGUGAGGGAGUCAUUUUAUAAAAUAAGGACUCGUUUCUCAGUACAUGAAUAAUGGGUGAUCUCUAAUGAAAGUGAGGGAGUCCCUUUUAUAGAAUAAGGGUUGCUCCUCAAUACAUAAAUAAUGGGCUAAGUCCCUCAAGUAUUUUUCAUGAGGCCCAAUAUAUGGUACAUAAUGUAGUCCCCCAAGUCUUCAGUCAAUAGAGUCUAUUGGCUGGAGACUUCAAAUUGAAUCUAUGUAUUGAAGCUUUGUAGGUGAAGCUUUGCAAGUGAGGCUUUGAAGCUGGAGCUCUGUAAAUGAAGCUUUUGAAGCUAGAGCUUUUGUAAAUGAAGCUUCAAAAGAGCUCUGUAAAUGAAGCUUUUGAAGCUAAAGCUUUUAUAAAUUGAGCUUUUGAAGCUGAUUGACAUGAGUGAUGCUCAUGAAUGUUUAUGUUGAUUGACAUGAGUGAUGGUCAUGGAUGUUGACAUGUGUGAUGCUCAUGAAUGUUGACAUGAGUGAUGCUCAUGAAUGUUUAUGUAUGAUUGACAAGAGUAAUACUCAUGUAUAUUUAUGUAUAAUUGACAUGAGUAAUGCUUAUGUAUAACUUUAAAGUACUAGGUGUACUUUUGAUCACUUGGUUGGUGGUAAUAACGGUAAGUUGCCGAAUAAUUUUGGAUUACUGGGUGUACUUUUGAUCACCUGGUUGGUGAUAAUAGUGGCAGGUUGCCGAAUAAUUUUGGAGUACUGGGCGUACUUUUGAUCACCUGGUUGGUGGUAAUAGCGGCAGGUUGCCGAAUAAUUGUGGAGUAUUGGGCGUACUUUUGAUCACUUGGUUGGUGGUAAUAGCGGGAAGUUGCCGAAUAAUUUUGGAGUACUUGGCGUACUUUUAAUCACCUGGUUGAAGCUAUUUUGGGCUUAUGGGCCUUCGCCCUCUACACAACAUUCCAGCCCAUUUAUUUUGGGCUUUGCCUUUUUUUUAUUUUUUUUGGUAUUAUUACCCUCUGAUGGGGUUUAUAUAGAUGUCUCCGAGAGAUAAGAAAAAUAAAUUACAUCAUACAUCUGUCAAAAAGGUAAAUCACAUCAUUCUGGUGGGUGUUUAUUCCUCACUUUUGCUUUCUCUUUUCUUUCUGCUUUCUGCUUUGGAUAUGUCGUUUGAUGACAUGAUUAAGGGCAACAGGGGUAAUCGUGACAGAAAUAGAAAACAUCGUGGUAGGGGCUCUCGUGGCCUGGGUGAAGCACGUGGCUCCUUUAAUGCUGAAGAUAUGGCAUGGUUGCUUUGCUUUUGCUUCCUGUCUGUGCACAAAAGUUGCAGCUUCAUCGUCACCUUCACGUGAAGCCCACCCUGUAUCUGUGACUUUGAGAACACUGUGAUCAGCAUCAUAUCUCCUGACAUUCUUUAUCUUUGCUGCUCAAGAAAAGAUUCAAUAUUUGGAAAAGAUCCAAGACCAAUGACCAGCUUAAUUAAUCUGCAAAACAAAUCCAGGUCCUUUCAUGUUCCUCAUCUUACCCUUUCUGGUGGGUCGAAUAGUGGUUUCAAAAUAUUCCAAACCGACGAGAAAUAACCGUUUUCCAUUUGAUUUGAUUAGCUGAGAAGUCAGCCUGCAAUCCAAAUGCAUGUACUCUACCGACGGAGACACCAUUCUCGAAGCACCACUGGGCCCUCCGAAACUUGAUAAUCUGAUCCCCGACCGGGUGCCCAAUUGGGCGACCCGUCUGCAAGCCGCAGCAGCAGCCAUUCAAAUUCGAUUUCCGCACCUGAUUCCUCAAUGCUAAUCUCAAUCUCAAUCCCUCAAUCGAUUUCGAAUCAAAACCUUCAAUCGGUUGGUUGUCGUGAAUCUAUCCGUAUCGGAAAGUUACGAGUCGGAGAGCUAGGAGAAAUAUGUGCUAAUUUUCCCAUUGAGAGAUCCUGGAGGACUGGAUGGGAAUUAAAAGACGCUACGUGGCUUCCGUUUGCCGCGGAGUCGAAAGAACUUGAACCUAAAUCUUCCCAGAACCUGAAUCUUCUGUUUGCUAUAGAUUCCGCUUGCGAUGGGUGGUGAGGAGAGGUUCGCCGGAGGCGUCCAUGAGGACGAUCUCGCACUUGUUCUAUAUGAGGACGAGCUCAACAGCAAGAACUUCUUCCACACCAUCAGGACCGUUACGUUUUCGUCGUCGGAGUCAGAGCUCUUGAGCCUCCGAGGCUCGCAGGUGGGGACAAUGUUGACAUUUGCAGUGUUUAGGUAUACCUUUGUCAUUCUUGAUCACCUUCCAAACUGACCUUCCAAAUUCAUGGAUUCUGCUCUGGGAAUGGAGGUUUGAAAUUCAGAGAGUGAAAUGGGAAUGGGGUGAAGGAGGGCCGACUAUGCCUUCGAUUUUCUUGCUCGGUUCUUUACGGGACAGGAGGGCCAAGCUGGCGUGCUUGAACGUGACGAAGCCAUAGCCCUUUUGAUUUUUCAGUGGCCUUGUCGUGGAUGACGACGGCCUCGUCGAGCUCAUCGAAGGCGGAGAAAAGGGAGUUGAAGGUGGUGUUGGUGUAAAAGGUCAGUCGUGUUUGCUUCACCGACGUCAUGGUGCUCUGAUCGUCCAAGAUGUCGCCGAUCUCGACUUUCCCUUUCUUGUACUCUUUCUGCACUUGCGACUCCAGCUUGUCCACCUUGCUUUUCAGCUCAUUGAUGUACGAAACGGCAUCGGACAACAGCGAUGCCCUGUCCAUUCUCGACGCUGCGAAUCAACUGAGAUUUUACACGUGUCGACGUUUUAGGAUAGGAUGUGGCGGAGAGAAUUGGAGCGGUGAGGAAUGUGGUGGAGGAUGAAGCAGAAAGUAUGAUACCGGGCAUUUUGGUACGUGGUUGUGGAAUUCGCCGUCUGCUGUUACUAUUGCAGCAUCAACCGCCAUCUUCAAUCUGUUUGAGAGUCUGAAGAAGAAGAAGUCUGAGUUUUGGAAAUGGAGGUGUUCGCGCACCGCGGUGAAUCUUUGAGGUUAUAGUCCUCCGUGGCAUGUGGAAAUUUCUUUGGUGCUUCAGGCAUGGCGUUUGUGUGUAGUUUGGAGAGAGAAAAAGAUGAACUUGGUGUCCCUGUGUGGGUUUUGCAAAUCCAUGGCGGAGGUGAAAAAUUGAGAAAGAACCGACAUAGCUUUUCAUGUCGAUUCCACAGACGGCGCCAAAUGUUGAUGCACAAAACCGGAGGUUUUGGAACAACGUAAAUCCGGCCGUGAAUCUGCAAGUAAUGUAAAUGACACAAGAUGUAUCGUGGUUCACCCCAAGGUUUGGGCUACGUCCACACUGAUUAUGUAUUUAUUUGAGAGAGAGAGAGAGAGCUAUGAGAGUGAGAGCUUUGAGAGGGGAGAUGAGCCUUAGGAAUUGGCCUCCCUUAAUUGUGAGGGUGAGGGGUCAUUUUAUAGAAUAAGGACUCCUCACUUAUUACAUAUUUGCCCCUUCCUUUAUUACAUAAUUACAUUUAAGUCCCUUGAGUAUUUAUACGAGGUCUAAAUACGAGGCCCUAAAUAUGGUAUAAACAGAAACCAAAUAUUCUGGCCUCGUGUAACUUGUAACCUUCAUUAAUGCAAGCUUACAACAAAACAUAUGUAUAUAUAAUGAUGAAUCACUGCAUAUGAUAUACAUAUACAUAUGUACAUACAUACAUACAUACAUAUAUAUAUAUAUAUAUAUAUAUAUAUAUAUAUAUAUAUAUCAUCAAUUCAUCAUAAUAAUAUGUAACCACUAAAGACUAAAGUGUUCACUCAUCACAAGCAUCCUGAGAGAAAUCACAGCCGUCAAAGAAAUGCUAGGUAUGCCUCUUCAAAAAAGUUCAUCCACCAUCACAAUCGUUUACAGUUUACUUUAAAUGAAAACGAGGAAAGUGAGAAUUAGUAAUUACAACCUGGAUGAUACUUUUCUCAUUUCUAGUAAGGAAGAAAGUCCUCGUUAUUUCUUUUACUGUGGCAUCAUUUUGGUAUUCAAAUGUCUUAUUUGAAAUCGUUUAUUAUCUUUCUCAGAUUUUAAAGAUCAUCUUUUUUUUUUUUUAAAGCAGUUCGAUUUUGCAACCACUUAGCCUACAGAUGUGCAUACAAAUUGACAAUUAUUAUAACAAAUAGCAUAUUCUCAAUAAACACACGUUACAAGGAGAUGAUGAAUUUCCUCCUUACUAAUAAAAACGAGGGAAGCAUUACCCUUAUUAAUUACUACAAGGCCAGAUAUAUUAUAAAUAUUCUUUAUAAUGUUUUCCAAAACAACAUUAUAUAUCUAUUUUUGUGCACAUGACAUUUCCAUGGACAUGAAGGGUUCUGGUUUGGCCUGUGAAAACUAUUAAAAUAGAGGAGGAAGAGAGGUUUGUCUGAAAGAUUCGGCAGCACCCAUCACCUACUCCAUAUGAUGAAUUAUAAGUCAACGCCCAAGAGUACCUCGGUUAUUUUAUGUUUUUCUUCUUCUUUUUUCAGUUUUGUUAUUGCAAUUGUUGAUUUAUUUUUCUUGCAUGAAAACUCGUGAUCCUUUUUAUGCGGAUCGAUUUGCUUGAAGAUGAGGAUGUCUGUCCUUUUCUCAUCUACCUAAUUUAAUAAUAAGCAAUCAUCAUCAUCAUCAUGUGUGUGUUGCAGAAAGAAAAAUAGGAAGGAAAAAAAAAUCAACAAAGACUCGAAAAUUAUUUUUGUAUCGUUUUGACAAAUGAUAAAAUAACCUACAUUAACUUACGAAUUUUAGUGCAAGUUGGAGCACAUUGUUCUAAUCAAUUCGGCUAACCCAAUGUGCUACAAUAACUAAUGUAUACAACUCUCAACUUCUUUCAAGUCUCUCAAUUUUGUAUUAAAACAAUUCUAGUUAUUUCUGCCCUCCAAUCGACUGAUUUUGAUUCUCCUUGGCCUCUUCAUACGCAAUGGUUUAUCUGUUUGGACCGCAUUCAGAAGAUGACUUUCUAUGCCUCUCACAUAUGUCGCGAAGGCAAUGUAGUUGCGGACAAUUUUGCUAAUAUGGGCUUGUCUUCUCCAACUUUAGUAUGACAUAUUUCUCCUCCAAUGGCGAUCCAUGCUGCUUUGUUUUCAGACCAUGUUGCUUGGCUUCCACUUCUCAAAUUAAUGUGCAUCUCGACAUACAGGUUUGACUCACUUCUUGUUUUUUUCUUAACCUUGUGAUGUGGCUGUUUUGCAGUUUUAGACCUUUAGGUUCAGCUUUAGAGAGGUUAGGUUUCAUGUUCCCCUCUUUUUUUUUUUUUUUUUUGUAUUUUUGCUGUUUUUGUUUCUAGAAUGGUAAGGUUUAUGUCCCCCCUUCUUUUCAUGUAUCUUUUGUUUAUCAUUUUUUUCUUGUAUUAUGAGGGGUUAGGUUUAUGUCUCCUCCUGACUAGGUGUAUCCUUUUUUUAUAUUAAUAAAAUUCUCUCAUACCGUCGAAGUUUUCUAGAAAAAAAUUAACAUAAUUCAAUGUAAUUGACUAUAUGUAAUGUUAUUUAGACAGAAAGUUAACUUAAUUGUUGACACUUUCUAAUAUUGAUAAGUCUCACAUACCACAAUCCAUCUAAUAAGAGAGCAUUUUAGCAGGUAGUUAGUGUGUUUAUAUAUCAUUAUUAUUUUAUAUAGGUAAUAGUUGAUUAUUAAGAGUUUAUCACGAACGUUGUCCAUGUUAGGGGCACUAAAUUAAUUAAUCAUAUUUUAAGCACCUCAUUUAGUAUUUCUAUUGGUCGGAAAACAAAUUAAUUAUUAUUACUCUUAAUUAUAUAUGCCACAAUACCAUCCCCAAAUAUCAAAUAUUGAUAUACGUAUACGUACAUUUACUGAGCUUAUAUAUGUGUGUGUCAAUACUCACCAAGGUCAGGAGAAAAUUUUCAAUGUGUCUGAAGUACAACCCCGGUACACCAAGUGUCAAAUAUAAUUGAUUGAAAAUUGUUAUUUUCAAGUUUUCAACCAAUUGUAGAAUUACACUUUUGUAUACCGGACCGAAACAAACUGAAAAAUCUGUCCAAGGUCAUAUGACUGUAUACCACAUAUUCUUUAAUCAAUUAACUAUGUGCAUGUUGAGUAUAUUAUAUAACAAAGGGUGUCACACAAUACUAUAAUAACGCAUGCAUGCAUCAAAAGGAAUAACUUUGAACCUAAUAAUAUUUUAAGUAAUCUCAAAGUAUAUUUAAUCUCCCUUUCAUUUCUGCCAAUUUGUGAGGCCCGCGAAGGCGAUAUGUUACCCGUCCUAACGCAUUAUGUAUCGUAUGAUAGAAAUGUGGGGCAACAUUCCAAUGAUUUUAUAGCUCAAAGGUUUUUCAUUUUUAUCGUAAACAAUAUAAUUGUUGGAGUUUUGAGCUCCUUUAAGUCCCACAUUGGGGAACUCAAGGGAACUUGAAGUUCUUAUAUUAAUUUAGUCUCCUUUAUUAGUGAUUAGGUGUUGGACCAUUUGGAAUGGGGAUUGAGGCUUUGACGACUAAUUUAGGCUUGAUGAUUAUACCAUAAUAUUAAUAUUUAUUAAUCAAGACAAGGGCCAUGAGAUCAUUAAUUUUAUAUUUUAAUUAAGUUUUAAUUAAAAUUAAUUAAAAACGUUUUGAUUAAUAGACACAACUCUUGUGUAGCUUCAGAUACACCCACAAAGUAUUUGAAGAGGUAUGAAAGAGCCUAUAUAACUGGAGUCUCAUUUCCAUCAUAGAUCAUUUUUUUUCUUCCUCCUUUUCUUCUAUACAAACUUUCUAGAAAGUAAACGAACAAAACAAUUCGCUAGAAUUCUAUAAUCCAAUGCGGGUUGUAGAAUUAGGUAAUUGUAUCCUGGUCUAACAGACGUUGUAGAACCACAAGCACAAGAGUGGAAUGAAAAUAAUGUUCGAAAGACAUAACUUUUGCGCUAGCCUCUACCUUUGAUUCAUUCAAGUUAGUAUCAUUUUAUUUAUGUAUUUAUUAUGUAAUUUCAUUCUGUAUUGCAAUUAUUUUUUAGUAAUAAAGUAUAAGUAUUUCAAGUUCUGUAUUUCAGUUAUUUUUGUUUCUAAAUUGUUCUCCAACAAUAAUAUUCCUAGUUACAUCAAGAGAAAGGAAAAAGUUUAAAUGCGGAACACUGUAAGUUGAAGAAGAAGUUCAGAUUCACUGGGACAAUCCACCAUAUUCUUAGUUACAUGAAGAGAAAUGAAAAGGUUUGAAUGCAAAACGCUGUAAUAAGUUGAAGAAGAAGUUCAUAUCCACAAGGACAAUUCACCACUUGCAUAACUCGAAUUUUCAAGAGUGUCUAUCUUUUCAACCAGUUACCAAAGUCAUGCCUUUCACAUUCUUUCGUCAAUAUUGCUUGUAGGGUUGGUAGUGAAGUUUGAAUACAAAAAUAGACUGGAAACUCAGGAAUUACAAGCAUAUUAAUAAUGAUUUGGCUCCCUGAAUUGCAACAUUAAGAUUGGACGGAAAAUAUAGGAUAGGAAAUAGGAAGAAAAAAGAUGUAACGAUCGAUAUAUAUUCAAUAUUCAGAGGACUUUGGUAAUAAGUCUUCAAAUAAAGUAAAUUAUAAGCAUAACAACAAAAAUCCAACUAGCUUGUUAAAUUCUGAGAACAUAAUCUAAGAAUCUUGCUAAUUAACUAACUAGGGCAACCGCAUAAAAACCAAGGAACAAACAGCCAAAUAAGAAAAAACACACAAAAACAUGUAGACUGCAGGCACUCAUGCAGUCAUGCAGUGUGUAUAUCUAUAUGGUAUAUGGGUGAACUGCCGAAUUAGUCUCUGAAUUAACACUUAAGUGAAAAUUAGGUUCCUAAAUUAUUUUUUGGGUAAAAUAAGUCCUUAAAUUCAUUAAAAACUGCUAAUUUCAUCUUUAAAUUAAUACUCAAAGCUAUUUUAUCUAAUUUUUCGUCAACUUAAGUCACAUAACACAUUUUAAAGGAUAUAGCCAACAUUUUCUUGCCUAUAAGCCCAUGAUGUUGCAUAUAGGUUGCGAAUCUAACGACUAAUCUACCCUUCAAAGUUAACUUCAUACACCAUUUAUUUGAAGAAAAUAAGUCCUUAAACAAUGAAAAACUACUUAUCUACUCUCUAAAAUGGAUCACAUGCAAGUCACGUAACUUAAAUUGACGAAAUAUUGGAUAGAUCAUAGCUUCGAACCUAAUACUAGAGAUGUAAUUGACAUAUUUUAUUAGUUUGGAGACUGAUUUUUCCAAAACAAAAAAAAAAAAGUUAGAGACCUAAUUUUCACUGAGAUGAUAAUUUAGAGACUAAAUAGGCAGUUCAUCGAUAAUUUAGAGACUAAAUAGGCAGUUCACCAUAUAUAUGUCUUACUCUUAAUCUUAAGGUGUUCACUUGUGAACUCGCAAGAGCAGACCAUUUGCAGUAUCCACUUAUUCAUAAGCACUUCCAAAGAGCAUUCCCAUUCGAAAUUAACAAAACCCAUAAUAUAUCGAUCGAAAAACUAAUGGCACUUGUUCAUAAGCACUUCCAAAGAGCCUCAAAUUGUUUCACAAAGCCUAAACCCCAAACCAGAACAUGCAUGUAUUGCUUGUCAUCUACACAGUCAGAUGAUAUUGCUUAUAACCUCUAGGCGGCCGUAUUUGUAGGGACAACAACCCCAGCAGCUCCUACGGAGCUUCCGAAUGACAGAAGGAACUUCGGUAAUGAAAAGUUAUAGUACUCGUUCUCCGUCUAUUUUGCCAUGUUUCCGGCACCUGCAUGAAUAUGCCUAUGGACCCCAUGUUCUUUUAGCCAGCCAACUGGAAUGGAAGAUCAAAUGAAAGGACGUCUUUAUAAGCCGAAACAACAAAAUCUCCUCCAAUAGAGUCUCUUCCAAAGGAAUAUGAAUAAUUCUCUUCAUAGGCUCCCGUCUGCAUAACGACCGGAAAUCGACCGGGCUGUUGGUGUCCACUAGAACACGACGGUCCUCUCGCGCUCUUGGCCGUACCAUUUUCUCCAGCUCGGACAUUGGGCAUACCCUAAACCCUAAACUUUCCUUAAAUACUGAGCUUCUGGUUUACAAACACUUAUUUCAAAUAAAAUAUUGUACCACUGGUGUGAACCUGCGGGACGCUGGUGACUUCUCGCGUUUGGUGCUGCCUGCGUGAAGUUUUUAAGGCGCAAAAACCACUAUCUGGUUGGAUUAUGAAAGUUCUUUUGCGCGGGAUCUCCAUUCUCUAUUAGCAUCCUUUGGUUUGUUUGUUUACGGGUUAAAAGGUUUGUUCGGACUGCUUUUGGAAAGAAAAUGUUUUUGACAAUAAAAAGCGUUUGUGGCUAUGUUUACCAGAUUUAUUUAAAAGUGAAAAUGAGUCGCCGUUUAGUACUACAGCCUAGUAGUAUUUCACUUCACUUGUAAGUGAGAGGUCUUAUGUUCGAUUCUCACUAAGGGCAAAUUUGAACCACAUUAUUACUAAUUGACUCUAGUUGUCUGCUGUGGUGGUGCAGACUGCAGAUGCGGCGGGCUCCUUUUUCUAAUCGACGUAAACAGAGGCAUGGUCUUUCUCCCUCCCCUAUUUCUGAUCCUACCCGAUUCUCUUUAAGGUGUCAUUUUAUUUUUCAUCAUCUAAAUUCUAAAGCCCCAUUAAGAUAAGAGAAUUACAAUGGAUAAAACAUUAGAAAAAGCCCAAACCAAAAAAUUUGUCAUCUAAAUUCUAAAUUUCGACUACACCCUUUCAAAAAUUCCUCCGUCCAAAUGACCCGAAAACCCUAACACGCCACAAGGCAAAAAUGUAACUGCAAAAUCAUCCAGACGCAGGAAUUUCCAAAAGGGUGUAGUCAAAAUUGCCACAUGACAUAAAACGACAUGAAGUGAAAGAGAAAGUUGCAAAGGGCUCCGAGAACAUUUCUGAGUUUGAUCCCCUGUAAAAGAGAAAAAAGAAGAGAGUUGCUCAGUCUCCGGGCAAAGGGUUUCGUUGCAAUGAAACAUAAUUCUGUUCCUAAAUUGUUUCCGUGACAAGCAGCAGAAGAUACGAUAUACAUACAGGCGAGAAAUAAAUGGUAUGAAAAUAUUCAUUGGAAUAAUAUGACAAUUCCAGGAUUUUCUCAACAGUUUUAAUCACCAUCACCAUGUUUAUAUGUUCCAGCACCGGAAAUCUCAUGUUAUUUUUCUCCGUAUGUGCAUCUUCAAGCACCAUGCUUCCUCAAAUCUUAGUCUAAACUUUAGACUCUAAAGUUGAAAGUACAAAACAAAAAACUUGUAUCGAUGUCUGAACUAAGAUUCUAAGAAAAUAAGCAGGGCUGUCAAUCCGAAAGGAGGAAAAAAACCUCAGGUACCUCAAACGACGCUCUCUUUAUGUCGCCCUCAAGUUUAGCCGAACAUCAAAUAUCACAAGAAAAAAACAAAUUCCCAGAUUCUAUGACGGAGCUGAGAUGCUGAAGCGAAAGCCAGUCUUCCCACGGUCAUGCUCAAAUUGCUUCAGUAUAUAGUAGUAGUUGCACUGACAACAAAAGAACGAGCUCGUUAAACCCUGAGAUCAUAGGGAUCUUGCUAACCAGGCAACCAAAUAGAAAGUAUGAACCAAACACAUAUACGAACUCAGGGAAAAACAACACACAUACACAAAUGAAAACAGGCAUGCAUCACAUGUAUACCCUACAGAGGAGUUUAACUGAUGAGACUUGUACAAGAACAGAUUAUUUACAAAAUCCAUUUAAACAAUUUUCCAAAGAUUUCAGAAGCCUUCCUGACUCGAAAUUACCGUGUCAUAAAAUUAGAUUGUUUUCCCAGAACAGCAGCAACCCAGUAUAUAAGCAGAUAAGACCAUGAAAGAAAACCCUUUUGAAGAAAGAGGAUCCUUAUGCUCAUUACUGCAUGCAAUCUAUCUUCAUAUAAUACAUAUCACGGAUGCAAGAAUUAUAUGUACCAUGAAUUUCCUUUCUUAAAUUUUUACUUCAAAAUCAGAUUAAAUAGCUAACCUCUAGGCGGAAGAAUUUGGUAGGGACAACAAUCCCUGCUCCCACAGAACUUCGAAAUGACUGAAGGAACUUCGGGGCAGAAAAGUUUUGGAACUCAUUCUCCGUCAAUUUUGCCAGAUUCCCCGCACCUGCGAAAAUAUGACCGUGCACUCCAUGUUCUUUUAACCAGCGAAGUGGAAGAUCAAAUGAAAUGUCUGCAAAUGCAGAAACAGCAAGAUCUCCUCCAAUAGAAUCUCUUCCAGGGGAUUCUGAAUUCUCCUGAUUAGAAUUAUCUCCAACAUGCCUUCUUGGUUCAGUGGGGCCUAGUCCCCUUGUCUUGAAUCCCCACACUGUCGUAGGGCCCCCCACAGAGCAAACUGGAGAGAAAUCACCACCCAGGAAGAACCGCUCUGGAAGGGAUGAGGGCUUGUUCAAGAAUCCACACCCCCAUGGAAAAAUAACUCCAGCGGAGAUCCCAAAAUUAAGUGCAGCAUGAUAAAAUCCUAAUGGAACUGCAUAACGAAUAUCAAACUCCUGCAGCAUACAGUAAGAGAAGAAAGUUAAUAAGUUUAAUAGCAAAUAGGUCUAGAGAAUAAGUGGAAAGGGGGUAAAAAUCAAUCCUUAAUUUGGUUCUUAACAAAACCCAUAUUUAGCCAUAAACAUAGAUCAACUGAUUUAAGCAAAAGGCCAUAUAUCCAAUAAGAAGUUGCCACUUUUCACUACCUUGAAUCAGGCCACAAGAUAACAAUGCACACAAUUUACUACAGGACAAAGAAAGCUUCAUAACAGACUUUCAGAUUUUGAAAAUCACUAAUUAGCAAACAAUCAUAUUGGUUUUGUCAAUUUCCAAAAACAGGGUAGAGAAAAGAAUGGUCUUGUUGUUUUUCUUUCAUGUUCCUCUUCUAAUUAUGCGUAGUUAAGAGUGUCAGUAAUAUGCAAGAAAAUGAACAAGUUGUAUCUGAAUAAUGUAUCAAGUCCACAACAUGAGCAGUUAAGAGGGUCAGUAAUAUGCAAGAAAAUGAACAGGUUGUAUCUAAGAUGGCCUACUAGAAAAAAGCAGUCAUGGUUGUUAUUCAAGAAUAUGAAAUAGAAGAAUCGUUCCAGAUCAGAAAUAUUAGAAACAUCUCAUUAUGCAAUGACAAUCCUAGGAAACGUUCUAUCAUUAGUAACCUAAUUAUCUAAACAUGAAAGUAUGGUUAAAACAUUUAUAGAUCUCUUAAGCAGGUGGGUAUACGAAUGACAAUCAAAAGCAUUUAACAUGAAAGACAUAUAUACAUAAAUUUAUAUUUUUCGCUUUCCCUUCAUCAGUUCGGCUUAAAAAGAAACUAAAAUAAAAAAGAUAACCAAAAUAAAGAAGAGAAGGUGUACUAAACCUGACGCAAAAACCUCGUGCUUCGAUGAUCAGGUGCAAUGCCACCAAUAUGACUUGUAGAAACAAAUGAGUAACCUUGAGUUGGCCUCAAAGGUGAAUUUCUCCUAUCAAUCUUAAAUGUGUAUUUGAUUGAAGAAAGUAAUCCAUGGCCGAGCUGCCUUCUUAUUGACCUCGAGGCCAAUUGUGAUGGGUCUGCUAGCGUUCGCCAACCCAGGUUGUAUGCCAAAUCAUGGUGUUUUGAUGAAAUCAGUCCAAGAGAGAGCCCCAUCAUGCGCUCUUUAUAAGAAGAGAACUCCAUCCAAUCUUGGGAAAGCAGGAAUGCUCGUGCCAUCACUGGAGUUACAAACCCUUUGAACCUGGGCAAAAACAGGCCAGCACUUAACUCCGACGUUUGGUUGGGCCCAUACGCCAAAGAACUAUCCCAUAAAUCCCCAUAUCCGAGCAGAUUUUUGAACUUAAGCGUUCCUUCAGCAGUCCAUGACCUAGCCUACAAAAACAUUACACGUAAGACACGACGGAUACCAUGCUUAUGCAUCUGUUCACAAUUAAGAAAUAAGAGAACACAACAUAUUAGGCAUUUUAGCUCCCACAUUUCAUUCAUCACUUAACCACGCCUCCUAGUUUCAUAAUAUCAUGAUCCUUCGGAGCGAAAAAAACUGGCAGCAGCAGAUAUGGAUAGGUUUUACUAGUAUAUUGGUAUCGAUGUGGGAUUUAAAAUUUUCAACACAUGCCAUCUAUUUCACGCCCAUAUGUGCAAGUAAUUAAUACAAUCCAGAUUUCCAUUUCCUCCAAUUUCUCAGCAACCAAACAGUCUGUAGUUAUUCUACGUACUAAACCCUAAUCUCACCAAUUCAGCAAACCAAACCAAUAUAUACAAAUACACGAAACUUAUAGUAACAGAGAAUGUACCGCUGGCUUCGUGUAAGCACCGAUUUCGCCAGAAAUUGGACUCUUAGUUUCGACGACCUCCACAAUAACAUUGGUAGUUCCAGGCAGCUCCGGCGGGCCAGAAUCGAGCGUGAUCCGAACCGCAUCGAAUAUUUCAAGCUUCUGAAGCUUCGCAUUUGCAAUUGCGGCGGCCUCGAGCAGCUCUUGCAUGGUGGCGGCCUUCUUAAUCUCCGCCAGCUCGGCCUCGAUCAAAUGCUCCUUCGUCUUCGUAUUUCCCUUGAUCAGAACGUCGUGGACCCUCAGAUCGACCCGCUCGGUCGACAUCCGACGGACCAUUUUCUCUAGCUUGGACUUCUCCGCACGCAACUGGGCCUCCUGGGAGAGGGGAUUUCGCGGCAGAGGUGGCUCCUCCUCCUCGUCUUCGUCUUCUUCUUCGUCCAUUUCGUCAUCGAUUUCGUCGGGUUCGGGCUCGUCGUCUACGGUGCCGUUGACAUUGGAGGGAGUUUGCUCGUCGCGGUCGUCGUUAGCGUUUUGAGUUUCGGCGUCGGAUUUUUCCAUGGGAGAGAGAUUAGGGAAGGUGGAGGGCGGCGGUUUGGGAAAAGGAGUACAACGAGCGGCGGCGGUGAUGAAUUUUGAAGGCCACUCAGCAGUGACUUGCUGCAGUGGGUGUGAUUGUGUGAAGGCCUGCUCUCUUUUUGUUGGGCUUUCGCGGGUCGGAACAUUUCUUUUUUUUUUUUUUUGUUAAAGUUUUAUUUUAUUUUUCUAAGGAUAAAUUUAAAGCGUAUAUCUCAUUUUCCGUCUAAAAUAAUAAGGUCUAACGAUAAUCAUUUAAACGGACAUUAAGUCUAAUGAUAUUUUUCAUCAUAAUCAUAAGGAAUACUUUUCUACUUAUUAAUAUUAUGUCUUAUGUCGAUGAAAUAUUAACUUUACCGUCAACUCAUAUUACAAGACAUGAACAGUAUCACCGCCAAGCUCUAAAAUAUCUGUCACAGAAUCUAUACCAAAAAAAAAAAAAAUCCAACUCCAUAUAAAUUGGAGUUGCGCGCAACGGCUCCUCCCUUAUUUCGAAAAUUCAAAUAAAACCUCCCUCCCCCUCCUCCACCUUCACCUCCACCUCCACCACCGUUACCACCAUGUCCAACAACGAUCUUCUCACCUCCUUAAUCUCCGACAUCAAAACCUACUCCGGCAAAGACCCUCUUCUUCCAUGGCUAAGGUACCCUCUCGCCACCUCCAUCUCUUCCUCUCUAUCAGUUACCGUUUUAUUGUUUAACCCAUUUGAUUUCACAAUGUGGUUGCAGAGGGAUUCGAAAAAUGAACGACUCACUCCCACCUCGCACUCUGAAGGAGAAGCUCCCUCGCUUCUUGCAGAAAUGCGCGCAGACAUUCGAGUCUGAUCGGCGAUACCGAAAAGACUUGCGCUACAUUCGAGUUUGGUUGAAGUUGGUAACUUUUCUACCCCUGUCUUUGUGAUUGCGACUUCUGGGUAUUUUGGAUUUUGAUUGAUUCAUAGCUACUGUUUGGUUGCUGAGAAAAUUGAGGGAAAUAUAUGAAAUGGGUUCGAUUCGGUUUUUCCAAUUCUUGAUCUUUGGUUUGUGGAGUAGAUGGAUUUUGUCGAUGAUCCAAGAGCUUUGUUGAGAACAAUGGUGGUGAAUCAAAUCGGGACAAAGCACUCCUUGUUCUACCGGGCAUAUGCUCUCUACUAUGAAAAGAACAAGAAAUUUGAGGAGGCUGAGAAGAUGUACCACUUGGGAGUGCAAAAGUAAGUUUUCAGCAUUUUCCCUUUCUCAUUGAAUCUAUCGUGAUGCUCUCAAUUUCUGGAGGAAGUAAAAUUAUACCUGAUUCGUUUCUGUUUCGUAGCGUUGGGUAUGUUGUUUAGCUAAUUUGUAGCUUCGAUGCCAAUUUGCAAUCCAAAUUUGUAGUAUACGUCGCGAAUUUGAGCAAUAAUGACCGUAAUAUGAAUUGUGGAGCCAAAAAUAUUCGUUAGGCGACACGUGGAUUUUUGAACAAAAGAGGACAAAAAUACCCUCGAAGCAUACAAGGAUUCCUACGCGCGAGCAGUGGGCAAUCAUCUUUCAAUCAAGUCAAAAGUGCCCAAAAAAGGUAACAAUUAAAAACUUCUCUCAUCAAAUCUUUUCUAUAAGGUAUUUCCCAAAACCUAGUAUUUUCUAUUUCAUUAUUUAGCUAAUCAAUUAGCUAAAUAAUAUAAACCUACCAUAUCUCCUAAAAUCACCCAAUUAAUAGCCCAAAACCAGCCUCCACUAUUCACAUCCUCAUCUUUCCCAUUUUCCUUAUUAAAAUAAUCAUUCAUUUUUAUAACCACCCAUUUAUUAUUUUCAUAUUUAAUUAGCCAAUAAAUUGGCAAAUUAAACAUGAAAUUAACCCCCACAAAAACCCUAUGGCUGGCUACUAUUAUUCAAAAUAGGGCAAACCCUAACUCUAUAAAUAAACACAUAUUCUCACCAAAAAUUCAUUCCAAACCUCUUGCAAAAAUUCCAAAACACUCUAAACACUAUUUCUCUCUAAAUUUCUAACUUUGGCAUCGGAGGUUCUUCGGCCAAAGCCCCCCCCAUUCAUCGUGGGCGCGUGAGGCUUUUGGCCUUAACCUAAGGUGCUAGUUGUUUUGUAGGUGCAAAAUCGUCCAAGAUCGAAGAGGAGAAAAUUUGCAUCCACAUGAAUGUUUCUGUGUAUGUACAUUUCUGACUUGAACCGCUGCUACAUUACAUCUUAUUAACUGCCAAACAGCCUUGCAGAGCCCAUUGGAGCGUUAGAGAAGUCAUACGAGCAGUUCCUUCAACGCAUGGAGAGACACAGGAGACACAGAAACCAGGUAGUUUAUUAAUCUUGUUUUUGGUGUAUAGGGAUUGUAGUUUGUGUUGUCAGCACUCCUUUUAACCGUAGAAAAUUGUUGUGCAUCGCCAGGAAAAGAGGACGACCACGAAAAGGCCUCUGUUGGAUCGGACUAUCCCUCCAAAUGGAGAAAGAAGCAAAGAAAAUGCCUGCAGAAUCGGGGCCAGGCCUAUAGAAUCCCAACAUGAUCCGUCUAGAAGUAAGCGUCAAGUGACUUCUGGAAGAGGGUCAGAGGAACCGAAGAUGUUUGGCGGCGAUGAUACAGUUGUGGUGAAGUUUGUAGACACUGCCAUUGUUGGAAAGUCUGAAGCGGAAGAUGCGUGUCAUCAUGGAUUGGUGGAUCCUACUAUAAACAUGAAAGAGGCCAUGAGCGCCAUCAACGACAUGUUUCGAGAGCCUAUAGAAACGGCUCCCAUUAGUAGAAGACCUCGCCAAUCCCAACCAAAGAACAAUAAUGUGGACAGUGGUGUUAGACGCACAGUUAGAACUUGAAAGUGGGAACCAAGAAGUAUGGGCUGUCAGUUUUAUAUAUCAGUUUUCUAUCUCCACAUGUGGUCUUCGACAAGUCAGGCACGGGCAGCAUGGAGAUGAUCAUGGACUUGUUAAUUUUAUAUUUGUCCUCAGCAUGUGCAACAUGGACUGCUUGUUAGUUUAUAGGUCCUCAAACACAUGCACCACGUGCAACAUAUUCCUGAUGUAUUAAGUACGUAAAUAUAAAUACAUGCAGCCUCUCUUUGUAGAGGAUGAAUCACAGUGAAAACCUUGUGUAGAGUUAUAUCUUUCCUGUGUGUUUUGUUUUCCCUACAAUCUACAAUCCUAGAUCUUUUAUGGUAUACAGAGCCUCUUAAGUCCAACGACAAACGAUCCAUAAUUUUUUUUUUCCAGCAUGUCUUCCAACAACAACAACACCUUCCCUGAUUCCCAGCAAACCCCACCACCUGCAACUGCUCUAAUCAACAUGUCUUCGUCCAUGACUACCAUUGUCAACAUCAAGCUCGAUAGGACUAACUAUCCGUUAUGGUUAGCCCAGAUUCUUCCAAUCCUUAAGAGCCGUGAUCUUAUGGGGUAUGUGGAUGGUUCCGUUGUCUGUCCAUCCAAGUAUCUCGCUGGAAGCACCAUUGUCAAUCCCGCCUACAACACUUGGAUGCAGCAAGACCAAAUGAUCCUGAGUUGGAUCAAUGGCUCCCUUACAGCCUCUGUCCUUGCUACUGUGGCAAGCAAACGAUCAGCUCGUGCAACAUGGGAAGCACUGGAGCAAAGGUAUGCUUCUUCUUCUUCGCAGAAUCGAAUUCUUUUCCUGCGAAAUGAACUACUCCAAUGUAAGAAGGGUGAUUUAUCUAUUGCUGACUUUCUUGAUAAGAUGAAUGCCAUUGCUGACAAUUUGGCUCUAGUUGGUAAGCCUGUGGACGAUGAUGAACUCGUCCAAAUCAUUUUGAAUAAUCUAGGUUCCGCGUUCGAAAUGACGGUUAAUGCAGCACAGGCACGUGAUACUCCGAUCACGUACCCUACUCUUGAAUCUCUUCUCCUGACUACAGAGAGGAGAAUGGCUGAACAAAUUGUUUCACUAGUUGAAUCAGCCUCUGUGAAUGCCUUUGUAGCUGCAAGAGGACGUGGUGGACGUUCUCGUGGUGGUGGACGAGCUGGCUUUCCGUCUAACCGUGGUAGUGUCAACCAACGAGGUUUUGGUCCUCGCAACAACAACAAUAAUUACCAACGUGUUCCUGCCAGUAAUGGGGAACGUUGUGGAGGAUGACGAAUAACCUGCCAGAUUUGUGGAAAAGAAGGGCAUCCUGCCCUUGACUGUUACCAGCGCAUGAAUGCUGCAUACGAAUGACGCAUUCCAGCCCAGCGUCUCAGUGCAAUGGCCUCCUCAUCCAUCCCCUUGAACCGUCAGAAAAAUGGUUCGUGGUUAAUUGAUACAGGCGCUAAUGCACAUAUCACACCUGAUCUCCAGAAUUUGGUUAAUCCUAAAGCGUACAACGGUAAUGAAAACAUUGGUGGUGUAGGUAAUGAUACUGGACUCGUUAUUGCUCACUCUGGUUCAAAUCAAAUUAAUGCUAAUUCUUGCUCAUUUAACCUUAAGAAUGUUUUACAUUGUCCGUCAGCUUCUACCAAUAUUAUCUCUGCCCAUAGAUUUACCCUAGAUAACAAAUGCUACAUUCUAAUUUUUCCAUAUUAUUUUGUUGUUAAGGACCUCAAGACCAAGAGGACGAUUUUCCAAGGGAGGUGUGAGAAUGGGUUGUACCCAUUUCCAAAUGGCCGUGGAGUAUCCAAUCAUCCUUUUUCAGCCUUUGUAGGCAUCCGUGUCUCUGCACAGAAGUGGCAUUCUCGUCUAGGGCAUCCUGCUUCUACAAUCAUAAAGUUUUUAAUUUUGAAUAAUCAAGUGCCAAUUCAUGGCACAAGUGAUGUCAAGUUUUGUCAGUCUUGUCCGUUAGGCAAAAGUUCCAAGUUGCCUUUCAGUUCAUCCGAGUCUAUUUCCAUGUUUCCCUUAGAACUUUUACAUUCCGAUGUUUGGUGCUCUCCAGUAAUUUCAAAUGAAGGUUUUCGUUAUUAUUUAUUAUUUGUGGAUGAUUUUUCACGAUACUCUUGGAUUUUUCCCAUGAAAAAUAAAUCAGAAGUGUUCGAGAUUUUUGUUAAAUUCAAAACAAAAGUUGAAAAUAUGUUUAAUUGUUCAAUUAAAACUCUACAAUGUGAUGAAGGUGGAGAAUACAAGAGUCAUGCAUUCAGUCAAUUUCUUGCUUUACAUGGAAUUUCUCAAAGGUUUUCAUGUCCCAAACAUCCUGAACAAAAUGGUCUCGCUGAGAGAAAACAUCGUCACAUUGUUGAAACUGGUUUAGUCAUGUUGUCUCAUGCUCAUGUUCCUUCCAAAUUUUGGUUUGAUGCCUUUUUAACGGCAACAUAUCUAAUUAAUCGACUCCCUACUCGUGUAUUGUAUAAUACUUCACCCUAUGAAAAAUUGUUUCACAAAAAGCCUAAAUAUGAGUCAUUCAAAGUGUUUGGGAGUCGUUGUUUUCCUUGGUUGAGACCGUAUACUAAAAAUAAACUUGAGUCCAAAUCAAAGUCUUGUGUAUUUUUAGGGUAUUCGCUGGAUCAUCAAGGAUAUACAUGUUUGGAUUUAUCCACGAGACGAGUUUAUUUGUCUCGCCAUGUCCUAUUCGAUGAGGACUCUUUUCCUUUCCAGGAACUCACACCUUCAGUGGAAUGCGUUGAUAACGGUACUGUAUCUUGCCAUGAUUUAUUUUUUAAUUAUCCAAAUGCUUUCCCUCAAGUCGUGUCUCCCCCCACUACUCCACCUCCACCUGCGUCAGCAUCUGUGUUACACCCACAAAUUAAUCCUAACCAAUCUCCAUUGCUGCUACCACUUAUUAGCCAACCUAUAAUACCUCCACCAUCUCCAAAUCAUCUCAACGUGUCUCCCCAAAAUCCUAGACAACCUACAUCAGCCAUAGGACCCUCAAAUGAGCAAGAAAUAGUUUCGUGUGUCCCAAAUAAUGAACCAGUGAGUGAGUCCGUGCAAGAAUCACAGCAACAUCAUCCAAUGACUACUCGUUCCCAAACUGGUGUUCGUAAACCAAACCCUAAAUAUGCAUUGCAUGUUGUUACUACUGACAACCUUGUUGAACCCACUUGUUUUAGUCAGGCUGUAAAACAUCAGGAGUGGAGAGAUGCAAUGGUAAAAGAGUUCAAUGCCCUGCAACGGUGUGGGACAUGGAGUUUGGUGCCCUAUCAUUCUCAGAUGAACUUGCUUCCUAACAAAUGGGUGUAUAAAAUAAAACGGUGUGCAUAUGGUUCCAUAGAACGUCAUAAGGCAAGGUUAGUAGCCAAUGGCUUCCAUCAAAAACAAGGGAUUGACUACACUGAGAUCUUUAGCCCAGUGGUUAAACAUAGUACUAUUCGGAUGGUUCUUAGUCUUGCAGUAUCGAAUAAAUGGCAUGUUCGUCAACUGGACGUCCAGAACGCCUUUUUACAUGGCUAUCUAGCAGAAGAGGUGUAUAUGAGACAGCCCGCAGGGUUUGUCGAUCAGCAAUGCCCAACUCAUGUUUGUAAACUGCAGAGAAGUUUGUAUGGUUUGAAACAAGCACCUCGUGCUUGGUUUCAAAGGUUUUCCGAAUUUUUACUUCAGUUGGGUUUUCAAGCUUCAAAGUGUGACUAUUCAUUAUUUGUGUUCAAAAAUCGUGGGGUUUAUUUGAUUCUUUUGAUCUACGUCGAUGAUAUUUUGCUGACAGGGAAUAGUCCAGUUCAAAUGAAUCAUUUAAUCCAGAAGCUUGGUACGUUGUUUUCGAUGAAGGAUUUGGGGCCUCUUCAUUACUUUCUUGGUGUUGAAGUAACAUAUUUCAACAACAAUAUGCAUAUGGAUCAGUCCAAGUAUGCUCUUGAUCUCUUGAAACGCACCAAAUUCAUGGAUGCUAAACCUAUCUCUACCCCAGUUCCCUGUGGACAAAAGUUGAGUGCUUGGGAUGGUGAGACGCACAGUGAUCCUCAAACUUACAGAAGUGUUGUUGGUGCCUUGCAAUACUUGACAAUAACAAGGCCAGAUUUGUCUUAUGCUGUUAACCAGGUGUGUCAAUUUAUGCAUUCCCCAAAAACUACUCAUUGGCUGGCUGUAAAACGGAUUCUACGUUAUGUGAAGGCAACGUAUGAUCAUGGCCUGGUAUAUAAACCAGGAGGAAUGCAACUCAGUGCUUUCUCAGACGCGGAUUAUGCCGGUGAUCCGGACACGAGACAUUCUACUGGUGGGUUUUGUAUUUACUUGGGUUCGAACUUAGUUUCAUGGAGUUCAAAGAAGCAGAAGACAAUGUCUCGUUCUAGCACUGAGGCCGAAUACAGACAACUUGCGUACACUGCUGCUGAAAUAUCUUGGUUGCGUUCGUUGUUCAGGGACUUGCAACUUAAUCUUGCUUGUCCUACGAUUUGGUGUGAUAAUAUUUCCUCAAUUUCCCUGGCGUCUAAUCCAGUUUUUCACUCACGCACCAAGCACUUGGAAGUUGAUUAUCAUUAUGUGAGAGAAAAGGUAGUUCGUGGAGAGGUGCUAGUGAAUUUCAUAUGUUCCCAAGAUCAAGUUGCAGACCUAUGUACAAAAGGUUUGUCUUCUGCACGCUUCAAAAUGCUGGUGUCCAAGCUUCCAGUCGUUUCUCGUUCUGUUAGCUUGCGGGGGGAUGUUAGACGCACAGUUAGAACUUGAAAGUGGGAACCAAGAAGUAUGGGCUGUCAGUUUUAUAUAUCAGUUUUCUAUCUCCACAUGUGGUCUUCGACAAGUCAGGCACGGACAGCAUGGAGAUGAUCAUGGACUUGUUAAUUUUAUAUUUGUCCUCAGCAUGUGCAGCAUGGACUGCUUGUUAGUUUAUAGGUCCUCAAACACAUGUACCACGUGCAACAUAUUCCUGAUGUAUUAAGUACGUAAAUAUAAAUACAUGCAGCCUCUCUUUGUAGAGGAUGAAUCACAGUGAAAACCUUGUGUAGAGUUAUAUCUUUCCUGUGUGUUUUGUUUUCCCUACAAUCUACAAUCCUAGAUCUUUUAAGUGGAUGCCAGGUAUUUGUUGAUGACGACUUGGAUAAUGGAGGGAAAUCAGAAAAUAAUAAGGAAGAUGAGUAGAACUGCUACCCAACAGUCUCACCAAGAACCUUUAAACAUUUUCAUUGAUGAUGAUAACGAUAGCCCUGAUCAGAGUGGCGUCCAAAAUCCAACAGAUGAUUCUACCUCACCAGCUUCACAUAGAAAUGUGUUUGUGUUUCCAAAACCGAAGGAUCUUCCAGGUGAAAGUUCCAGUGAUUUGGACGUUGGAGGCUCAUCUCGACCGAGGUUCAGGGAGGAUACAAUGGUUUGUAGGUUUGUUGGGGCCACCAUUUCGGAUGAGCCAGAGGAGGUCGAAAAUGCUUGCCACCAUGGUUUAGUCGACCCGACAAUAAACUUAAAAGAGGCCAUGGAUGAUAUCAAUAACAUGUUCGGGAAGCCUAUGGAUUUUGUAAGAAAGAGGAGAGUGAAGAAGCAGGACAGAGGAAUUGAUAGGAAAGAAGAUUUUGGUGGGUUUUCUAUACUUCCUGAUGAUAACUUGGACCAAAAUGCUAGAUUUGUCGGGAGGAUCAAGAGGUUCGGAUUUGUUCGAGGCCACUGUAACAACAAAGGAGGCCAUGGAUGAGAUCAAUAAGAUGUUUGGAAUGCCCCUGGACUUCUAGGAACAAUUGCAAUGGCGGGGUGUGUGUGUGCGCGCUGCAGUUUUCUCGGAUUUGUUGUGGAAUGUAAUGAGUUGUGUUCUUUCCCCAUUCAUCCCUUGUACUUGAAGUUUCCAAUUUUAGUUUGAGCUGAAUUGUGCCUACAAUCUCAUAAACUUUGUCCCCUAUUUUCUACAUAAUCCAAAGAACAAGAACUUUCGGGCAUCUAGGGAACCUGAGAUGAUAGGAUCCUAAGGCAAUCACGCACUGUCAUGUUUUUUAAUCAUCUCGCAUCCCAAGUGCAUGAGAAAUUAGCCAGUUUCUCUUCGAAAGAACGGAUAAAACAAAUAAAUGAAACAUGUCAUUUCAUCACUUUGCAGUACAAAACCAGUUUAUGCAAGAAACAAUACAACUUCUGAGACACAAUAACAUUUGGAACACAAAAAUCAAACAAUGGAAAAAAAGAAGUAACAAAGGUUAACUUAAGGAGGAAAAUUAAUCAGCGAAAACCCGGUGUUCUGAAUCAAGAGUGAGUAGUAGGGCAGUUAGAAGGACGGAAAGCCAGGGGCCCUGCAGCAUAAACAACAGCCUCAUAGUUCCUCCCCCACAACCUCUUGUCCUCGUAACGAAGCGGGGCGCCAUAGAGCCCGUAAUUCACAUUGCUGAGCUCACUGCACUUUUCCAGAGGAGAAGAAACAAGCUUCACUUUGCAUCCAUGAAGAGGAUGGUCCAAAAGAUGUUGUCCAAUUUUGAAGCCAUCAAGCUGUGCAUAGAAGUAGCCCUUGACGUCCGUCACGAAAGACUUGUAGAAGCUCACCUGGCCCUUGUGGUCCUUGCAGAUGACGCUGAUUUUUGCCGACGGAAUGGGCUCAGCCUCGGUCAAGGACCAUGUUCCGUAGUGGUCACAGCUCUGGCAAUACACCACGCCUUCCACCACCACAUGGUCCGGUUGCUCGGGGGUUUUCAGGGAGUAGUCGGUGGCGGUUGCGGAUGGGAAGGAGAGGGAGAUGAGGAGGAGGGAGGAGAUGAAGAUUAGAAGACUCCUGCUUGCCAUUUCUUGGGGGUUAGGGAAAGGAUUGCAGGAGCUUGUUUUGAAAGUGCUUAGCAGAAAAGCUGGGUUGAGGGAAGAGUGAUUGGAUGGGGUGGUAUUUAUAAGGUUAGUGGAUUGUUUGGCGACACAGUCUAACGUUGUCGGACGUGGGAGCUACUAAGUUGCAUGUCAACUACCACUACGCGAAGGCCACUGGCAUAUGCCUAAUCAAAAUCUUCCCAGUAUCUCUAUGCUUGCUUAUAUUUAUUGACAUUGAACUUGGCUGCGAUGUAAGAGGGUGGACACAUUCCCGUACUUAACUGACCUAACUCACAUCAAUGAGUUAUAUUUUUUUAUUAAAAUUUUAAUACUAACUAUGUUUGCAUAUUAUAUCGACAAAUUUGCAAAGCAUCCUAGUUGAAAAGUCAAAACAAUUUUGGCUAAUUUGAUUUCUUAUUUAUGAUCGUGGAAUACGACACCUUUUGGUUCGAUUCUUGGCAUUAGCUAACAGCACGAUGAUGGCUAGGAAAUGUUGAAAUACUUCUGUGAGUCUUCAUGACCCUUGAAAGAAUGAGUUACUAUAACGAAACCACCAACUGGUCUCCUUUUUUUCAAAAUAGACAUCUUUAAUCUAAUUUCUUUUAAGAUUCCUAAAAUGUUAAGUCUUUCUUUUUUCACACUCGCGAGUCUUCGAAUGUUGAGAGAAUGAAUUUCACGUUGGAAAAUUAAAAAUCUUGCUUGCAUCAUGUUUGAGACCUUCAAUCCAAUCCACUCAACCAAUUGAGGGAUAACCCCCCCCCCCCCCCCCCCCCCCCCCCCCCCCCCCCCCCCCAAAAAAAAAAAGAAAGUUGCUCUUCUCUCUCAUUGAAGUUCAUCCUACAUGAAUGAACCAACAAACUGAUUGCCAGGUUGAUUUACUGUUGUGUUUUACUUUUACAGUUUUACUCUGCUGAACAAAAGGAUUAUGUUUUCCACCCUAUCUCAGGUUAUAUACAAGUAGAAUUCUAUCCCCCUGCUGUAAAUACAAGCGGUAUUAACUUAAGGUAAACAUUUUUUUGUGCCUUGCCACCCACGGAAGAUGAAGACUUGCACAUGGUUCGUAGUGACAAAUCUUGGCAUUCAUCUUCUAGCUUCCAUCAUGAGACAUAACUUCAAGCUCCGCCCACCAAAGAGGUGAGAGUUUUGGUGAUGCCCCGUCGGGUGUAACUCCGGUAAUUUCUCUUAGUCUUGCAGUGACUUCUCUCAUUGGAGGUCUUUGUUUUGGAUCAGGGCGGGCACAAGAUCUUAUAACUUCCCCGAUUUGCUCCAGUUGCUCUUCGUGGAAAGACUCUAGAGUCGGAUCAACCAUUUCUCUGAGGGGCUGAUCGCCUCUCAAGUAAUCCGCACCCCAGUCUUCAAGUGAGACAUUAUCCACUGCAUAAGGGAGUCUGCCUGUUACCAUUUCGAACAAUAUGACACCAAAGCUGUAGACAUUGCUUUCUCUGUUUGCCGAUGGUAUGGUAAAAAGUUCUAUGCUGGAUGAUUCUUUUUCAGCUUCAGCUAUCUCGUUCGAGAAGCUAAAUUCUGAGACUUUUGGUGCAUAAUCCUCUGUUAGCUGGAUGGAUCCUGAAUUCAAGUUGUUGUGAGCUAUAGGCGGGUUCAGCUGGUGCAUGUACUCGAGGCAGUAGGCCAUGCCCAUUGCGAUUCUCAGUCGCAUUCCCCAGUCCAAGUGCUCAGCUUCUUUUACUGCAGUUUUCACUAGCAUUAGAUAUCUCAUGCAUAAUUAGCACAAACACAUACAUUUGAGAGAAUGUAGCUCUAUACUCACUGUGUAAAUGCUCAAAAAGUGUCCCAUUUGGAGCGUAUUCAAAAACCAUCAUUCUGGUGAAAGGUUCCCCUUCCUCACAGUACCCGAUAAGGCUGACAAAGUUCUUGUGGCUCAGUUUCGAUAAUUUUUCGAUCUGAAACCAUAACCAUUGGAACAUUAGGCCCUGCCAGAACAGAUUAAGCAAGCAUAUAAAUAUACAACUUUUGUUUGUUUCAUACCUUCUUCCUAAACUGCAACUCUAAAUUGGUGGUCCAACAGUAAUUGGCAGACGGCUCUACAAGGGAAGCCACGGCAAUUUCAACACCACUAGACAAUGUUCCUUUGUACACUGUACCAAUCGGUGAAGAACCUAUUACAUUACUGAAAUCUUCACAAGCCGCUUCAAGCUCUGAUCUCUUAAGAUUUGGUACACCUGCAAUCAAAAUUCCCUAUCAUGAUUAAUCCAGAGAGAUACAAAACUUGCAGCACGCACAAUGUAUCUAACUGAUGGCAGAGAUCAUCUUUUUCUAUUAUCAAAUAAGCCUUACCAGUUACAAACGCUUUCUGUAGCUGUCCGCUUAACCCUGUGGCCCAAGGCUUGACAGUAGCUACCUUGUUGGUCUUGUAGAGAUACAAACAGAUGAAUGAAAUUAUAACAAAACAAGCACCACCACCUAUGCCUCCAAUUAAUAUUGCGGCUUUAUGCUUCGUUAUGAAACUUUCACUUUUGGAAGGGGCAGGCACCGGAGCAGAAAGUGAAGGUGGAGAAGCAGAUGGGGUAGGUGCGGAAGGAUUUGGUACUGAGACUAAACGAGAACGUUUUGCAACUUUUGGCGAUAGUGGUGCGUUGGAUUUCGGUGGUUUGAAGCUAGGACUAUUUAAAGAAACUUGUGGUGGUAAUUCAUCAGUUGGAGAAGAGGGUUUUGCCACUCGCAGCAUUCUCCCAUGAACAAAGUGUUCAGAAUGAGCGAGGUUCCUAGCAAAGAAAACAAGACUAAAGUAAGAGGCAUAUAAUUGGCACUAGAAUAUGCACGACAGAAGGUAAUAAGACUCAUUUUCCUAGAUCAUUAGUCCUGCGAAGCCUCAAUUGUAAUCACAUACCAUGAAUUAGAUCUUUCAUUGCAAGAUGCUUCUCUGCCCGCACCAGAAAGCUGAUUCUCAUCAACUUGAAAUUCAGAAAGCAACCCCAGAUUGUAAAUUUCAGGAGAUAAGGUGCCAAGAAGCCGGUUGUUGUCAAGUAGGCUGCAAUGUGAGCAGAAAACUGAGUUACUAUACAUACGUCGGAAAAAAUGAUCAAGAAAAUAACUCAAUUGUUUGACAGAUCAACCUACAGGAUUGCCAAUGAAAAAUUACUGCCAAGGUCAGCUGGAAGCGGUCCACUGAAGUUAUUGUAUCCUAAAUCUAACACUUCCAAUUCCUUCAACCUGCUGAUCCCUCCAGGAAUGAUCCCCAUGAAGGAGUUGUUGCGCAAAAUACUGAAGAAAAAUUUCACUUUAGCAGGAUUCACCAGAGAGAGCUCAAAGAAAUUUACUAUUAAUCAUUACAGAUCGAAGCAACGAUACAAAAACACUUACAUAGACUUUAUGUGGACAAGUUUCCCGAGCUCAGGUGAUAACGUUCCUCCAAGACAAAGAUCUUUCAAGUUCCUGCACAUCAUAUUACAUCUAACUUUAGAAUCAGUUGGGCAAAAUCAGCAAAUUGAAAUCACCUAUUAAGCACAAUGAAUCAUAGCUUGAAAAAAAAAUGCAAUCCUCAAGUCUUCGAGUUCCCGGUUUUUACUUUCUUUUGUAGAAUUCACGGGGCAAUAAAACUAAGAGUAAAGCUAUAACUAGUACUCCAUAAUCAUGAAUUAUAUCGCCCGACGAUCAUAUUAGGCCCCUUCGGCACCUACAGACAUGCUGUUCUAAAACCUCAUAACAUAAUAUUGAUUACUUGGCACUAAAAAUCUCAAUUACUAACAAAAUUCAUCGGUAAAUCAAAAUCGAGGAAGUUGUUCAGUUGGUUAAGAACAUUCAACCCCUACACCGAGCUCCUACGUUCAAUCCUCCCCAACACACACAAAGUAUCAAUUGUAUAAGAAGAAACGACACUUUUCCCUUUCGAACUUCGGUUUCAAAUUAAUAUCUUCUUAACUAAUUAAGCUCCUCAAUAACUUGAAUUAGUAGAUUGUAUAGAAAGAAAAGCAAGAAAGAAAGAAAGAAAAGAGAAAAAAGUACUCACAGAGCCACAACUUUUCCAUCUGAGCAUUCGACCCCGAACCACGAGCAGGGAUCAACCUCUCCAUCCUCAUCGUUCCAAUUCGCCAAAGCACCAAAGGGGUCGCUCUCUACUCUCUCUCUAAACCUCAAAAGCGCCAAACCUGCACAAGAAAAACAACCAUCUUUCGUUUCAAUUUUCCUUCACUUUCUCGGGAUACAAACAGUAACCAGCAGCUCAAAUCAAUCCCAUACCUUCACUAUUCAAACCCCAACAAAAACCCAGAUUCUGAAUCAGCAAGCAGACCACCACCACACCCAGCAACCCCAACCGGUCCUUCAACAUGCUGAACUUCCACUUCUUGAUCAUCUUUGUCACUAUCAACAAAAACCCAGCAAAAAACAGAGCAAACCCAGCAGAGUCUUGAAAGCAAAAUCCGAGUUAACCCAGAGAAAACCCAGCUGAGAAGUUUGAAUUGAGUUGAAAAGGCAGAUGAGUAAAGACCAAAAAACGUGUACGAAGAACUUGCAAACUAAUUUAGACCCACAGAAGGUGUUUGAAAAUGAAAAACGCGUACACUGCAAUUACAAAUCCAUGUGUUUGAUUAGUAUAAUCAAAAUUAGUAACCCAAUUAAUAUAAAGAAAAAUUAAUAAAAAUAGCUUGAAAAAUUUAAGUUUUAAAGAUAAGAACAAAAUAAAGGCUAAAUGAAAUAAUACCAUGAUUGAUUUUUUAGUAUACAAAUAUGGUUUUUCGUUAAAAUGAACAGUAUCGGAAGUUUUUCAUUAAAGUUCUCAUUUAAUAUAAUCUUAGUAGGUUUUAAAGGGAGAGAUAAUCUUUAUGGGAAGAGAAAAUCGUAGUAAUGGUUGUUCAACUUUAAUUCAAUUGGAGUAAUGAUCAAUAGUCCCUUAACUAAAAAUAUAUGACCAUUGAUCCCUUAACUUAUUAAAACGUGCAGCUAUGGAUCUUUUUGUAAACUUCGUCAGAAUUCCGUCAAAAUGAAUUAUGUUGGAAUAGACCAUUACUAUAAUUGAGUUAAAGUUUGAGGGAUCAUUGCUCCAAUUGAGUUAAAAUUAGAUACCAUUGCUCUAAUUGGGUUAAAAUUAAGAGAUCAUUGCUACAUUUUUUUCAUUCGGUUUUUCAUAUUUGCUCCUUAACUCAGCUUCAUAUGCAUGACACGUAACUCAUUUUGACGAAAGUUCUAACGAAGUUAAAGAAAAUGACCAUAGCUGUACAUUUUGAGAAGUCAAAGAAUUUUUAAUGAAAUAACCAUUACUCCAAUUGAAUUAAAGUUGAGAAACAGUUGUUAUAAUUUCUUUUGGUGGGAAAUUAAACUAGCAAAUUUAUUUUUUUUGGUAAACAAUUAAAUUAGCAAUUAAGUGUGCGAAUGGGUCCCAAGGGGUUGGCAGCAGUGUGUGAUGUAGGACUGAGGGCUUGGAAAUGGAAAGGUUGAGACUUGGGCGUAAAGCAACGCGCGCGAUUGGAUUUUAGUCAAACAGCCGGCAAAGACUUUUGGCAUAGGAACAUGGACAAACAUACAAACAACACAUCACCAAUAAUUAAAUAUAUUAAAUGAAAUUAAUAGAGACAAUUUUCUUUCCGGUGUAAUAGUGACAUUGUGACAGUGUCAUUUAGUAGUACUAUUAAUUUGAGAGAACUUCAUGUCCUUAUUUGAGAGAACUUCAUGUCCUUUGGUUAGCUAAUAUUGACAUGUUAUCGACUAUUGAUAUGUCGUUUUAUAUAAAUAUUGAUACUAUAUGUGCUUUGAUUAUAGGAAAUUUUAACGAAAAACUUCUGGUACUGUGCAUUUUAACGAAAAAUCAUAUUUUUAUACUAAAAAAUCAAUUAUGGUACUAUUCACUUUACGUUUUAUUUUGUCCUUAUUGUUAAAACUUAAAAUUUUCAAACUUUUUUUAUUAGUUUUCCUUUAAUUAUAUGUGAAAUAUUCAAAAUUAGAAAUAGACAUGAUGUAAAGGAAACGUAUUCCUUCUAAUUUCACUAUUUUGGCAGAAUUAGAAUGAUAAGUUUCUUUAAUAAGUAAUACAUUUUUUACUUUAUGUUGUAUAUAAUUUUUCAUUUCUUCCUUCAAAAGUUCAUCAUAUCUUAAAUAUGAGGCUUAUUUUUAGCUACGCUCCAUAGCACUCGAUUUUGAUCUCACUUUGCACUAUGUAACUCAAAAGUCAUAACUUUACUCCCUGGAACUCAAAAUUUGUUCCAUCUUGUCCCCUUAAACUCUAAAGUCGCCCUCUACAACAUAUGUGAGAUCCAUCACCGAAUAACAUUAUGCCUCAUAUGCCAAUGAAUUUGGUUUUAAGAACAUUCACUAUGCGUUAACAUUCAAUCAUAAAAUAUUAAGUUUAAGAGAAGAAAUUAAAAAUUGUAUUUUUUUUUUUUUUAGUUGUGCUUGAGUUGCAGAGAUGGAAAAUAAGGCAAUAUUGAGCAAACUUCGAGUUUUAUAGAUUUAAAUGACAACUUUUGAGUUUUCAGGUGGUAAAAUAAAAUCAAAAUCAAAUUUUUGGGGAUAAAGUGAAGUGAAUUUUAAGUUUCAUAAAAUAAAAUAGCAACUUUUAAAUUAUUGGAGCAAAUAAAGAUUAUAAGCGUAUUCCAGAAAACGUAACCAAGCAUAAUAAAUUAUUCAUUGUAUUUAAAUGAGACCAUAUGAUAAUAUGUAAAUUAGUAAUACGUUAAUACCAUGUGUCGAUAUACCCCACAACCACAAAGUUAUUUUGUGACGGAGACAAUGUCUUGGUGCCAUCUUAUUGACUUGGUAAAACACACUUAUUUGGAUAAGUCAUUGAGUCGACAGCACACCUGCCAGGAAAUUUACAAAACAAUAAUUAUUUUUAAUUAAAGUAAAAAAUCCUCUUCACACUUGCCGAAAUAAAAAAUUAAUAAAAUUUUUAUUGGUUUAUAGCAUGACGUGGACAAUUCUUAUAAUAAUUUUGCUUCAUAUGAUCCAUCCAAUAGGAUCCUCUCCGGAUUCUUUUGGUGAGGAUUCUAUAAAUUCUUAAAUUAUGUUCGUUCAUCUGAUAUCGUGCGAUAAAUUUUUAUUCAGUACUGUUUGUGUUUAAUUUUAAAUAAAAAUAUUUAAAAUGAUUUCUGACCGUACGAUAUACAAUGAACGAACACGAUUCACAGAUUUCCAAAAUCCUCACAAAGAGGAUCUGGAUUCAUGAUCCAUAAUUCUCAGUUAUUAUUCUAAGAAUUCAUUGUGUUUCAAUUUCAAAUUAUCCUCCCGUCGUUAGAAUAGUAAUAUUGUUCAUAACAAGAAGAUGAAAUAUCAAAUGAUCAUGAAUCAGCUUUAUAAUUUAUAAUUUGUUUUUAGCUAAAACGGGUUCAAAAUUGACAUAACUCUUUUUAGUUCCUGACAUAAAAAAUCGAUAGAAAUGGUUCAUAAAUUUGAUAUAACUCCUUACUUUGGUCCUUCAAAUGUUAAAUGGAAAGCAAGUGGAGGGGUUGACUGGAUAAAAAUACCCUCACUUUAAGGGAUAUUUCUAAUAAAUGAUCAAAAUGAUUGACAGUGAACAAAAUUAGGGACCACCUCCCGUGAAAAAUCUAUGUUAAAUGAAAAAGCAAGUGAAGGGGUUGAUUGGAUAAAAAUACCCUCAAUGUAAAGAAGAUUUCUACGAAAUGACAAAAAUGUUUUGCAAUGGACAAAAUGAGGAACCAUUUCUAUCCAUUUUUUAUCUCAAGUACUAAAGUAACAAGUUAUGCGAAACUCAAAAAACAAAAUGGAAAACAAGAAAAAGAAAAUGAUGAUCGCACGAUAUAUAAUGAAAGAUUACGAUCGCGAAAUCAAUGAGAUUCUCAGAAAAAGGAUCUGGCAAGGAUUUUUUGCGCCGGAUCCUUUUCCAAAAGAGUAAACUGUCGGUUUACCCCAUGAACUUUCACCUCACUUUCGAUUUCCCCCCUGAACUUUUCCAUUGAAAAAUUAAGGACUCAAACUAAUUUUUUUAGCCAAUUUGCCCCCUACCGUUAGUUUUUCAUAUAUUCCAUCCAUAUUUUCGUUAAGUGAGACCAUGUGCACAACAUGUGAGGGUAGUUAAGUUAUUUCACUCUUAAAAAUGAUUAAAAAACUGAAAAUAAUAAAAAAAGCAAAACUUUCCCUCUAUUUUUUCCCGCUAAUUCCUAUCCUCGAUUUUAUUUUUCCCUCUCAUUCCUAUGCAUGAGAAAUGACAUAUGGUGUUAUUGUCUACCAUUUUUAUUUUCUCUAACAAAUUAAUAAUUUGACAAAUGCUAAUGGUGUUAUUGUCUCCAAAGCAGUGCAUUAAUAUAAGAAACCCUAGUAUUUUUUAUGGACAUGUUUCUUAUAUUAAUGCACUCAUUUUGAGACAAUAACACCAUGAACAUUUGUCAAAUUAUUAAUUUGUUAGAGAAAAUAAAAAUGGUAGUACAUGCUUCAAAAAAAAGAUUAACUUAGUUACUUAUGAAGACAAUAACAUCAUAUGUUAUUUCUCAUGCAUAGGAAUGAGAGGGAAAAUUAAAAUUGAGGAUAGGAAUUAGCAGGAAAAAAUAGAGGGAAAAUCAUUAUUAUUAUUUAUUUUCAGUUUUUAAUCAUUUUUAAAUUGAAAUGACUUAACUAUCCUCACAUGUUAUGCACAUGGCCUCACUUAACGGAAAUAUGGAUGGAAUAUAUGAAAAACUAACAGUAGGGGGCAAAUUGGCUAAAAAAAUUAGUUUGAGUCCUUAAUUUUCCAAUAGAAAAGUUCAGGGGGAAAUCAAAAGUGAGGUGAAAGUUCAGGAGGUAAACCGACAGUUUACCCUUUCCAAAAAGAAACACAUUUUAUUUCUCUAUUUUGGUUAAUCGGCAGCAAGCAACCCUUGACUUUCAGAUUUCUGUACAAACUCCUUAAAAUAUCCACGAAAUUCCUUGUCCAUAUUCUACAUUACUGUUGGCACGUGUAUCUGUUUUGGUCCAGGCUUGGAUUUUUAAGUGAAUAAGCCGCAGAAUAUUUGACAGUUUAUAUGUUUUCUCUACAAUAUAUUGAGGAGUAUGAAUUAUUUAUAUUAAAAAAAAGAGAAAAAGAUUAGAAGGUGGAAAGAUUGGAAUCCGAUCCUCGUCGAAUUCUCUUUGUGAGAAUUUUGAAGAUUUAUGAAUCGUGUAUGUUUAUCGUAUAUCGUGUAGUAUAAAUUAUUUUAAAUUUUAUUAUUUAAAAUUCAAUACAAAUAAUAUCUAAUAAAACCUAAUCGUACAACAAAUAAUAAAUUAACACAAUUCACGAAUAUUUAAAUCCACACAAAGAGAAUCUGGUGGGAAAGAUUGAACUGGAAAGCAUGGUGAUGUAUUUGAUGUUGGCCCACCUCAGCUCUUGGAAUUGAUAGGUUACUCACUGUACCACUUUGCGUGCUCACUUGGUCACCUACGUCACAAUCCACAACCAAUUUUAAGAUUUUGUAGCCACCUAGAUUAUUAAGGACCUGGCUUCUUUCCCUUCCCCUUUUCAUACAUUUCUAUUAUUUUUUAUUUGUGCGGUCACGGUUAAGUUACGUUAAUAUUUUAUAUUAUUAUUAAUUUUUAUCUUAUUAUCUUUAUAAAAAAAUCAAUAUAAAAUGUUGACGUGUCUUAACCGUGACCACAAAAAAUAAGAGGAGAUGAGAGUGUAUGAGAAGUGGGAUGACAGAGAAGCUGGGUUCGUUUAUGAAUUGUUGCAAUUUAAUAAUUAAUAUUUAUGUUCAACAACCUUUUUCGAUAAGUAUUACGUUGGUGACAAAUGAAAGGGAAAAAUCGACUUUUGCAAUUGUAAAGUAAUUUCUUAAAACAACAAACGUGAGUAAAGUCAAUUGAUUUUUGAACUAUGUCUCGUUUUUAAGUAACCUUUUUUCAUACGUAUUACAUGGCUAAAAUUAUUUAUAUUGAAAUAAUUCAGCCUCUUGCACGCAACUUCUUACUACAGUGGUAAAAAUGUGUUGAAUUUUUGUAUAAUGCGUAAUUUCAAAUUUGGUCAAUAAUUAAUUUAAUAUAUAAUUUAACAAAAUUUAGCCUUUGAUUAAAAAAAAUAAUAAUAAUUCGGCCUCUUCUCUUCCAGAAUGUGCAGCCAAGCGGCUCACAAAUCCUCGUGCUGCGAAGAAUACAAAUGGAGAAGGUUCUGGAGUAUGUGGCUGUUGUCAAACUGAAAUGGGUUUAGUCAAUCCUCCAAAGCCUUGACUUAGCCCAAGCUGAGAAAGGAUUAAAAAAAUGGGCUAAGCCCACAUACAAUGAAUUCAUAUCAUUUAGUUUGGUCAAUGGAAAAGGCCCUCUUGUUUCUAGAAUUAUUUUUUCGACAAACGCUAGGGUCGAUGGGUUAGCUUUAUGUCGGAUCAUGAUUUGCUAUGACAGGAGUAAGACAAAUAGAAAUAAGUAUAUCUCAGAAGUUCGGUUAUGGACCCAACAACAUUGAUCGGAUUGAGCUAAUCAAACGGAUCAGCGAUGCUACCACACCCUGUUGUGUUCCGGAAAAGGUAGGCGAAGUCAUCCAACUUCGUUGAGAUCGACCAUUCUUGUUCCGUAAGACACGAAAACCUGAUUCGAUUGAGGAUCAUAUUAGUUUCCACUAUUCUUAGAGAUUCCUACAAUCUAGAGAUUGACGUGAGUUGCAAGUAAUCACACUCUAACGAGAACACAAUAUCUACUCCUAGAUAUCCUAUGGAAUUCUCCUGUUUAAUCCAAAUUUUAUAUCUAAAAAGACUAUCUCGACUAGUAUAAAUACACUUGUAUAGGGUUCAUGCUUGAAUCUCAUAAAUUGCUUACUAACUUGAUCGUCAGAGAGCUUUUGGCCACUACCCGCCCGGCACCAAGGUCAAUCCGGAUUGUUUGCUUUCUUUUCAUGUGCCCUGAGUUGUGUGUCACAUCCGCCCACAACUUUACGCAAUUUUGAUUCCAACAAUUGAUAUAAUUUGCAUUUUUUUUCUUAGUUUAGAGUGAAUAAUUAUUUGGUAACGCAAUAUUCAAUUUCCACUAUCUUCCAAGAAGUAUGGAAAUUAAUUUUUGGAAAAAAACAUUAUCUGAAUGUAAGGUCCCUCGUUCUAGUUUUCUUUUAAUAGUAAUACUUUUUUUUUUUUUGGGAAACUAGAUAAACAAACCAGGACACAAAAUCAGAAAGGUACAAAGAAAGCCAACAACAAGGCCAACACACAAACCACAAACACAAACAAGGCAACAAAAGGGGAUAAAAGAAAGACACAAGAACCAAGUUCCAAUGUCUCCCCUUCCACUACCACAACAAAAAAACAUCAAGGGGGACAAGGUAAUCCAUCUAUAUUCAGCACAUGAACCAAAGAAGUAGUAGUAGCGGAAGCCCAAAGACACAUAACACUAUUUUGAUUUGCACAGUCUCUAAAUAGGAGUAAAAUUUUCAUCUCUUUCUACGUCAAUGAUAAAAGUUGAUAGGUUUUGGAGUGUGUUAUUCAUACAUCAUUUUUUACUUCUCACACACAGUAUUAAUUUGUGAUUGUCGGAUCGGAUGAAUUGAAGAAAAUCAAAUGAUAUAAAUUAACAAGAGGUGAGAGAAGUAAAAAAGUGUGUGAAUACCACAUCCUUUUAGUUAUACAUGUGUCAAAUUUUUAGUGAACCAGUACCACCACUCAAUAUUAUCAUCUGACUCUAUCACCUCAUGUAUUUUUUUACACAAUGUUUUAUAAUUUUGGUAUAAUAAUUGACGAUAAAAAGUAAGAUGACAAAAAGUCACACUUUUUAAACCGUUUCCUUAGCAUUCCUCAAUUUUGAUAUUCCUCAAAACUAACAAAAUUCCAACUUAAUUAGCUAGAUAAAAUAAAAAUUAUAGUUCAAUUAAUCAUCACAUUCAUAUUCCCCCAAAUCGAAGCAAAUAAACAAACCCAGAAAAAAAAAAUAAAAAAAGAAAAAAGAAAAAAAGCAAACUGUGUUCUAAUUUUUUCUUUUCUUUUCCGAGUUCAACUAAUUAAUCAAAUGGGGUAAAACUAAAGGGUACACUCCCUGUGGAGCCGCCGCACCGGAGCACACGAGGGGCACUUAACCAAACCGUUGAUGUUGCAUACCGUACAAGGAGUAAAUCCAAUCUUCUCAUGAUAGACCUUAUGGCUCCCAUCACACGUCUGACAGAGAACAAAUCUCAGCCCUCCACAGAAAUCGCACGCUCUGGGGUCCACCACUGGCAGCCGUUGGAUCAACCUCUUCAGUUGCCCGCUCUCGUGGAGCUGUUUGACCUCCUCGACCCCACCAAUGAAGAGCCCGCCAAUGAAAACCAUCGGCAGAGUCAAAGUCUUGUUCCCCGUGAUCGCCUGCAGCUCGUCCAGGAACUUCCCGUCCAUAGACAGAUCUCGCUCGUCGAUCGGGACGCGAAAUCCGCGGAGGAUGGAUCGGACGGUUUUACAGUCCUCGAAUGUCCUGCGCACGACGCGGAGGCUGGUGUGGUAGAUGACCACGCGCUGGUCGGCGUCUGGUGGAUUCGCGUUUCGGUGGGCCCACAAGCGAAGGGCUGAGGUGGAUAUUUUGACCCGGUGCAAAAUGGACGCGCUCCGCGGGCUUAGGACCUCGGAUGCAGGUUCGGGUUCACAGAGGUUUUGGAUGUCUUUGAAAGAUGAGCAGGAAAAGCUCCUCUGUGACCGCGCUGGUUUGGUUGUGUGCACCCUGCUUGGUGAUUUCAGCCAUGGUGACCACAUGGAGAGAGAGAGAGAGAGAGAGAGAGAAGAGUGUUCUAGUGACUAGUGAAACUUUGGUGGGUCUCCAAUGGGGGUUAUUUAUGCAAAUCACAAUUGUAAUUAGGGUGCCCUAAUUAGGUAUGUGAAGUAAGUAUUGGCCCUAGAUAAGAACAAAGGAUAUAUUUUGGAAUUUCAAAAUAAUUUUUCUUCAACAAAAAUAAAUAAUUUCAAAGUAGUUUCUGGUCUGGUCAAAUUGAUAUAUGUUUACAACUCGGUGCAAUGUGUCGGGUGUAUCACAUAAUUGGUCAUACAAUGUAAUACGAGUUGGUUAAAAAAGGGUAAUGUAAUACAAGUUGGUUAAAAAAGGGUAAUGUUAAAGUUACUAUAUUUAUUAUUAUUUAAACCUUGGAUUUUGCUAUUGAAUAUCCCUUAACGUAGAAAAAAGAAAUACCACUAGUGUGAAAGAUAAAAGAGACGGUAACUUCGUAGUUUUAGCGGUGAUUCACAAGGGGUGAUUGAAAAACCAUCACACAUUUGGAGAUGACAUUUUCACAUAUGUUUGUUUCAUUUUCCAUCCUUGGCAAUGUUUGAAAAUAAGGUUCACUAACUUACCUAUGUUUUUCCUUAUACAUUUCCUUAUCUGGUAUAAGUAUGUGCAUGUACCCAAUAAAACGUUUUGAGCUUUAAAUCCACUUGUAAUUUUGAGUUAUAACGAGUUUGUUUUUCAUCUUCACAUUGGCUAAUUAUUAAUAAUUUAAAGAAUUUAAUUUAGAACUAAAUUCAAUUGAUGUUGCACAUGAUUAUUUGGUCUAGCAACGUCUGUUUUUCAUUUAUAUAUUUGUUUUCGUUUGUUCAUGAAAGUUUGUGAAAUCACUAUAAAAAUUUGGUACCAAUAGUUCACGGUCUAUUAAUAUCUAUCUUUACUAGUAAGUAACAUGUUUUAAAUUCGAAUCUCAUGAAUAAAAAAUUUGAUACAAAUUUAUUCUCUGCCCCUACCAAUAGUGUGAAUAUAUAAUUUUAUUUAAAAAAUAUAUAUCGGUUUAAAAAAUGAGACAAUUUUGUUAACCAAUUAAUUCAUUUAGGAAAAAAGCUUGAGACGUACUAUCAACACCAAUCAAUCACUUAUACAACUUCCAUGCGUCCGGUGCAAUGUGGUUGAACUUUCACAUAAACGGUAUGAAAUCCAAACAAAAUAAUUGCAAGUUUUAAAAUUCAUAAUUAUGCGUGAUUUAUAUUAUUAAAGAGUCACAAAGGUCCCGGUCCAUUAAAUCUGGAUGCAAUGAAGUAUUUUUACUCACUCGCGCGUGAACAUACUGACUCAAAAUUUGAUUUUAUCUAUCUUAUCUUAUGAUAUCUUCUCAUUGAAAAUGUUACGAUGUCAUCUCAUUGAAAAUGCUACUUCUUCUUUUCCUUUCACAUAUAUUUAGAUUAAAUUAAAUUUUUUUAUUUAAUUCAUUCGAUUUGAUAGUCGAAAAUUAAGAUGAAUGUGUAAGAAGUAUAAAUUGAUGUGUAGAUUGCAUUACCUUUUUUUUUCUUCAUGUUGUUAUCAAAUAGGACAGGUGUCAAAUGCAUAACCUUAUUACAGGCUCGGCAGUGGGUUCUGGGCACAACAGAUUCUAACUCAUCAAACAUUUGCGCGCAUGAGAGGAUAGGACAAAAGUCCCGUGAGUCCCAUGACGUGGCUUUUUGGUUGUGGGACCCACAGAAUCACGUGAUUUCAGCGCUGGUACGCGCCAGCGCAAAUGCCAAUCUCCUCCUCCUCCCUCCUCCCUCCACCCAUAAGCUCCUCCUCUUUCAUUCGGAUAAUCCCACCUUCUCAAUCCAGUCCCGUCCAAUCCAGUCCAGUCUGUAUUCCGAUGGAUAAAAAACUAGUACAAGUUUCGGAGCAAGAAAUUUGUAUCGACUUCGCACUCGACUCCAAAUGCCGCGCUAACGUGCGCCUUACCUCCCUAUGCGCCACCGCCGCCGUAGCCUUCAAGGUCCAAACCUCCUCCCCUCACAAGUUCCUCGUCAAACCGCCCACCGGCUUAAUCCCGCCUCUCUCCCACGUCACCUUCCAGGUCAUCCUCAAGCCCCAGAUCCAGUUCCCGCCCGCCUACCCUCGCUCGCCGUCCGACAAAUUCCUUAUAAGAACCGCAGAGUUCACCACCGAGUUAACUCACUCCGACUCCAUCAACCACUGGUUCUCCAGCUCUUCGUGUCCCCGCGGGUCCACUCACGAUAUCAAGCUCAAGGUCGCCUUUGUGGGCCCCUUGCUGUUGCGCCACGCCGUCACUUGCGGGGACUACGACGGCGUCAGGAAUAUAAUCAAGCGGCAGAGGACGAUUCUCGCCGAGUUGCCGCCGGCGGAAGCUGAGUCGAUCCUCCGGAUUGCGACCGAGUUGGAUAACCCGGAGAACUUGAUUAACUUACUGCUCGAAGGGGGAUUGAGGAUUGACCCGAUCAGCGAUCAAGUGCAUUACGGCGGAGAUUCUAAAUGUCCAUCCAACGGACGCGAUGAGCUAGACGUGGCAGGGGCGUGUGAUCGACUGGAUGAUGUUCUGGGACUGAGGGAAUCUGAGCCGUUGGAUUCUAAGGACAGGGGAAAUGGCAGGUGUGCCGAGGUGAGGAAAUCUAGUGCGGACCCCACUACAACUAUUGGCCACAGCCGUUCGCGCCAUGAUUUUGUUCAUGACAAAGAUGUAAGUUGCUUAUUUUUUUCGUUUUUAUGAAAUAUGUUUGCUAGGUCUUUCCUAGUGUUACGACUUACCACUACAAUAACACGACACAAACAUGCACAAAAAUUAAGUGUUAUGAUCAAGCUUUAUUGUGUCUAGUUUCUAAAACACCGGUAUCGUUGGAAAUAUCAAUAUGCAAAUUUGUAAAAAUAUAAAUAGAUAUCUCGAUAUCGAUAUUGGUUUCUUAGAAAUUUAACAGAUACAUCAAAAAUAUUGAAAAAGUCUAUUGGUUUUAGCCAAAAUUUAAAAGUUUUUCGGAUAUUAUAUAAGGUUAGAUCUUUGAUUAUACUUUUUGGAUAUGUAGAAACUAGAAAUGGGAGAACUAAUGUUGAUGGCAGCGAGAAGAGGUGAUUUGAAGAAUGUUGAAUUGUUGUUACAAAAUGGCGCGGAUAUAAACUGCUGUGACCAAUAUGGCUUGACAGCCCUGCAUGCCGCGGCCAUCAAAGGCCACAAGGACGUUGCUCGGGUGCUCAUCCGAUUUGGGUCGGACUUGGAAUCCCAAGACGGUGAAGGGCACGCACCCUUGCACAUGGCCGUGGUCGGCGGGAGCUUAGAGACAGUUCAAAUCUUGGUUCAUGGUGGGGCUAACGUCAAUGCCAAGAGCAACGGCGGCGCCACCCCUCUAUACAUGGCUACUGCUAUGGGGUACGAUGAUAUAAGUGAGUUUCUUACCAGCAGAAAACAUUAAUUUGAACCACAUUUACUGAUCGCAUUGAAGACCUAAUACGAGGUGAGUACUCUACCAUUCGGAGAUAGAUAUCAUAAAACUAGGAAACUUCACUCCUCUGUAUUUUUCAUUGGAGUGUUGAUCCGUACUGUGAAUUUGGAGCCAGGGAUACUCCACCAUCCAUUGUCAUGAUGACAUCAUUCCCGUCGUUUUUCUUGUUCUGUUUGCAAGAUUUCUUGGCCUCCAAGUACUUGGUUUAAGCUUGAUUAGGUAUAGAUGUGCUAAUCUGCAUUUUAUUUGUAAUAUCUCAAACAGAACAAAAAUGAGAGAAGCUUUAUCUAUGAUCGCGUCGAUGCUUAUUUUGUGAGUCGAAAACAGAACAAAAAUGUCGAAAACUUCCUAUUUCUAUCUUUGUGUUGGUUAAUAACUUGGUAUAUAUAAUAUAAGAUUGUACAGGUGAAAUUAAGAUGAGCAACUCUGUUCAUGAUUUACUUGCAGCUCUUGAUGGACGCCAGAAACCUUUCUUACCGAAAAGAAACUGAUCCCGGUAGAGGGCUGUAGACCAGUGAAGCAACUGCAGAAUUGGUCUCAGCUUGUCUAUCACUUCCAUUGUGUCCUGAACCACUAGAUAUCCACCGGGCCUUAAUAUGCGAUCCAUCUCCACCACGACAUCUACAAUGUCGCAUCUGACAAAAUCGAAGACUAAUAUCAACAAAAUUGUCGACUGGUGUGCGAAACUAAUACUGACAUGCUUUCAUUAGAUGAUCUAUAGCAAUCAAAAGGUCAUAAGAGCAGUGAGAAAACAUAAUGUACCUGUCUGGAAGUUUUUCGAAGAGGAAACUGGAAUGCAGCAGAUCAUAUGUUCUAGGGUAGGUAUUCAAAGACUCGCACCAGUCAUGGUAUAUUCCGAUCAACCCUCUGUCAAAAAUAGCUGGAAGAGUAUUUGGCAGAUGAAUGGGAACGAUGUUCAUUACCCAGAGUUGUUGAUCUGUAAGUGCAGCAGCGAAUCUGAAACUCACCACCAGAAUCUCAAUGGCUAAGCAGUUCGAUGACAAAACAAAAAUGAAAAUAUGGAAGUACCAACAACUCAUUUGCUAAAUAUGUUUACCCUCCAAAACCAGCAUUCAUAUCCAUUACAUUCCGCACAGUCGACCAAUUUAUAGCAGCAUUUUUCUGAUAGGCAUCUGAGACAAGCGCAGUCCAGUGAAUGGUGUCCUUGUAGAACAUUUCCUCCCCUUCUGGGUCACGUAUUAGGCUUGGAGGUUUACUGGUAAGUCUGUUUGGCCACGGCAAGGGCCAGCUAUAGCGAGGUAGCGGGGCAAGACAUGCAGUGAGCGGCGCAUACCUGUAACAAAAACACAGACAAAAUUACAACGGUCCAAAGGUACUCUCUGCUCAGACAAGUUUUGUGUUCGUCCAAAGCUUUACACAACCGCUACUGGUAGGUAGUAGCGCUACGAGAGAGGAUAACCGGAAAAUUACCAUGCACCUACUUUCCUCUCUGCAGGACCACAAAGAGGUGGAUAGUUUUCUUUACGUUUAAAAUAUCGGACAAAGGCAAUAGGCUUCCGAUAUAUUACAAGCCCGAUUCCAGUUGAAUCGACAGUCUUAGCAACGACGUCCCAGCACAUUGAUUUUGUCAGAGCCUCCAUUGCUGGAAGAAACAUGAUCAAUAUCAAACUUAGAUCAGCUCCACGUACAUAGUACAUUUUAUUGCUGAAGUCUAAACUCUAAAGCUUCCAUGAAAUGCAGUCCAGUAAAGAAAACAGAAGUUGACUAUAGGGAUGAGUGAAAGAGAGAAACAGAGUUGGAUUACGAACAUUUCCAUACACUUGUAUCUCUUUCAUUGUCGCGAUAGACUGGCGUAGCAGACCAUACGAAAAACCCCCCAGGCCGAAGAACCCUGUUGAGCUCCAGUAGCGGUUUCCCUCCUGCACUAACCAAAAACCGUCAAAAUAACCGUAGAGAACAGGACACAGAAUAGUGCAUAACACUUCCAAACUCGAUAGACAAAGUACCAUUUGCAUCCCAGUGAACCCGGCACCUUGCACAGUGAAUCAAAUCAAAUGCAUUGUCCGGAAAUGUCAGCCUUUGCGUUCCAAUCACUGAGAGAGUAGCAGGAAUUCCCCUUUCCAGAGCAAACUGUAUCUGAGCUUCGUGUUCAUCUUUCGGGGCAAAUGACAUGGUAAUGACAUCUUUAUCCAGCAAAUAGCCGCCAAAGCUAGCAACACCGCAGCCAACGUCCAAAACAACCCUGACGUGCCUCCCCCAUUCAAUGACCGGUAAAGUCUAGAACGAAAACAAAGAGAAGCCAAUCAACAUUUCCAAAAGGAAUGUAAACCCGAAAGCUGCCAAGCCGGCCAGCGCUGUACCUUUUCGAUGAAAUCGGUGUAGUGAUCAACUCCAUCCUUAAACUGAGUACCGCCUCCGGGGAAAAUGAGAUAGUCAUCGGACUUCUUCACCCAGUUUUGGUCCUUCUUGUACUCGACGAGCUUCGGGUGAGGAACGUUGUCAUACCAUAUCUAGAAACAGAGAACAUCACCAAUACAUUAUUGAGUGAAUGUAAACAGAAUAAGCCAACAAGCACUUCACAUUUCCACAAACACUUUCCCAGAAAGGAAAAUCAUGAUUUUUUUGUCUCGGAAAAUUAAAGUCAAUCCAACAACGAACCGAAUCACCCAUCUUCUUCAUUCAAAUCAACAAACCCAUUUGAGAAAAUCCAACAACAAACCAUCACCCACCUUCUUGAAACAAAUCAACAAAACCCAUAUGAGAAAAACCAGAAACAAAUCUUACCAAAGUACAAAUCUCACCAUGUCCCUGCUCUGAGGCCACGGAACCGGCACCUUGUACCCUUUGGAAAGCGGCUCCAGGCACCGCGGCGGCGGCUGGGGGCAAUGGCGCUCGCGGUGCUCCAUAUGCCGCCGCGACUUCAACGCCUUGAUCGCCUUGGAAUUGUCCAAGCACGGAAUGUAAUCGACGGCCACCGGACCCGUACAGAGGUUCCAAUUGGGAAUCCCAGAAACAGGGAAAGUGGGUUCCUCCCAAACGAGUUCGUCCCCUUGGGGCGGCUCUCCGGCGGGGUUGGAGGGCGCGGGAGGAGAGAUGGGUUGGGAGGAGGAGGGGGAGGUCUGGAGAUCGGAGUAGAAGAAGAGAGGGUAAGGGGCGUUGGUGGUGAUGUUGGUGAAGAGGAGGACGGUGAUGCAGGCGAGUGGGAGUAAGAGUGUGAAAACGAAAGGGAACUUUCGCUCUUUGAAAAAGCUGGGCACUGAGAUUCCCAUUGUUGUUGGUUGAUAGCUCUGUGUGUAGAGAGAGAGAGGAGAGAUAGGAGAGAGAGAGAGAGGGGGGGAGGUGUAUUUAUAUGGAGUGGGGGGAGAAGGAGGUGAUCGGGGGAUUUGGAGAUGGAGAGAGGAGUACGCGGUAUUUUUACGAGGAUUUUCGAAAUGUCGUUAAGCGACGGAGACGCUCUCUGUCUCUCUGCAAUUAUUUUAUUUAUUUAUAUUUGGAACACCUCGUACGCAGAAUUUAAAUAUAAUAAUCAUUUUUGUUGUAGAAUACUGGUGAGUGGUUUAUAUUUGGUAAACCCUGCACUUAUUUGAAGAUGCUUCUUUGAAAACAGUCAUAAGUGCGUUGAAAUUUCAUCAAAAAAGUGCUUUUCAAGAAAGCACUUGAAAACAUCUUUGCCAAAUAUUGUUAAUAACUUAGGGUUUGUUUGACAAGUGUUUUUAAACGACUUAAAACGUUUUUAGAUAAAAUAUUUUUGAAACGAAAACUUAGUAAAAAUACAAGUUAAUUCUGGAAAAGCACUUGAAGAACUUCCAGCAAAAAGCAUAUAAUUGGUGCCUUAGCAAGAAGCACAUAAAAUGUUUUUAGAAUCCAAAAAUAUUUUCUCUAAAAAUGUUUUUAACUAGCCCUUAAUAGUUAGUGAUAGUGCCACAUUAGUUUGGUUGUUAGUGCUUUGACACUUGUAUAUAUGAUGUCAUGAUUAGUUAGUUAAUCAAUCAUAAUAAGAAGUUGAUUAAUUAGUUUAAAACUAAGCAUAUUUAUGAAAAUAUAUUUAGUUACUAAAUAGAGCCCACACACAACGUGGAAAAUGGAGAGAGAACGUCGGGGUUUUUGUUUUUUUUUUCUUUCCUGAAAAUGCUUAUGCAAUGACAUGUGGGGUUAGGAAAGAGCAAAAAAAAAAAAAAUGGGACUUUAACGAAAAUCACUCGGUACUGUUCAUUUUAACGAAAAACCAUAUUUUUACACUAAAAAGUCAAUCCUGGUACUAUUCACUUUACCCUUUAUUUUGUCCUUAUUAUUAAAACUCAAAGUUUUCAAACCAUUUUCAUUAGUUUUCCUAAAAAAAAAAUCUUUUUGUGCAAAAUUACCUUCAUGAAUAGAAGACAAAUCGUCUUUUUACCUUUUUUUUAUUGAUAAAAAAAAAUUCUAUUAAUACAGUGUUAUAGAUUUGAAAGCAUUUAGCUAUUAAAAAAAGAUUCUAUUAAUAGUGUUAUAGAUUUGAAAACACUUUAAAACAUCUUGUUUGUGGCGAAAUUUCAAUUCAGUCGAUGUAGAAUUGAUUCUCACAAAUAUUAUCCUACAAUACCAAUUCCAGUCGAAGUGUCAAUUCUUUGCGUUUAAAAUAUCUUAUUUGAAUUUUUUUUUAAUUUCCCAAUCCAUUGAUUGUUAAGGAGGAGUUUCUCCUCAAAAUACUUCGUAUCUAUUCACAGAAUUUCGUACUUAUGAUUGAAACCACUCAUAUUAUAAAUCACUCUGUAAAUAUCAUCUCUGCAAAAAAUCAAUUAAACUAAGAUGGUUUAGUCAACCAAAUAUAACAAAUAGAUAGACAGUUCAUAAUACUUUAACCAAAUUCAUCAUUUUAUUUUUAUACAGUUCGAUAACUAAAUAAUCUUAACUUUAAUUCAUUUUUUUUGUACAUGUAAACUUUGAAUAAUUAUUUAUAAUUGAUUUUUUUUGUAAAGUUAAACUUUAAAUAGUAAUUUAUAAUAUAAAUAAUUCAAAUCAUAGACUCGAGAUUUUGUAAAUAAACCACAAGAUAUCUUAAAAAGGAGUCCUUCCUCGAUUUUUGAGGAACCAAGUCUUUACAUCGAUUAAAAAAAGAGAAUUGCAGGCAGUUAUUUCUAUUUUAUUUAUUUUUGAAGGCUAAAAUCAUGUACUCAUGUGUGUAGCACUAUUACAAUUCAAUAAACUAAAAGUUGCCCUCCCAAAAAUUUACGUGAUUAGCAAUUAUCGAAUCUUUACAGAUAAAAAAAUAAAUUUAAAAAAAAAUCAUAGUUUUGGUGUUUAUACCCACAAAAGUCAAUGAAAUUGUUUGGAAAACUUUCGGCGAUUUGGUUUUGACGACAAAUAUUUCUUUUGAUAGUUUGAAAAAAUUGACGAGAUACAAGGUCAAUGAAAUUGUUUGAAAAAAAAACUUUCGGCGAUUUGGAAAUUGGAUGACAAUUUUUUUUUUUCUCAAAACAAAAACUUAACUAGUAAAUAUGAUGACCACGGGCACAUUAUGAAUGUGCAUCGUCAUUGGCUAGAAAAUUUGUUUCUCUAAACACAUGCCUCCAAAAGAGAGCGAAUAGAAUUUGUGAGCCAUCUAAUAUCCUCAAUAAUAUUCUUGAGUAUCCAUGGUAUUAAACAACGGAAGAGGCUCCUCUCCGGAUUCACUUUGUGGGAGGAUCCUCACAUUUUAACCGUUCAUCGUAUAUCGUAUAGACAGCUUUCGUCAGAUACUAUUUCUAUUUAAUUUUAAAUGAAAAAAAUCAAAUGAUUUCUAACAGCACAAUGCACGAUGAAUGACUAAGAUGUGAGGAUCAACGAUCUUCAAAAUGCAAAAAGUCAUGUAAUUUCUGAUAGCACGAUGUAUUAUUUGUUUGCUCACAGGUGAUAUAUCAGAGGACCAACAAUCUUCAAAAUGCUCAAACGUACAAACAAGGUGAGCAAACAAAUAUAAGCAGGAGGGGCACAAAACUUUCUCCAUUACUGCUUUAGACGCCGAACUAAUAACGGUAUCAUGCAUCCUCAUUCCUCCACGAAAACUCGGCUCAGUUUGGUAAAUUGCCGAAUAUCUCGAUGAUACAAUACUUCGAAAUUGGUUUUAUACAACUGUUAAUAAAACAAGAGUGCAAAAUAAUCAAAAGGGAACUUGCAUGAUGGAAACGGUGUCAAGCCACUAUAUCUAAUCCACAUUUUUUUCAAUCUAAUAUGGCAGGUCCUCCGUCGAUGUUAACUUCUCCCAUUCCGGUGUCUUCUUCCUCCUCACUACCCUCAUCACCGCUAACCUCCUCAUUCUCCUGGCGAAGCUUACUCAUGUGCUCAGCAAGUAGUUUAUCAUCCCGUUCACUCACCUACACCAGUACACCAUAUUAGACCCAGAAAUAAAUAAGUUUCCACGGCAAGUCAAUCGAGAUUGCUAUGGAUAAGAAAUAAAAUGGUACGAUUGUUCAGACAAAAAGCAAGUUCUGGAGGUUCUGAACUAAAAUAUUUCAAGAAGUCAAAUUCGAAUGGAUAUCGAAAACAGACGGCAAAACCAAGAUUAGUUGUAAAAUGACAAAACAUGAUGAAUAGGGUGGACCACUCACCACUCUGGGUGCUUCCUUCACUGUUAGUUUCCCCUUGUGAUGUUCAAUUUCUUGUGUGCACGCUACAAUUGCAUUGGUUAGAACUGAUAUGCCUUGCUCCUGCCCAACCCAGAACAGAAUUUAUAAAACUUUUUAGCUAAGUAGCUAGUGACAACUCUACCAUCAUAUUUCACAACUGUCUGCAGGAAGGUCAACAGAAACCAUGUGCUACAGUUCCAGCUUCCAAAAGUAUAUAGUAUCGUCAGAAGAGAAGUUGUAACUAAUGCUGUAUCGAUGCAGGAUGUGCAUAAAUUGAUAAUAUAAAUCCAGCAAUAUUUCAGAACCAAAACGCUACGAGGAAACUAAAAUAAGUGCUAGAAUGGCAAGGUCAAAUUAUACCAUUGCCAAAUUUAAAGUUCAAACUGAAGCUACACACUAUUAUGCAUCGGUUGGCCACAAGAAAGAUUAAAUCGUGGAUAUAUGACACAAAUGCAGAAAACAAAAAUAUGUAGGAAUAGGCUGUGAUCCAUUAACAGCCAUCAGAUGAUAUCUUAACCAACUCAAAUUCGAAGGUUCGAGGUACAAAAUUUGAAGAUCUACUUUUUUACAACAAGAGUGUUCAGGCUCAGAACUUUAAUGUUCCUUUUUUGCCAGACAGGGUAACGAACAUUUAAACCCUGAAUCAAAACACUAGCUUAUUCCCAACAGCAUGACAUACAAUGUAGUCUAUAUAGACAUAGCAGAAGACAUUAUUGGCAUGCCACUAUACAGCUUCGUGUGGUAAUCUAGAUUUCUGCAUGGUAAUUGUUUAAUUGUAAAAAGAAUUGAUCAAAUCAAGACCAAAUUAGAAUUUGAGCAGACCUUAUCAAGAGUCUGUGUGGUAAGAACAUAAAGUGGAGGAGCAACCAGUUUAAUUUUCACAGGACAGUCAUUAUUGCCCACAGCUUCCGCUUUCCUCAUGGCAUCCUGCAGAAUACAAUGUCUAAAAUCAAAAUCCCGCCAAAAAUAGAAAACACCAUGAAAGAAAAAUAAGGGGAGGUCACAGAGAACCUUAAUGUGAAGAACACCAUCAAAUUGGAAGCAUUUCAUUUCAAUAUCAGCUCGGAUCUUCAAUGGUUGUGGAGUCAUUCUUCUCCUAAUAUUCUUCACCAGAGAUUCUUUAAUUUCCUCUGACACAGCAGGAACCACCUUAGUGACCUACAAAUUCAGAUGCAAGGAAGCAUGACACCUCUAUAUAUGCGAUAUAAACAGGAGAAUAUGAGGCAUAAACCUCAAGCAAAAAGGCAUUACCUCUUGUCCAUCAGGGCCAACCUCUUUGACCUCACGUGUGAGGGUGCUAAGAACUGAAUCAGGAUCAGUCACAACUAUUUUGAAAGCCUGCAAAAAGUAAUAAUUUCAUGUUUAUUACCGAAAAUCAACACCACAAACAGACAUUGAAACAACGGUAAACAUCCUCACCUCAAAAGCAUGACCAUACUUCCGAUAUAACGGCCAGCCAAUAUUGACAUACAAGUCCUGUAACAAGUAAUGUAAAGUAGUAAUAAGUUAAUAUCCUACGAAACAAAAUGAAUAACAAACAAUAAAAAGUAAUCACUAUAGUCAAUCAAUAACACAUUUGAUCUUACGCCAUCGAUUUUGCUUAGCACCGAGAAAGUACAUAAAUUUAAAGGAACUGGAUGCAGCUAUCAUUUACAAAAUCCCAAUUAACAAUAACACAAUAUACAUAGCUUUAUAAUUCUGCAUAAAAAGUCUAACUUUCUUCCCCCGAACAUACAAUUCUCACAAAAUUCUCAGAACCCAAAACAUCACAAAACCCCAACAAUCGAAAUUGAAACAAAAUUACCUCCAAAUCAAUCCCCAAAGUCUCACCCACGUGGCGCAUGAUGGAGUGGACGAGCUUGCUCUUGUUGUACCUCUCCUCGCAGGCCUGGAUAUCCUCCUCGGAAACCCUCCGCUUGCUCAAAUCAAUGUAUCCCUUCUCCUUGUCGACCCUGAGGACCAUGACGGGCUCGAUGCGGCCGACCUUGAUGAGGCUGCUGACACUGCGAAUCCGGCGGCGGGAGAGCUCAGAGAAGAGAAUCAUGCCCUCGAUGUUGUUGUACUCGAGGAGGGAGACGUAGGCGCCCAUGUCGGCGAUGUUCUUGACCUGGAUCAUCACCGCCAUGUCCACCUCCGGGUACCGCGCUUCGUACAUCCGGCACUCCAAGUUAGGCGCUUGGGAAGCCAUGGUUGCUGCUGGUCGGUAGAUUUAUUCGCCUAGGAUUAGGGCUUAGAGAGAGAGAGAGAGAGAGAGAGAGAGAGAGAGUUUCUGGUUUGCUUGGCGCGCCGGAAAAAAGAGGGUUAGGGUUUUGACAGCACAGAGAGAGAGAGCUUAACUGUGAUGGUAUGACAGAUGGUCUAGCAAACGUUCGUACCGGAAACGCUGUUUUCUGCAUCUUUAGUUUAUGGUGGGCCGGGUAAAGCCCACAUAGAUCAAGGCCCAAAUAUAGAAAGUAAAGAAACAAGAGAGUUUUAACGAAACAUUUUCGGUAUUUUUCAUUUUUACUAUUCCUGGUACUAUUUACUUACACCUUUAUUUGUUUUUUUUCAUUAAAAUUAAAAAUUUUGAGGAAUUUUCGUUAGUUUUCCUAAGAAAAAAAGUGUAAAAAUGGAAAAGGAUAGAAAGUAAAGAAAAAAGAGUUUUAACAAAACACUUCUGAUACUGUUCAUUUUUAUCAUUCCUAGUACUAUUCACUUACACCUUUAUUUGCUCUUUUUCAUUAAAACUAAAGUUUUUUAGGACUUUUCGUUAGAUUUCCUAAGGAAAAAAUGUAAAAAUAGAAAAGGAACGUCGACAGCAGGAUUCGAACCUGCGCAGGCAAAGCCCAACAGAUUUCGAGUCUGUCUCCUUAACCACUCGGACAUAUCGACCGUACGCUAUUGAUGCCCCGAAAUAAAAUUAUAUGAAGAAUUACAUUGUAUCUCUCUUGCGUCUGCCAUUCCAAUUUUUUUUUUUUUUAAGUUUAUAACUUUAGAGACAUUUUUCUUGACAAUUUAUGUAUGGGAUAUUUAGCUUAUUUCAAUUGAAGUUGCAUUUUCAAACUUUGGUCUCAUUGCUUAUUUAGUAAUGUUUAGCAUAAAAACUUAAAUUGCACAAGAUUUAUAUAACUCAAAUGUGUUUGAAAUAUUUUUACAUAAAGCACUCAUACUCGUAAGCACUUUUUCUAAAAGCGUUGUUAUUAGAUGCACGUUGGAAAUUUCAUAAAAAAAAUUCAAAUACUUCUUGGAAAAUUGAUAGUGUUUCUUGGAGAAGCACUUGCUAGGUGUUAUCCAAAAAAUUGUCUCUUAGUACUUCUAAAAUUUGACACUCAAAUGUGUUUUGUAGCGUCUUUAAUUAUUUAUAAAUGUUUUUAGCUAUUCCAAAAGUAGUUGCCACCUACUAUCUCACCUCUCGUGCAUUUUGUGUGUGUGUGUGUGUGUGUGUUUUUUUUUAAAGGGGAUAAUUGGUGGUAAGCCACGAUUAUCCAUCCCUUUCGGGUGCUGGGAAGACUCGCAAAGGCAUUUUAGCUUCCCUCUGGCCACAGUCAAGCAAACUCACCAGCUUGGAGCUCAAACCUGGGACCUCUUUGUUUUUUUGUAUUUUAGGAGCCGGAAUUCACGUCCUUACCACUGGGGCACUUGCUGUUGCUAUGUUAUUUGCACUAGUUCUUUUUGCGCACGAUAAUGUGGUAAAACUACUUCCUUACUCGAAGCUUCCACAAUGUCCAACAUUGCGAGAACUUUUUAACAUAGAGCAUUUCGUUAAGUUCCCUUAGUUCUACUUAACUACUAGAACAGUAGGCUUUUGCUAUCAGCCGUCUUCACCGGAAUUAGCCUCGUAGGGUGGUUGCUGUGACGAUCUUUUUACUCACUUCAUGUGCUGCUGUUGCGCACUGGUUCAAGAGCGACGAGAACUCGAACUCAGAGGCUUUGAAGGUAGGGUGACAUGAGCUUCGAUCCUCGGUGCUUCACAUUAGAAGCGUUUUUUGGGUUAAGCACUUCUGCUCUUGUUAACAGCAAUAUUCUUGCAGGUUGCCAAGGAAAGAAGUUGGUUCCUUCACCAUUCCAAUGGAUGAAGACUCAAGUACCUUGUACAAAAUGGACUUACCGCAAAUGCAGGUUAGGUCAAUUAGCGAAGACAGUGUGCUCAAACUCCUUCUUCGUAGAUUAGAUUAGUUUUGAGUAGUGUCUUGUAAAAUGAAAAAUCAAAAUGGACUUAUAACUAGAAAAGGCGGGCUGCCGGUAUAUACAACGGUCUCACGGUCACUGUGAGAGUGGUGCCUAAGCAGCCGGACAUAAGAAUUUCUUGAAAACCCAACGUUGCAUCUCUUUUUUGCUCGAAAACAUCAUGUCAAAUCCACCUGUCUUUGGCUCAAGUUCUCUAGAAUUUUUCAAGCACUGUAAAAUGAAUGCUUUGCUAAUUUUCAAUCUUUGACCACAAAAUAAUUGAAAUUUCUCAUUUUAGUUGGCAUCAAAAGUGCUUUAAGAACAAUCACAUUCAAGUGAUUGAAAACCAUUUCAUAAGAACAAAACUGAGUACAUAGUAAAUACAUCAGAACGAGACGUGGAUGCCAUUCAUCCCUACAAGAACACACUAGUUCCAGAAACACAGAAAAGGCUGUUUUGUUAGGAGCGAAACAGCGAGAGGACAACGAUACAAAACUCAAAAUGGUACCAGCAGCCUCAGAUACUUCAAACUGUGAAAACUUCUGUACCAGAACAAAAGACGAGAAGUUUCUGUAUUAGCUAUCGUGUCAAUCCUCAACAGAAGUCUGCUACAAGAAAGAGUUGGCUGUGAAUGCAGGCCACCAAAGGCAGUCCCAGCAAGCAAAUAGAAAGCACAAUUAUCCCUUCCUCAUUUGAAAAGAAAAAACUACAAUUCAUCGAGGGUUUUAUCACCGUUCCCCAGUGAGAACAACCAACGGAACAGUUGAGAUAACUUACUGGCUGGCUUCGCCUCCUUUUCCUCCAAUUUUGCAUUGCACACUGAGUUAUAGUCGUGCUUCAGAUGAGGAGCAACUAUUCUUUCCUGUAAAACCAGAAAUGGUAAAAUGAGAAUGAGCUGAACGGCCAUAUCUAUACGUGUGAGAGUAAGAUAGAAACCGUACCUUGAAAACAUCGAGUGGACAGAAAUCAGAACCAUCACAGCCCUAUACACCAAGACAAAAAGUUAUCGUGUGAGAAUUCAAUACAAGAAAACUCAGCAGUAACCAUUAUAACUGAAACAGCUGAUCACUAUCGGCCCUAAGAAAUAAUGGAUAAAAAUUAUACCAAUGACAACAUAUUAUGAAAUUUAUACUAAUUGCAUUCCUCAUGAACUUUUCAAGUACAAAAAUAAAACCGAAGUUUGGAAUCCAAAACUCUUCAAAAUCAUAAGAGUUCAAAAUAAGUAAAGAACUGGAGCUUACUGGCAUUGGAAUGGGGUGUUCAUUGUGCAGCACUUGCACAAAGUACUUGCUUGAAAUGUUGGCUGGACAACUGUACAGAACCAGCAUAUUAUUCCCGCCAAAAGGUGCCACAGUAUUGCCCCUCCACUUUCUCUUCUGGGGAGGCUUUGGAGGGAGUUGCAAGGGUUGUUCCUUCUGUGUCCGUUCAAAUUCUGAAAUAUAUAAAAAAACAACGCCUACUAUGAGAAUAGCAUAUAGAAGAUGCCAUAUACAGUUAUUAUUUCCACAUACGAGCGUACACCCCGAUCAUCCAAGAAAAAUUCAGAAUUUGCGGAAGAAAUCACUCACCAGUUCCAUCAAGAAAAAGUCCAAGCAGGCAUGAAAAUGGAACUACAGUUUCUGCAUGUGCGAACCUUAGCCUUGCCUUUUCAUAACUCCCAGGAGCAUGUUUUUCUAAAAAACGAUAAGGGCAGCGAGAGAGUAAGAACUGAAAUAUCAGAAGUCGUAUAAAACUGAACUGCCAUAGUUUACAACUUAUAACUACACUACUACCCAAGACGGGUUACAAAGGAGAAAAAGUCAUAAAUAAUCCUUUUAUCAAGUUCAUAUAUGUACCUUCUUCAGCCGUAAUAGCCUGCUCCAUGGACAGCAAUACAUCUUCAAGCAAGGGAACUCCCAUUCUAUAGUUUAAUGAUUUACCAUAUCCCUUUAAUAUAAAGGCUUCCAAAUCAUCUGCCCACUCCAGCAAAGAAACCUAAGAACACAAAACUUUUUCAUGUAAAUAAACAAUAAAAGAACAUACAUAAUAUUCGAAUGUAUGUUUCCUUGUAUUAAUAGACGUGUCUACAACCUAAAAAGGCCAAUCUGAUGAAACUUAGUUUCAUAUACUCCAUCAGUCUCAAAAUAUGAGAUUAGAACAAAAAAUGCAAUAAAAAAUUUGGAUAACAUCUUUCACAUAGAAAAAUCAUAUAUACCUCGGAAGGGGUGAACAGCGCACAAGCUUGACCAGUUAUAUUAAACAAGGACGCUUCCUGCCAAAUAGAACAAACAAAUAAUGACCAUAAAAAUCAAUUUCACUUGGAGAAUAAUUAACCCAGAGAGAAAUAUGACGUGUUUAUGCAUGGAAGCAGAAAGAAAUAAAUCACCUGUUUGCAAAGAAACCAAAGAGAAGUUGUAUCCUUCUUUGUAAAAUUCAACUUGUAGCGCCUCCUUAAUGAAGAAGUAAUUUCAUCAUAGAUAGGUUCCUUGAGCUUGUCAACAGAAGGCUCCUGACUUUUCUUAUAUGCCUGAAUACAUACUAAGUCUUCGUCAACCAACAAAUAAAGCAUAGACAGAUGAUGCAAUAGAAACAUGGUUAUGGCAAUCAGUCUAGUUCCCCCAGUCCCACCAACAAUGUAAGUACUUAAUUAGUUUGUGUGUGGCAUGUUUAAAAAUCAAAGAGAAGACCAAUACUGCAGAAUACCUUGUAGUUUUGGCAACAAUCAUGAAACCUCAACUUUAUAUCACUCGCACGACUUUCACUGGACACAGCAAAAGCUCGAUGACGCCCAGGUCCAAGAUUUCCUUUCCCACUAAACAUUCCCAUGCCAAAUGCCACAGCACUGGCGGAUGCCCGAGGGACCUACCACAUCAUAAGGAAAAAAAAAACAGAUGCAUAAGCUGAUAAGUUAUUAAUGAAUUGAGGGGAAAAUUUUUUCUAUAGCUGCUAUCCACAGCCAGAGAGAUAUGACAACUUUAACCAGCGUUAAGCCUCAACCGAUGAAAAUAAGUUACUCCAAACAUUCCAUUAACAAAUUUCCAAAUAUAAUAGAUGACUAUUAUGCCAUAAUAAAGUUACCAUCAACCUAUAAAACAAGGCUGAUCAUGGAAAUAACACAUAUAGCGAAAAAAUGGUUUAAUGCUAUUGUAUAAUAAAAACUACUGGAAAAAGCGUACAACAAAGCUUACCUGUGUUGCCUUUAUUGUGUAAACAUCUGGAUGGUAAUCCUGAUCAAACAGAUUUGGGAACCUUUCUCGUGUCCUGAUUCCAAAAUCAUAGAGUUCAUCCUCUCCUUGGACAAUUAAUUCUCCACCUGUCAGUUUUCCUUUCCAAGGAGAUUUCCAACCCAAAAACCAACCAGGAAGUUUUUCCAAAGAUAGGUUCUGUUCUUCUGCUUCUUUUAGUAGCACCUCCAGACGAGAGGCCAGGAUAUCCAUAUCUUUGAUACGUUUUUUGGUAGGAGCACGGGUUCCAUGCCUUGCCUGAUAAUAUAAGUUUCAUCAGGUUCCACAAUUGUGGCACUCUCUAAAGUUUAUCGAUUAAAAGAUUAAAAGCAGGAACAAAAAUUGACCGCCUCAACCGUAACUUGUGGAAAGCUAGCAGGGUAAUCUUAACAAAAGCGCAAUGCAACAACAACGCAUACAUAAAAAAGCGCAAUGCAUUCGCAGCAAACUUAAUUUCCGUUCGAAUCUUCGAAUCUAAGUUACUUCUUACGGUAGAACCUAGUAAUGCAUAUUUAUCUAACGCUUAUAAAGAACCGAAAAAUCAAACAGUUGAAACAAAAAUAGAAGCUUGGAAUUGGGAAUCGAAACACGAAAAAGAAAUUUACCACAAGAUUUAGGUGGAUAGGAGUACACCCAUCUGGUAUCUUGGAUGGUACAAAUGAGUUGUCCGCAAUGUCUUUAACGACACCGUAUCUGCAGCCAAAACCCAUUAGUUAUUUCUCAGAAUCGUUCACUAUCAUCCCUAAGGUUCUUCAAAUUACUUGAAAAGAUUAAUUCUUUGAGUUAAAUUAACUAAAUAAAUAACAAACAAAAAAAAACGCAAUUUGAUGAUAUUGAACAAUUUAAGAACCAAUAAUCUAGUUCUAAUUUGGCAUCAACGACAUAUCAAUUGAGCGUAAAAUAUGAUUAAAACAAAGUAAAUUAAAAUGUAUUUUUAAUCAAAUUAAUGGAAAAGAUUUGAAUUUGUGAAAGAGGAGAAACCUGGACGCAGUAGAAAGAUGUUGGCGAACAUCGAAACCUUCUUCUCCGGCAUUCGAAUGGACGAACACCGAUAACAAUACCAGCAGAAGCGCCGCCAUGGCUCUCCCCAUCCUCCCUCUCUCUCUCUCUCUCUCAACACACACACACUCUCUCUCUCUGUCUCUCUCACUCUGCGUUAAGAACUUGAAGAAGAAAGGAAUAAACCGGAAAGCAAGUCGGCAAAUAAAUGGAAAAGAAGAAGAUGACUCCUUUUUGGCACUUUUAUUUGGUCGAAAGUUGCAGGUGGCGUAACUUGUCCCAUCAGUGAACGCCGCGUGGCAAAAGUUGAAUACGCGUGGUGGCCGCGGGCUAAUGGCCCGCUCAAAUCUCUUUCCCCAGAUCCAAUGAUCCGGGCUUUGGAUUCUUGAAAUUUAAUCAUAGGCUAAAAUUAUUAUUUUUACUAAUUAAUAAAAAAAAAUUUUGUCAACUAAAAGAGAAUUAAAAGAUAAAAGUCUUUUAUUACAUAAAAAAAGGUAAUAAAGUAAUUUUACAGGUUCAAUUUUACUUUUUUUAUUGAAGCAUCAGUAAUAUUAAAAUACCUCUAAUAUUUAUAAAAAAAAUAAAAAAAAGAAAACCAAAAACAAAAACCUUCCACUUGCCUCUCUCUCUCUCUCUCUCUCUCUCUCUCUCUCUCUCUCUCUCUCUCUCUCUUAUUUUCAUUUUCUAAAAAAAUGUGUUCAUGCGUACAAAGUGUGUAGGCAAAUGCUAGUAACUUUUAAAAGAGACCUCUGUUUUUUUAAUCUUUGAAUUAAAUUUCAAGAGCCCGAAUUAUUUGAUCCGGAAUCUUGAUGGAAGAGAUCCGGAGAUGAUCUCUUUCAAUGGACCGCCGCAACCACGGACUCUUCCCCUGUGGGCCCCAACUAUCCUAGCAUCCAACAUGGGCGGGCCUUGCGUUUUAGGCUUUUAGCCCAUCAGUCAAAGCCCACCAUGCUCAAUUCUGUAAUCUGUGGGGUUUUAGUGAGGGCGUCUCUCUCCCUCCCUGCAGAACUCCAUAGCCGCGGAAGCUCAGAUACUUCCUCAAAGUUCAAGCUCACAGUCCCAAAAUGGUAAUUACACUCCUCACCUUCUGUUCUUCGUUUUUUUUAUUUAAUUUUUGCCUUGUAAAUUUACUUUUCCUAUUUCCAAUCGCCAUUGAAUAUUUUCUUUUACUAUUAUUUUUUGUAGUACGUAGAUAUUGAUUUAAAUUUUGGGUCUUUAAUAUUUUUCCUUAUCACUGUAAAUUUAUUUUCAUGGUUUUCAUCAUUGCCUAAAAAUUGAAAUAUUAUUAGUAAAAAACUUUUUUUUAAUGAUUUUUUGUUGUUGUUGAACUGAAUAAUUAAGUGUAUUAUUCUGGUCAAUGUGGGGUAUAUAUCCAGAACUUUAUAGUGUUGUGCAUAUAGUUUUGAUAUGAUUAUUGUUGGAGCUGAUGGAACGCUUGGCUCAAAACCACUGUUCUAAAAAUAGGCGUUAGGCGACUGGUCAUCGUCCCGAUUAAUGUCUAGGUAUUUGAAAAAUUAAUAAAGGGUGUCUAGACUAGUUGAGGCGCCCGCCUAGACCGCCUAGACCGCCUAGCCCAUCCAGACCCGCUUAGACACCUACCUAGGUUGUGACUCAUUUUGAUAGAAAAUAGAUAACUUUCAAUUUGCAUUUAAUUUUUUUCAAUAAAUUGUAAGAGACUUGUUGAAUACUUAAAUAGGCACACACUAUAAGCUUGUUCCCCAUGUUUUAAUUAUGUUUCAAUACUUUAUAAUACAUAUGUCAUUCUAUUUUGUAGUUUAUGAUGAAAUUAUAUAUAUUUUAAGUAUAAACAGACAUUUAUUUACACAAAAAAUAAUGGAUUUACUUAAAUCCGCCUAGUCUGCCUAGGCGUUAGGCCCUAACCCGCCGCUCAACUAGCGCCUAGUGUCUUUUAGAACCUUGCGCAAAACUGACACUGCGUUCUAAGAUUCAUAUAGCCGACUCUAUUUAGUGAGAUAAUUGCUUUGAAAAUACGAUUUGCCAUUUCAGUUUGAGGAUUAGAGGCAUGAUGAUAUGAGUAAAGAGAGCUUUCCAUCUCUUUUCUCCACAUUGCUUUGAAAGUUUGAAUCCAAGUGUAAACACACUGUAAACGAACCCAGAUGAACUGAAACAAGUUUUACGCUAGCUGACUUAAGUUCUCGAUUUCAAAUGGAUCAAUUUGGUGGUUGAGUUUUGUGCUCGCGACUUUUGCAGGCGAGAGGUUUGAAGAAGCAUUUGAAGAGGCUCAAUGCCCCGAAGCAUUGGAUGCUCGACAAACUUGGCGAGAGGUUUGAAAAUGUGAAGCAGUAAAAAUGAGCUUAUUCUCGCAACACAGCAAAAACAGAUUGAAAUAUGCUCACUUACCGGGGGGUCAUUUCCAUCUUGAUGCAACGGCAUGUUCUGGUUGACGGGAAGGUUAGGACCGACAAAAUAUAUCCUUCCGGUUUCAUGGGUAUGUUCAUCCUAUCUUUUAGUUCAAGCAAUUCUUUCUUAAUUUUACUUUCCAGGCUUGUAAAUAUGGCUAGCUGCAUGAUGAUUGUUUACACUUCCUUUUUCACGGCAUCCAUUUUUACCCAUUAAUAAGUUCUGUGAAAGGACAAUAGAUUUUGUUGUAGAACUUAUGUUGCUCCUUGAUUUGCAGAUGUUAUUUCAAUCCCCUAAACGAAUGAGAAUUUCUGGCUCCUUUAUGACACAAAGGGUCGGUUCCGUUUCCACUCAAAUCAGGGAUGAAGAGGCAAAGGUUAUUGUUACUUUUCAAAGUACAUGACUUAAAUUCUUGUCCAAAAAAAAUUUACAUGACUUGAAUAAGUUAUAACUACUGCAUUUGGAUCAUGUUUCAUCAUUCCAUAUGGAUCUUUUCGAUCUGCAAAAUUCCAUAACUUGGAUAACACUAAGGGUUGGUUCGGUCUCUGCUCAAACUGCAUUUCAUCUGGUUAACUGAUGGGCAUUUUCUCUAUUCUGAUGCCCUGAAAAUCUUUCUCUGCAGUUCAAACUUUGCAAAGUACGGUCUGUGCAGUUUGGGCAGAAGGGCAUCCCAUACAUUAACACCUACGACAGGCGAACCAUCCGCUACCCUGACCCUCUCAUCAAGGCCAACGACACUAUCAAGCUCGACCUAGAGACCAACAAUAUCACCGACUUCAUUAAGUUCGAUGUUGGCAAUGUGGUCAUGGUUACCAGUGGAAGGAACAGGGGGCGUGUCGGAGUCAUCAAGAACAGGGAAAAACAUAAGGGAAGCUUCGAGACAAUCCACGUCCAGGAUGCCACCGGCCAUGAAUUUGCUACUCGAUUGGGCAAUGUGUUCACCAUCGGCAAGGGGGGAAAGGCCGUGGGUGAGUCUUCCCAAGGGAAAGGGUAUCAAGCUGACCAUCAUCGAAGAGGCGAAAAAGAGGCAAGCAGCUCAACAAGCAGCCACGGCCUGAUUAACUCUGCACUGCCUUCAAAUUUUGAUUUACUUGUCCGGCUAUUGGUUUUGCUUUUGGACCUGGAUCUAGUAGUUCUGGACUUCUUCAAUGUUCAUACGUUUCCUGUUUGUUUUGCUCACUACAUGUGAACCUCAAAUUUUUGUUAUUUAAAGUUAUUUGGAAUUGGUCAAAGAAUACUCUACUUGAUACUUUUUUUUUUUUUUUUUUUUUUUUUUUGGUUACCCUCCACCACCCACACAAAUACAAACACAAACACACACACCAGGUUUCGAACCUGGGACCUAGAACUACCCCACCCCUUACCCACACCCUCACCACUAGGCUAUUCCUACUUCAUAACCAAGGCCAAGUUGCUGUUGGAAUUUGUCGAAAAAUUAGAGCCCGUUGAAAGUUCUUUUAAAACGAUUGAAAUGUUUUUAAAGAAAAUGUUUUUAAGUUUUAAAAGUACUAGAAGUGCACCUUGCAAGAUGCACCAGUAAUGUGUUUCUUUUAAAAAUCACUUUAAGCGUUUUUCUAAGAUUUACUUGUAUUUUUAUUAAGAAUUGUUUCAAAAACAUUUUCGACAAAAAUGCUUUUAGUCAUUUUAAAAACACUCGAAAAAGUGACAUAUUUGGAAAAAAAACAAACCUAUUUUAUCAGAAAAUUAUGUCAACUUCUAAAAACAUUAGGAAAAAAAACAGUGACAUAUUUGGGUGCCGGUUGCAUUAAUAGAAAGGAUAAGUAGUUCACAAGCUGCAUUCAAACUAACUUGACUAACAUUUGUCCCAAUCUAAUCAAAACCCCUAUAAACAGCUACAAUCAGCGCACCAGACAGCAUACGACCACCUUCAAACUGGUUACCGAGAAAGAACAGGGACAAACUCAUCAUCACGCUGCAACAGCAUCCCCGUUGAGCAGUGCCUGGUCGAAGUGCCAGACCCCUGUAACGCGCAGCAAAGCAUAGCGUUAAGAAACAAUGCAAUCGGAUCAAGGAAAGGUUCUUAUCAUAAGAAAGAAAGAUAUUGGUGUGGGAUCAAGUAAAGAUGAUUCCGAAAUUAAAUCAUGGGGAUCUUACCGUGUCCUUUUCCGACUCUCCUUAGUUGAGCAACAUAUUCAGAGAUUUUCUUGAUGGCUUCCACCUGCAAAGGUAAAAGUAGAACAUCAAAAUCAUGCUACGAGUAUUAUCCCUGUAGAAGAACCUUUCCAACUCGGGAGAUAAACAAAGGAGGACAGCAAAAUUUACCUGCUCGGUCAAAUACUCGCUUUCAACAAAAUCUGUUAACUGCACAUCUUUGUUCUUCUCAGCAACCUGUUAGUCGUAAAGCCAAAGGUAAAAACAUGUCUUGUAAGUUAGAACAUGGCAUAAAAAGAUUUACUAAUUCAUAACACGAAUCAAAUGACGUUACUGGUGAACGACGAUCAAAUUAACCAUAUAUAAUCAGCUAUAUCAAAUCAUCUUAAGCUAAUACAACAGCAGAGAAUAAGAACAGAUGCCUUACACUGUGUAAAAGGAGCAGCUUUUCAUUUGUCAGUUUCUCCAAAGAUAAUGCAAGCUCCAUUGCUGCAUCAAAAGAAAAGGGACAGAGUUAGAGCUCGAUAAUUAACAGUCCUAUAACUAGUUCAAUGACACGAAAUCAUCUGUAUAAACCAGGUCCUCGGGCCUUGCCUUCUCUUGUUUCUCGUUAUCAAUAACCCCAUACAUCACAUCAAAUUUAUUGUUAAGAAGGUGAUCAAUUUUCUUCAAAACUCAAUCCCAAUGUGCUACGACACAACUAAAGACUAAAUAUAUUCAUGUAAAUGAUUAUAUAAUAGAAUGGUGUCCAACAGGCCAAAACAUAAUUUGUUAAAUUAAAAGUUCUGGCCACAGAUACACAAUUGAGGGCCAAUAAAACUAACCAUACAAAGCAUCUCCUUUCUCUGGAUGAUCAAACUCAGACAAAGGCAUCAGAAUAGACUGCAAUUUCACUCUUCCACCACGCUUAUUCUGAGAAAUGCCGACAUCAAACAAAAAAACACGAUAAGGAAUUCAGUUUUACAGAUGCGAAACUUAAUUUAUAGCCUAUUGGAGUAACAAAAACACACAAAAUUAUAUACUAGAUAAGGGCCAAGCCAAACACCUGGUAUUCCAUAAAUUUCUCAGCAUGAUCCCUUUCUUCCUCACUCGAUUCCUUGAAAAAACUGCAAUAUAACAAAACCAUAAAUAAUGAAAUCAUUGAAUUAAAUGCUAAAUUUAGUAGUAUGGAUUUCCAGGAAAUUACUUGGCAAGACCCUUGAGAGCAACAUUGUCCCGAUCGAAAUAGGCGUACAAGGCAUGGUAUACGUACGAGACGUUGUACUCCACACUGUUAUUCCACCAAAGAAACAAAUCACUCAAUCGUUAAGCACAGCAGAGCGUAAACAAAUACAACCAAAUUUCGACAAAGAACAGUGGGAUUCGCAAUUGCAAUACUUUUAGAUAUGACAUUCGAGACCAAACAUACAUACACAAAUCCAAGAACAAUGAUUUAGCAAUACAUCCAUACACAAAUCCAAGCACGUACAGCUAGAACAACUUCACAUUAAACAAUUAAAGACACAAUAUUUCAUAUGAUGAAAGAAUGCUUUUGAAAGUUGAAACACACAAUCGGAUAACUAAUCAAGAUUUAAACUUUAACACACAGAAUUCAUUACGAUAAUCAAAUAUUACGUAAAUAACAAUUCUUUCAUACACAUAUAACAUGUGAAGGGAAAAGAAAGAAAACCCACUUGAUCUGCUCGUUAAUGGCGGCCUCACUUUCGUCAGUGUACUUCUGGCGGGCCAGAGAGAAUUGGGGGAGAGUAGGAACGAGAUCGAGCUCCUUCUUCACCUCCUCAAACGGCUCGAAAACCACACCGGUAAGCGGCCGGUUAGUCGCAUUCUUCGACGCGCAGACGACGACCCCACUUUCAUUUUUCGCCGGAGGGAACCGGAGAAUCGAAGACAGAGAUGUGGAGGAGUUCAGAGGCGAGAACGAGUACGAAAUGGACAGCGGUGGCGACGACGGCCCAGAGGAAAACAGAGGACCAAAACUGUCCCCGCGAGCAAGCAAGUGAGAGGAGGCUGCAGAGGCUUUGAGAAGCAUGACUCUAGAGAGAGAAACAGAAGCGUUGCUGGAGAGGAGAGAGAGGAAAUCAGGGUCAAAGAAGCAGAGAAAAAACCAGAGGAAAUGGAGGGUUUGAGUGAGUGUGCGGAGGUGAAGGAGAAGAAGUGGGCUAUAUGGGUGGCUAAGGAUCGUAUGAACCGUUGGAUCAAACACACGUGGACGGUUGUUAUUGAUUUGAUGGGACGGGCGCGUGGCGGGCUUGUGGCGUGGGUGGACGUGCUGUGGAAUCCAAGGAAAUACGGAAUUUUGGGGCGUGUGUUGAACUUUUUGGGGUCUCUUUUUGUUUUUUGAUUUUCGUAUGAAGUAAACAGCCAACUGUUUUUUUCUGAAACUUUUACUCAACUUUCAAUUUUUUUUAAACUUUUUAAUUGGAAAAUUAAAUAUUUAAAUUAAUUUUUUUGGUCAAUUUUCCCUUACUAUUAGUUUUUCAUUCAUUUCGUCCAAAUUUUUGUUAAAUGAAAGUAUGUAUACAAUAUAUGAGAGUAGUUUCAUCAUUUCAUUCUUUAAAAUAAUUGAAAAUUCUAGAUUUCUAAAAUAAUGACAUGUGCAAAUCUGUGUGAUUAUAUAGUUUUUGUGUUUGAAGGUUUAGUAAAGUGACACUAUUGUUCUCAACGGAGUGUCACGUGAUAUGCACGUGAUAAGAGUUAAAGUUAAUUUAGAUUAAAUCUAUGGAAAACUAAUAGUAGAGGGGAAAUCGACAAAAAAAAAAGUUCAAGUCCUUAAUUUUUCAAUUAAAAAAUUUAAGAAAAAAUCAAAAACUAAAUGAAAGUUCCAGAGAGAAAAUUGACAAUUUACUUUUUUUUUAUAUGUUGCCACAAAAAGUUAGAAAGUAGUUUCUUAUUAAAUUAGAAAGUAAAUUUCGAAUAGGACUCUUGACAGUGGUAUAUAAGAUAACCAUAAAGGAAAUACAAAAGUUAUCUUUUUCACUCCCAUUGAGUAGAUUUGAAUUUUUAAAUUUAUCUUUCUCACUACCAUUGAGUACAUUUGAAUUUAAAAAAUUUAUAGUCAAAAGAAGAUUUGAGUAUGUCAACUUUCUACAUAAAGACAUUCCAGAAAAUUCUUGCAAGUGACGCUAGACUAGACGGUCAUAUGCAUUGAGCACCCUUACAACAUGUUUUGGAGUGGUUAAGAGCUCUUGUACAUGAUAGACAAGUGAAACCGCCCUCAAAAAAGAAAAAGUGGAUUAUGAGCUCUUGAGCACCCUUAUAAAUAGAAGAACAAAUACAACUCAUGAGCUCUUGACUCACCUAGUCUUCUUCUUGAUAAAAAGGGUUAGAUUGAUUGUUUGCUCAAGAUUAGGGGUGCAAGUUGGAUUUGAAAUUUCAAUCUGAACAGAAAUUUUUUAUUCCAUGCCCGAACAUUUCUGAUUUCAAAAAAAUGACGAAAUAUUUGGGUACCAAAUAGAUUGUAACUACCCAAUUUGAAAAAUUUUCAAAGUCUUGCAGAAUGUAGGAGAUUCAAUUUAGGUUUCAAAAAUUAUGAGAUAAAACCGAUUUCAAAAUUUUCGAUAAUCUAAAAUUCCAAAAGUAAAAUUACUAUUUGAUGCUGAAACUUUGUUGAAUCGGCAUUGAAACGCUUGUUUCCGAUCCAAUCCAACUGAAAAUCACCCCUAAUCAAAGAUAUGGGAUAGGAAGGGCCAAAUGCGAUCCACAUGCCAAGAUUCUGGUUGUGACGUUUGACAAGCAUGUUUUUGUCUUGAAGGUUUUGGGGGGUCACAUUUUUUCUUUGUCUAGAAAAGUUGGGCUAUUCUUUUUCCAUCUGAAUUUCUGAAAGGGAUAUUAGAAAGGGAUAUUAUUAGCCUAUUAAACUUGUGUUAAGAUACUAAUACAAACAUCCCCCUCUUCCAAAGCUUCCAAGAGGUUAGGUGACAAUUUUUAAAGUUAAUUAUAAAUUAUUAUACAAUAAUACAAAAUAUAUUACAUGUGAUCUACUAUUUUAGUAUAUAGAAUGCUGGGUUUCUAUCGUGUUUUCUGAGUUUGAAAACAUCGCUUUUUCUAAAUUAAUAUAUUAGUUUCAAGUUGAGCCUUAUCAUUGGGAUGGCCCACUAUUCUGAGUGGAAGCCAAGAAGCGUACUCAUGUUACAUUGGCCAUUAUCAUCCAUAAUUGGGCCUUAUCAUAGGUCCAAUUUUCUACACAAUAUUAAGGGCCUUAGUCUUACUUGGUCUUACCAGAUAAGCACUCCAAUUUGUCCAAAGGAAACUUGUUCUUGCAGUUGCAGAACAAAUCCAAUUUGCCUCAUCUUCCCCUAAUUAGGUAUAGAAUUGCCAAUUAGGUUAGUUGAACUUCAGACUUUCUAUUUACAAAUAAGAAGGAAUACUACUGGACUGUAAUACAGAGAGGGGAGCAAAGAGAACCUUUCGAUACAAGCAAUGGCAUAGCCUCAACAGCAUAACUAGGAUGCCAAAGUGAACUAGGUUGGGAACUUGAGGUAGGCUUUUAAGAUAUAGGUUUGGGCCAAACUGGAACUCCUCCAACUCUCUAUGGUAUUCCGCCUCCAAGGGAACAUCAAUUAUUUGACCUCAAGCGUGUAAUUUUAACCGCUUUAACUACAAGUCUCUUUCGAAUAUGGGUUGUAUGAUUCCUAUGCUAAGAUGUUGCAGAGUGCAAGAGACAUUAUAAAUCCUAAAGAGAUAUUUGAUAUUGUUUAGCAUUGAGAUUACCAAUGUUGGGGUUUUGCAGAAAGUGGGAAUCAUGAACUGAUAGAAAACCAUGCAUGACCACGAUGCUCAUUUAAUGCUGGCAUUGGAGGUCUCAUGUUUUCCCCUGGGCCGAUGUCUGUUUCUUCCCUUAUAAUUUGUUUGUUUAUUUGUACUAAUUCUUGGAGAUUCGAUCAUACAAACCAAGAACCAUGCAUGGUUCUUACCAAUUUAUUAGAGCUUAGGUAUCCGACCCCUCUGUUUUGUAAAAGGAUAAGAUGUAAUUAGUUAAGCAUAUUGCGUUAAGUUACGAGUGUUUUUACUGAAAGGACUUGGAUUGGAUGACACGGGUACACUGUCCUAGUGACAUCUCAUGCCAAUAAUACAAAGGUAUGCAUUUAUCGACAAAAGCUAAAAAUUUCUUGUAGUGGUGGUAAUCCGAAAAACAAGUAAACUUUACGAAAGUACGGUUUAUCCCACUACAAUAAUGAGGAUGAUUUCAAAAGACGAUGAAUCACAAUUUCAAUGUUACAAAAACAUUACAUGAGAGGCGGGAGGAGUUUUUAGGUUGGAAUGACAAAACCAGAGCAUUUUUGGUUAUAUAUAUAAUAUUUGAUAGGAAGUAAAGUAGUAUGAAUAUAUGUUUGAUAUUAAAUACAUAUAUUUUAUUUGAAGAUAACGCGUAUAUAUAUAGUCUGCAGCUUAACAAAUGAAUUACUAUUAACGAAAAACAUCACCAUAUACCUGUAUUAUACAAAUUGCUCGCUUCUUUGACAAGAGUGUAACUCUAUAAGAGUCACCACAAGAGCCAAAACAUUUGGCACAAAGAGUGACACAUCCCGGCCCGGGCCUCGACCAUGCCUUCACAGUUUUGUUUCUGGGAACUCACACGAGAACUUUCCAAUAGAUCACCCAUCAUGGAUUUCUCUCGCGCGAACUCGUUUAACUUCGGAGUUCCGAUGGAACUCGAAGCCAGUGAGCUCCCAAAAGGCCUCGUGCUAGGUAGGGAUGAGAAUAUACAUAUAAAGCUUAGAAGAUCCACUCCCCUAAGCGACGUGGGAUGUAACAAUCCACCUCCCUUAGGGGCUCGACGUCCUUGUCAGCACACAUUAAGCCAGGGAUUGGCUUUGAUACCAAAUUGACACAUCCUGGCAUGGGCCCCCACCACAUCCUGGGCUCGACUCCACCGUAGCACGAUAUUGUCCGCUUGGGCCCCAACCAUGCCCUCACAGUUUUGUUUUUGGGAACUCACACAAGAACUUCCCAAUGGGUCACCCAUAAUGAGAUUGCUCUCGUGCAAACUCGCUUAACUUCGGAGUUCUGAUGGAUCCUGAAGCCAGUGAGCUCCCAAAAGGCAUUGUGUUAGGUAGAGAUGAGAAUAUACAUAUAAGGCUUAGAUGAUUCACUCCCUUGAACAACGUGAGAUGUAAUAAAGAGACUAGCUAGACCAGAUGGAAACAAAACAUUGUAGCAUACCAACAUGCAACGGAAGGAGGGGGGUUUGAUUUUGGAAACAUGAAAAGAAGCAUGGAAUUGUGUGAUGAGCUAUUAAUGCAAGAGACUUUGGGCUUCUUCAAAUCAUAUAAACAAAUAUCAAUACUAAUUAAAUAAUCUAUGCAACUUAACUUAUGUCAGGGCCUCAUUAAUUCUUGAUAAGCUUGGUUUUUUUUUUUAAAUUUAUUUUUAUUUCUCUCCAUUAAUUAAAAAACCUAUGUUUUUAAUUAAGUUUCUCGUGUACAAGUGCAUCUUUCUUUCUUAUGAAGGAAAGAUCAUCUUUAGGGUUUUGACGGUUGAGUGUGAUAAUUUCCUAGUAUAUAUGCAUCGGUUUAUACUCGGAAAUAUUUGGAUUCUUGAAUAAAGAACUUUUAUAUCAUUAGACUCGAUCUUAACAAUGCAUCUAACCAUCAAUUGUUUUGAUACAUAUCAUACAUUAGAGCAUGAAUGUUCAGAAUAACGAGAUUUUCGAUAUUGACAACGCAUCUAACUAUCAAUUGUUUUUAUACAUGUCAUACAGCAGAGCAUGAAUGUUCUGAAUGACGAGAGUUUCCGUCUUUAAGCACUUUUUUAUCGAAGGAUAAGAGAGAGUUUCCGUCUUUAAGCACUUUUUUAUUGAAGGCCCCUUGUCCUAGAGUAUGACUUUCUUUAAAAAACAAAAUAGAAGAGGAGAUUUUGUGCUCGUUGAUUGUUAGAUCAUGUCUUCUAUGAGUAAGCAGUUUCAAAUACUAUGAUAGUGAUUAGUGAAUAGUGAUGAGUCUAAUGACUGAUGAACUAAUCACGGGUUCGUUCAACGUUCCACAUUGCUUAAUUUCGACAAAUUAUAAAACCAAUGGUUCUGCAUUGCCCAAGUAUAUCUAAGAUUAUAUCAACUACACAAUCUGUAUAUUAUUAUUUUUUGGAAAUUUUAACAAAACACUCCCGGUACUGUUGACUUUUAACGAAAAACCACAUUUAUACUUUUCCCUGAUACUAUUCACUAUACUUUUAAAAAGGAUUUUUCAUUAAAAGAGAAGUUUUUUUUGAACUUUUCAUUAGUUUUCCUUUAUUUUUUUAAUCUAUAUAAAUAUAUGCUCACGAGAUACGAUAAAUCUAAAUACUACCUGCUUAAGUUGUUAAUUGCUUUUUUUUCCUUUAAUUCCCUUUCUUUUGUGCAACAAUUAAAAAAAAAAAUUGAGAUCCUCUUCGGAUCUACAAGUCCAGAGCCAAUGGAUCAGAGAUCCGGGCCGUUUAAGGAAUAGAGAGAGAUGUGGACCCUUAAUUUGUGUCAGAUGGGCUAAUGAAAUAUGCUAAUUAAUGGUAUCCGUAGGUGUAAAAUGAAUAGUCCGGAUCUCUGAGUUUGCCGAUUUCGGACACAAAGAUCAAAAUAGGACUUCAAUUAAAAAAAAAAAGUAGGAAUACCAGAGAGUUCUAUAUUAUAUGUUAUUCAAAGGACUAAUUGGAACAAGAUAUAUCAUAAGACAAGUUAAUUCUAGUUGCACUAUGUACUACACUCUGCUUCAAAAAAUGGGACAUGUUCCAAGUUUUGUUCGUGACUCACAUCACAUGCAUGCAUACAAUGGAUGCACACUAGAGACUCAAAUAUUGCACACUAAACUCCUUUGUAUCUUAUAUAAAUUUGACUUAAAAAAAAAAAACACGAUGACGUUUUUAGGGUGUUUACAGAACGCGUAUUCUGCAAUAUAUUUGCUAUAAUCAUUCUAAAUCUUUCUACAAGGAGCAAGUUGGCCAUACGUGCAAGUCGAUAAAAAAUCAAAUCAACAUUACAACUUACGUACAAUUUGGGGUAGCCAUUUUUUUUCGGUGCGACAAGAAAUACUAAAAUUAUUUUUGUUGAAAACAACUUACUAGAAGGGGAGUGAAAUGUUGAAAUAUCUGAAUAACUCUAAAUACAAGUUAUUAAAAUUUAAUCGAGUUAGAAUGAGAUGAAGAAUUAAUGAUUUUAAAAAAUUUGACAUGAAAAUCGUUUAAAAUUUUAAUUCAUAUGAUCAUAUGACAAAUUAAAAAAAAAAUGUAUAGGUUCAUAUAACAUUUUAAAAAAUUCUCUUAUUUAAUCGGCGAUAAAGCAAUACCCCACUGAUGGCCGGUUCCACCCAAGAGAAAGCGUGGAGGUGGGCCCCGUAAUUAAUGCACUCGAACAGAGACCCCGUCUUCGUGAUAUACAGCAGUUGCUCACUAGCUCUAGGUAAUGCAAAAAUAUACAAGUUUUAAAUUACUUAUUAGAAUAUUAAUUUGGGUGAAAUUAUAUAAGUACAAUUUUUUGGGACCGUUGGUUGAUCUAACCAAUGAUUUGAGUCAUAAAAUAUAUUCAGUGAGAGAAAGCAUUCACGUGAAUGUUUGUGGGUCUAAGUUCUAACAAACAUUCACAAUUAGCCGUCAUCUUGGCUCUCUAGUUUAUUAGGGUUUAGUUAAGCAAAACUUACUAUACCAUAUUACAAAUUAUUUACAUGGACUAAAAAUAAUAUUUACUCAUAUAUUAAGUAGGGUAAAAAUUAGUUAUUAGCCUUCAUACCAAUUCUACAAGCCUAGCUAUUGUAACUUCUUUGAUAUACAACAACGUUUGGAAAUGCUUUUACAAUUACUGAGAAUGCUUUUGGUGAAUUGUUUUUGAAUUUUAAAAGCACUUCAAAUGUUUUUUGGAAGAAACACCAUGCAGGAAGCACUUCAAGUAGUCUUUUAGGAUCCCUCUUGAAUUUUUACUAUGGAUUUGUUUAAAAAAUAUUUUCACCAAAUUUCAGUCAUUUUAAAAAUAGUUAUAAAUAAGCCAUUAAUAUUGAACACAUUAUUCACAAAAAUUGAACAUAAAACUUGUCAUUAUUUCAGGUGAAAAAAGUACUAUAAACCGGUAAUACUAGUGGCAACCUAGUUAUUAAACCUUAUAAUCUCCUAAUAAUUAGCUCAAAAAUGUUCAUAUAGAAGCAAGGAAUGUAAACAGAUCCUCAGCAUAAAACAAAUGUUGGAAAGAGUCAAAGAAGAAUGUGGAAGCCAUACAACUCUUUUCUUUGACAUGAAGAACAAGCGGGGGGCGGCGGGCGGCGGCCAACUUCUAAAGAACAAGCGGGGGGCGGCGGCCUACUCCUAACCUUGGAUUUUGAGAGCCAAAUUAUAUUAGAUGGGGCCAUCCAAAUACACACACACACUUGAAGUUAGCUAAUUUAUUUUUCAAAAUUUCAUUUAUAUGACUAUUUUUAAGUUGGGGUGGUCGAACCCUAAAACCGACAAGCAAAAAAUAAUUGUAAAAUCAUAAUUAUAUAUUUUUAUUAUAAGUAAUAUUAUACGCUAAUUUAUACUAAGAAGAGAAGAAUUUGAACGAGGGAGAUACAGAGCUUGAAGCCUUGAACCAUUGCUAGCAAAGCAAAAUGCAUUUGUUUGGUUGAUAGCAUUCUAAAACGUUGUGGCACGGUUUGGACAAAAGAAUGCUACACUAAGAAAUCAAUGAUACCCACGUACUCACUUAUGUGAGAUAUUUAGCUAUUUAAACUAAAUUAAUUAACUUAUUUUAAUUCCAAUUAAUUAAUUAUUAUCUUUUUCUAAGACAGUGUAGUUUGAUCUAUAUUUCAGACUUAAAGCCCCACACGUUCUCUUCUAUCAUAAAUAGAGACCACCGAUCCAUUUCAUUUCCUCCAAGUUGUAGUUUUCAGUCACACUUUCUUCCUCUUCUUAAUUUCCACUACUCUCCAAAUCAAAGCAUUACGCAAUCAACAUGGCCGGAACUUCUCCGUGCGCUUCCUGCAAGUUGCUGCGACGCCGAUGCGCCAAAGACUGCAUUUUUGCUCCUUUCUUUCCUUCAGAUGACCCCCACAAGUUUGCCAAUGUUCACAAGAUCUUUGGUGCCAGCAAUGUUAGCAAAAUGUUGCAGGUCCUUAUUUCUACAUAUUUUCUCUACUUUUUUUUUUUUCUCGUUAACGUGUUAGGAGGGUUUCAACCCUCAAAACCUCUUCCAGCAAGAAGAAAAAUAUUACUAGACAAGCUAGGUUUAUGAGGGGUAUUGAGAAGAAAAAUAUCACUUUAGAUGAAAAAUUAGCUGGCCCAAAUGCUUUAUUUAAAACAGACCAUAUCAUUAAGCGUUGUCGUUUAAUUGAAUUAUUCGUAUGUAUGUUGCAGGAGCUUCCGGUUCAUCAGAGAGCAGAUGCAGUGAGCAGUUUAGUGUAUGAAGCAAAUGCAAGAAUGAGGGACCCAGUGUACGGAUGCGUUGGGGCCAUCUCUUACCUGCAAAACCAAGUCUCCGAGCUACAAAUGCAGCUUGCUGUGGCUCAAGCUGAGAUCCUUUGCAUCAAAAUGCAGCAUGAGCCCAUGGUCCCUCCACAACAGAUAAUGGACGGGCCAGAUGAUCAGAAAUCGUAUUUUCUCCACAACAACAAUCUCGCUCAGUACCUCAGUUUUCCCCCUUCCAGCAAUGUAAUCCAUGACUCUCUCAAUAGGGAGAACAUUUUCGGACACGACAUGGUUUCUUAAUAAAGUUUGUAAUAACAUGUAUUAGGCUUUUAAAUAACUAAUUAGUGUGUUCUAAAUUUUUCUUCGCUGAGUAGGUCUUCUAAUAAUGAUUUCGCUGAUCGUUUGAAAUUGUUCCUUUAGAAAUUUUCCUGAAAAAACUAAUCGUAGAUUCUUCUCUCCAUCAGAACAUUAGGGCCUUUAGACUUAGAGAGGAUUGACCUAUAGAACAAGGGUAAGAUGGCCAGGGUCAACUCUAUAGCAUGUGAUGAAGUGAUAAAUUAGGAUUUUUUAUCAGUAACUUACUGAACAAACAGCUUCUAUGUAUCUAUAAAAUAGCACAUAGAUGCACAAGGGUCGGUGGCCAAUUUCAACAGUAUGGAACAUAAAUUAGGGUUCUUGCAUAUUAUUACUUUUUUUUUUCACCGGAAUUAUCUUGCUGUGGUUCUUCAAGGACAAAAACUAUAAAGUGUCAGCACAUCGAACUUAAUUUUGAGAGUCUGGACUCUGGAGCAAUGGUUUUACCUAAUAAGCCAAAGGUUGGAAUUUCAUGGACCUCGAUCCUGUUGCAAGAAAGACAAAACCCAAAUUUACUGCUCUUCUUUCCCAAAACCCUAAAUUUCAAAAAAGUUUCUACAUACGACACAGAAUAUAAGGAAUUUAUCUACUAUAUAAUUGAUAGUUCAGUCUCAUAUUUUCUCACAUGGUCAGAGAUGCCAUUUGUGUUUGUUUUUAAGGUAAUGAAAAGCACCACUUCAGAUAAGUGCUUUUAGAACUAGAAGUGAGAAACUUCACUAAAAUUUAACUCUUCAGUGUCUUAAAGUUAAUGAUAGGCUUGCAGCUGCUGCUUUGCUUCCAUUUCCGAUUUAAUUAGUAUCUAAUUAAACUAGUAAUUUCUAGCCUAAUCUUCACAAUUAGGAAAAGCAAAAAAUUUGGCAUGCCGCCACCUGUUGCAGAUAAUAACUUGUUCUUCUAGCUUGUUCACGUGGGGUGUAGUGUAAGGAAGCGGAGGUUCAGUGCAUGAGAAGUAUACAGUAGCAGAAAUUAAUAUUAAUUUGUUAGGACUAAUAUAAUAUGUUUUUCUAGAUUCAUCUCUCAAAUCAAUACAUUACAAAAAAUGAUUAAGUGAUUUUCGAACAUUUCUUUCUUUUUGUAUAUAUUUAUAAUUUUUUUAAAAGAAAAACUAAUGAAAAUGGUUUGAAAAC
rnacentral:lncRNA from 1 species